rnacentral:lncRNA from 1 species
CAAAUGUCAGGUUGCACAAAGUUUAUGAAAUAUUUGGUGGUGAAAAAGGGUACUAUGCAUUUUUCCCCUGUUGAUAAUAUACACCAUUGUAGAGUAAUAACUUCUCAGUAUCUAAUUGAGAAGAAGAAAAAUCCUAGAGAUUUUUCAAUUCUAUGUACCAUUAGAUCUUUUAAUUUUUCCAAAUCUUUGUAUGACUUGGGUUCUAGUAUUAAUAUAAUGUCGCUAGUCAUUUAUAGACUGUUGGGGUCACCCAAACUAAUUUUGAUAAAACUCUUUAUGGCAUACCGUACUAUUAAGAAGCUUGUACGAAUUGUAUGUGAUGUUUUGGUAAGGUUUCCAUCCUUUAUUUUUUGGCUAGUUUUGUAAUCCUUGAUUGUGAUAUUGACCUUAGGCUUCCCAUUAUCUUGGAGAGAGCAUUCCUUAUAACUAGAUGAGCAUUGGUUGAUAUAGAUACUGGUUGAUAAAGUUUUAGUUAAAUAAUGAGGAAGUGAAAUCUAAUGUAAGAUAAACAAUGAAGUAGCCAGAGUACAUGCAUGUGAUCUCUAUGAUUGAUACAGUUGAUGAUGAUGAAUUGGUAGCUUCUAGUGAGGAGAGGCUUGGAGUUGAAGCACUUACAACCAUUAUUAUUAAUUUCAAGGGUGAUAACAUUGAUGGUUAUGUUGAGAUGGCAAGCAUACUUUCUAUUUUGGUUUGUUACACUUUUGCACCAAAGAAUUUAGAUCCUAAUUGGAAUAAUAGAGUGAACCUAUUGAUUAGGCCUUUUAUUGAUAAGCCUUCUAUUUUGGAGCUCAAAGAUCUUCCAUCCUAUCUUCUUAUGCAUUCUUGGGAGCCAGUAACACCUUGUAGGUUAUUAUUGUAGUUGAUUUGGUUAAGUGGUAGGUUGAAGCUCUAGUCUUUAUUUUACAAAAGCUCAAGACAACCAUUUGAUGGUCCAUUACUGAUAUCAUUAGGAUUCCUGCGGAAAUUUCCACACACAAAAUCUAGCUUAAGAUAUAUUGAGUUUCUAGUACUCAGCACCAAUAAAGACUUAUUUUUCCUAUGUAAGAGGUAGUUAAGAAAGAAAUUAUUAAGUGAUUAGAUGUUGGUGUGGUUUAUCCUACUAUCCAUAGCAUAUGGGUGAGCCCGAUUCAAUGUGUGCCAAAAAAGAGUGGAAUCACUGUGGUUCCAACCGAGAAGAGUGAGAUUAUUCCUAUGAGGUCAAUCACUCAUUAAAAAGUAUACUUAGACUACAGGAACCUGAAUGCAUGGACUGAAAAAGAUCACUUUCCAAUGCCUUUUAUGAAUCAAAUGUUUGACAGUCUUGUUGGUAGAGGAUGGUACUUUUUUCUUGAUGGUUAUUCAAAUUAAAAUCAGAUUUUGAUUACUCCAAAAGACAAAGAGAAGACUGAUUUCCCUUGUCCAUAUGUGACAUUCAUAUUCAAGAGAAUGCCUUUAGGAUUGUGUAAUGAGCCGGCAACCUUUCAUCAUUGUAUGAUGUCCAUAUUUUUGACAUGGUGGAGGACACUAUUGAGGUAUUUAUGGAUGACUUCUCAGUUGUUGUUGAUUCAUCCAAAGAUUACUUGGACUAUCUAGCAGUGUGUUAAGGAGAUGUGAAGAUUACAACUUGGUGCUGAAUUGGGAAAAGUAUCACUUAAUAGUUAAAGAAGGAAUAGUUCUUUGUCAUAAGAUUUAAAAUAAAGAGAUCAAGAUUGACAUGGUAAAGAUUGAGGUGAUUGAAAAAUUGCCUCUCCUAAUUUCUGUAAAAGGUAUUUAGAGUUUCAUUAGGUAUUCUGGUUUUAUUGUAGAUUCAUCAGGACUUCUCUAAAAUUGCACAUCCCUUAGGUAAAUUGCUAAAGAAGGAGGAGAAUUUUGUUUUAAUAUUGUAUGUUUGAAAGCAUUUAAGUGGCUAAAGGAAAUUGUUUACAUUAUUAUUGUGUGACCUGAUUAGUCUAUGCCAUUCGAGGUUAUGUGUGGUUCAAGUGGUGAGGCGCUAGUAUUAUUCCUAAGCCAAAGGUGAGAAAAGAUUCUUCAUUCGAUCUAUCAUGCUAGCGAAGCACUUAAUCCUAAUCAAAAAUAUCAUACUAUGACUGAAUAAGAGUUGUUUUUUGUGUUUUUUUCAUUUGUGAAAUUUUGAUCUUAUUUGCUUAACACAAGUAAUUGUGCAUACUAACCACACAACUUUUAGGUACCUUAUGUGAAGAUGGAUUCUAAUCCAAGGUUGAUUCAUUAGCUACUUCUAUUAUAGGAGUUUGACUUUAAUGUCAAGGAUUAAAAGGGGACUAAAAAUCAAGUGGUUGGCCACUUAUAACGGCUUGAAGAAGAGGCAAUGUUCAAAUUAAAGGAUGAGCUUGAGAUAGAUGAUACUUUUCUAAAUGGGCAUAUAUUGGCAGCAUUGCAAGACUUUUUUCCAUGUUUCAUAAAUUUUACAAAUUAUUUAGUGAGAAUGCAGAGCCCAAGGUGGUAUUGUUUCAACAACGUAAGAAGUUUAUGCAUGAUAUGAUGAAAUUCUUCUGGGAUGAGGAUACUUGUUUCAAAUUUGUUCAGACAAACUAAUUCGUAGAAUAUUCCUAAAGUAGAGAUGAUAAUUAUUCUAGAGGUAAAUCAUUCUUCACUAAUUGGGGUGUAGUGCACGUACUGCUUAUAAUUUCUAUUAAUGUAGGUACUAUUGUCCCAUCAUUCAAAGAGAAGCACAUGACUAUGCAAGAUUUUAUGACCAAUGCCAAAUACAAGUAAGCAUUUUGCAAAGGUAAGAGCUCCCAAUCCGACAAUACUAGACCUUGAGCUAUUUGAUAUACAGGGAAUUAAUUUCAUCGGACCCUUUAUAAGAUCAAAUAGUAUGAAUUAUAUCGUGGUUGUGGUGGAUUAUGUUUCAAAGUGAGUGAAGGCAAUUGUGCAUCCAUAUAAUGAAGUGAAGUGUGUGAAAACAUUCUUAAGGAAGAACACAUUUAGCUAAUUUAGUACACUAAGGGAAAUCAUUAAUGAUGUAGGCUCACAUUUUUUUCAAUUGUCUAUUCAAAGAUCUUCUUGAAAAAUAUUGUGUGAAACAUAACGUGGAAAUAACCUACCAUCCUCAGAUAUGCGGGCAAUUUGAUGUCUGUAAUUGAGAGAUCAAGUCUAUUUUGGUAAAAAUAGGGAAUAUCAAUAGAUGAACUAGGAUAGAAAGUUUGAUAAUGUAUUAUGGGCUUAUUGGACAACAUUUAAGAUCCCUAUUGAUGUUUCUCCAUAUUAUCUCAUAUAUGUAAAGGCGUGCCACUUGCUUGUUGAACUUGAGCAUAAAGUAUUAUGGGCAACGAAAAGGUUAAAUCUGGAGUAGAGUGACGCAUAAAAAUUGAGACUUGAGCAGUUGCAUAAGAUAGAUGAAUUUUGUCUUAGGUAAUACGAAACUUCAGUUAAGAAUAUGAAGGUAUACCAUGAUUGGAAGGAAAGAGUUCACUAUCGGUGAUUGUGUUCUAUUGUUCGAUUCCAAGGUUUAUUUUUUCUUACAAGUUAAAAGUUUAAAUAAAGGAGGUCGUAUUGAGUAAUGAUGGUACAAAUGGUGCAAUUGAGCUUGAAAAUAGCGAGGGCAUAAAAUUUAAAGGAAAUGGCCAAAGGGUGAAAAACUAUCUCGAUGAUGUUGACAACGUUAAGGUGGUAUGUGAUGUGGAUCAUGAUAGAGCCAAAGUAAUCAUGCACACUUGAGUCAUGAUAUCAAUGUUAAAUCAGGAACUAUAGUUUGUUGAAUUCUGACUAGCCAAGAUAGUCAUGUCGUGUCAUGAUGAUAAAUCAAGUAUUUCUUUGGAGGCAAUGAUGUGUCAUAAAAUUACGACACUUAAGAUGCUUAAAAUAAGUUAUUCUUGUAAAUUCAAAUGUGUUUUUAUCUGGAUAUGACGUGUUUAUUGAGUUUUGUAGGAAAAUAAGGUUAGGAAGUGAGUGGAACAAAAAAUGGAAAAAAACUAGUGCAAAGAACAUAAGACUGCUUAAAUCAUGAGUUGUUGGGUCAUGCUAAGACUUGUCGCCCAAGUCGUUGUUAGACUAGUAAGAAAAAUGCCUCGAAGGAUAAAUAGAAAGGCUACCUAUGAAUCAUAGGGUCAGACUAUGAAUCAUAAGGUGAGUCAUUCUUACAAAAUAAGGAGAAAUCAUAAGGGAUGCAAACUUGAUACUAGUGGUGACGAAGGCUGAUGAUAAGGCAUAGGGUAGACUACGACUCAUCCAUAAAACUCAUUUUGAGCACUAACGAAAGGUUCUAAAAGCUUGAGUAUGUGUAGAGAAACCCAAUGAGUCAGUCAAUGAGUCAUAUAGAGACCAAACAAAGUCAUCACCAGCUAUAGGGAAUUCAGGCUACAAUUAAGUUAGAAGGCUAACAAAAGUCGUAUUCAGUCUAUAUGAAUCAUUGAAAGAGGCAUCAUCACUACCAAUUUAUGUAGUCCUACUUUAUUUAAUAAAAGUUCAAUGAGUCUAUAAAUACUCUUAUUUGAGUCUAGGCUCUCUACAUACUUUUUAUGUUUUUUGAAUUCUUAGAUACAUUAUUGAUCUUGGAAUUAUUGAUACUGGUUUUUAGGGUUUAUAAUAAAUUUGAGAUUUUGGUUUUUAUCCUAUUCUUUGUUAGUUCGACAUUAUGAUUUCAUCUAUGAAAUCUUUAUGUGUUCUUAUAAUUAUGAGAAGCUAAAUCCCAUAACAAGAGCUGUGGGAACCAUGAUGAAUAAACAAAAUAGGUUAAGUGUGAAGCCAUUGUAGACCGGUGUUCUUGCAUUUAUUGGUAUUUCCUUCGGUUGAUUGCUUUCUUAGUAGUGGCCAAUGUUAGGAAUUCAACUGUAUUCUAGACUUACUUAAGAGAGAUAUAUAGAUAGGGAAAAGGAGAUAACAACAGUAAUUUAAAGCCACCAACCUUCAUCUAAUUAACUUGAUCCGUAAUUGGUCUAGUUAAUCUGAGAUCCCAUAAUAAGGUUUAUUAAUGCGAUGCACUGAGUACGAGAUAGACGAGUAAAAUUUAUCUAAACCAAGGAUGAGAGACAAUUGGGUGAUACAUAACUUGUUAGAUUUUGCAUGCAAUACAUCGGGGUAGUAUGCUAAGAACGACUAGUCUGUGGAGUUAUGAAGUCAGGGGGAUCACAAUCCUAGUGGUUAUCUCAUAUUAAUCACAAUCCCAUUUAACCAAUAGUUUUUACCACUACUCUUAUAGUUAAAAAAGCCCUUUUAUUUAUGCAAUUCCCAAUUACCUCAACAAACUCAUGAUAGAUUUUUGGCCUAUUACUCGUGGUUUUGACCCCAAACUAGUUGGGUUAUAUAUUUGAUUUAGUGGCCAUUUUAUACUUAUUGAGACGUGUAUUUUGGUGACAUCAAAUAUUCGCAUCGUUGUGGGGGAAUACAGUUAUGACUGAUAGAUCAGUUUGUUGAAGUUGUUGAUUUUGUUUGUUGAUUUUUAUUUUUCUACUAUUUCUAGUGCACACAUCGGUGUAUGCCAAGUACUCAAAAUGAAGGAAAUCCCAUGAUUACAUUUAAUCCUGAGCUUUAGAGAACUUUAAUAUAGAAUCAUAAGAUGGAGAGAGAUGGAGUUCAUGAUCAAAAAGCCCUACUUGAAGGGGUUCAUGAAAACCCAGCAGUAUUGAAUCGACCACUUUAACAUGGUAUUCAGAAAAAUUUCUAGCAGGUUAUUACUCGCUUAAUGAAUAGGGGAACUGUUUGGUAAGUAGUUGAUUGUAUAAUAGCUAUAGAAGAAAGGGAUAAACAAGAGAAGGAAGACUGUCAAGCCGUACUUGACAAGGAUAAAAUAAGAAGAAACAAAGUCCAAUGGCCUAUCUAGCAAUAUCUACCAGUGUAUGAUGAUCCAGAUAAGGAUUUGGGGUAUAUUGAACCAAUUGAAAUAGGUGCAAUCAUUCCUCAAGAAUUUCCCCAAAAGGAUAAAAUUUGUUUGAUAUUACAAGCGUGAUGAUCUAGUUACUAAACGUCAAGGGAGUAUUUGUUGUUCUACCUACUAAUGAUGCAAACAUGUACCUUAUAAACUUUGUGGUCGGUUUUAUUAAAAUUAAUUAUUUACUUUUAAAAUAAAACAGACCAUAUGUGGUUGAUUUUAUUAAAAUUAAUUAAUUACUUUUAAAAUUUUAUUUUGAAUUUUUCUAUUUUUAAAAUAUUUUUUUCUAUUUUAAAAAAUAAUAAUAAAUUUUAAAAAUAUAUAUAUAUAUAUUUAAAAAACUGACCACAUGUGGUCGAUUUUUAAAAAGCAACCACAUUUUACCGACCACGUAUUUUGGUCAGUUUUGUAGUCAAAAAUUCAGGAAAACCAACCAUAUAUGGUGGGUUUUUGUGGUCAGUUUUCCUAUUUUUUAAGUAGUGUGUGGGGAUGAAUAUAAGACUACAAUUCCUGAGUUGGGACAUGUUGGACCUCAUUUGAAGAUUUUUCCACAUUGUGCUUGGUAGACAGAUCCUGGUCAAGCCAUCUGAACAUAAUGAAGAGUGCAAAAAGGAGGAAUCAUAUGUCUACAUUCUUGAAUUUGCUGAGCUAGAAUCAAAGAAUUACAUUCCUUACGUAAGGGCCAAAAAGUAUGACAUACCAUAUUUAUUUCUUGGGUUCUUUGUUUUUAUACCUCUGCCCCAUGAGCAUAAAGGGAUAUCAAAAAAAUAAUUAUAGGUGAAAUUCUUAAAUUCAAAGUGGAAAGAGGAAACUAGAGGCCAACUUUAGGGCUACCUUAAUAAAGUCUUAGUAAUCAAGGUACCCAUAGGCUUUGUUGGUGAAGUUUGAGUAACUAACAUAGCCACGUCAUGUUGCGAUAUUAAAUCAAGCUAUGCUUGGGAGGCAACCCAAGGUAAUUAUUGUUUGUAUGUGUUAUUAUGAUUGACAUCAUAUCUGUGCACCUAUAGUGCCACAGGUAUGUUUUUAACUCUCUUAUUUUGUAGCGGCCCAAUGCACUGGGGAUAAUGCAUAUCUUAUGUUGAAGGUGGGGUUGCUCUUGGUUCUUGAUGUCUUUUGGGGGUUUUUAUUGUCAUGCCUUUUUCCCUAGAGUCUUGUUCCUAGUAGAGCUGGCAUGUUUAGGCGUAUUGUGGUUUUUUUGUGAUGUUGCGUGUUUAACUAGGACAAAAAUGAGUAUCUAUGACAGUUGACAUGUUUUUUUGUUGAUGGUACUACUCCAAAAUUUCAUCUUUGAAUAGUGUGAUGUGUAUAUUGGUGUGACCAUUGUGGAUCUCCUUAUGGAAUUAGGACUAGGGACAUGAUAAUCAUUGCAAACAAUUACAUAAACCAAAAAGGUAGAAGCUUGUGAUGUAACCAUGUGCCGCGUGUGUUGAGAUACUAAGUUUUUUUUUGUGUGUUAUAUCUAAAACUUUCCUAGUUAGUCUUGCCUUGGUUAUAGGAUAGUCGAUUAGGAAAGGAUCAUUGGUCAUUUUUUAUGUCAAUCCACUUUUAGCCUACAUGUGCAUAAGUAUCCCUUGAUCCCUAUUUUUCAACCUGUAUGCCUAUUUUUCUUGUUACACCUUUCACCUUCCCAUUUGUGGUACAAGGAAACUGUCUUGGCCCUGGUCCUCCUUGGACAUUGUACACCACAGCUCAGGAAAAUCACCUAAGUUGAGGGUGGCUAUCAUAGGGGUGCAUAAUGUAAAGUGGGUAUAAAGAAGGGUAAAAUAAGAGAGAAAUAUAGUAAGGAUGGGUGAUGUUGGGUGUAUUUAUGCAUUCUAGUCUCACUAUUCUAGUCAUUUUAGCCUUGUUUCAAGGAUGAUUCCAUUUUAUAUGGGUUUAUAAUGAGAUAAAUAUGUAUAGAAGUGUUAAAGCAUGUGUUUACAAUGGUUACAAGUGUUUUCUAAUAAGUUUGUACUUUAAAGAGUCAAUUUAGAGUUCAAUAGAGAAAACUAGUCUUUCUAGCUUGAGCUAGUUGCUUGUCUAGUCUAACAUGUUGGAUUAUAUAGCUUUUUAUGUGUUCCAAGUGGUUUUAAUGAUGUUAUUAUAUGUGGAACAACUUCUUAUAAGUGUACAAAGUUCAAUUGAGUCAAGGAAAUAUUCAAAACAUUCAAUGGAAGAUCAUGGAAAAUUGCCUAGUCUAAGCUCUUAUUUUUUAUUCGUCGUAGUGGAUGUUGUGUUUUUGACCCUCUAAUUCGUGCGGUGUGUCAUUUUAGGAUCCUUUUUGAGCUUAAUAUGAUGAUAUAUGGAUGAUAUAAAGUCUGAAAAAUCAUUGGAAAUACACCACAAGCCAAGGGAUGUAAGAAGGAAGGACCAACACUUAACCAAAAUUUGGAGGACAACUUCUAGUAGCAACAUGUGAUUUCCGUGCGUCUCAUGCUAUUUUCAUAUGGAAUAUAGGGUACAUCACAUUCUCCAUUCUAUUGGAAUAAAUGGUGAGACAUAUGGUCUACUCCACCCCUAGGCGUUUUAAGCUAAUUCAAUUCCAACACGGAUUGGGUAACCCAUAUACUAUAAAUACAUGUCGUAUCAUGUUUUUACAUAUCUUUGAACUUAUUUUGGAGAAAAAGGGGCUGAUAUAAAUUGAUAAUUAGGUUUUUUAUUAUUUUUUUUAGUUCAUUCAUGUCUUUAGUCGUUAAUUACCAAUUUGUGAUUACAAUUAUGACUAUGUGUGGCUAAACGCCCUUUUUCGGGGUUGAAGCCAAGAACAUGAGUACUUUAGUUUUGAAUUUAAUUCGAUUAAAUUUAAUUUUCAUUAUUGGUUGUGUGUUCAUAUUUUAUUUAACUAUUUUAAGGAUUUGCUACCAUUAGAAUAUAUCAAUUGUCUACCUUUUGAUCUCGGGAGAGGGAAUAGGGGAUAGAAUAAGGAGAUGAACAAAGUUUGGGUUUUUAUUCUUUUAUGAAAUAAAGAAUUGAACUUAGCGCCUAGGAUAAGGAUGUACUUAGGAGCCAAACUUGAUUCAAACGUAGGAUGAUAGAUAAAAGAACUUAAGUGUACUAUUACAUCCACGCUCAACGAUGUAGUUGUAAGGUUCAACUAAGGUAAAGGAUUACAAGUUGGAAAACCAUAAUCACGCAAUUAACCCUAUGAAUCAAUAACCAAGAUAAGCAAUUUAAUGAAUGAAAUUCAAUAUAUUGUAUGAUUGUUCAAAGUGCUUCAACCCUGGGUUCUUCUUAUUAAUUCUUUCAAAGACUUUAAAUUCUACAUUGUUUACUUUUAUUUGCAAUUACAAACUACAAACUCUAUUUUGGUUACUCUUGCACUAAAUUAAUCUAAACUGUGAACUGAAAUUGAAUCAUUUCUAAAUCAAGUCUCUGUGGGAUCGACACUUGGCUUCUUGAAGACCAUUUUAAUACUUGGUAAGGCCACGUACACUUGCGUGUGUGCUUGGGUGCUGUCAAGUUUUUGGCACUGUUGCCAGAGACUUGAAUUUUUGCAACUAUUGUUUUUAGUUUUACUUUAAGAUUUAUUUGGUGUUUUUAUGCUUGGUCUUUAUUUUGUCAUUGCAGGAAAUAGGUUGUAGGAUAAUAAGCUGGCAUGGACUCGGAAUUUGGUUAAAACAAGCCCGGAACCUGAAAAACUUUUCCAUCAAUGCAGGAAAGAUGCAAUCCUUCUCCCCCAAAUCAGCAAAUUCAAGAAGGCCAAGAGUAUCCUAUUCUAAUAGGUGAUCAACAAGCAGCCCGCAGGACAGUUAGGGAAGUGGCAGUCCUACUUCUAACGAACUUGACUUCCCUAAUUCAAAGACCGAUUGUUGGGGGAACUUCAAGUUAAAGCACAAUAUGGUGCAGCUUCUCAUCAGUAGUGGACAAUUUGCAGGACUUUCACACAAGGAUCCAUAAGUCCACUUACAGACUUUCAUUGAGCUUACUGAUACAUUUAUUCCAAUUAGGGUGAGUACAAAUUAUGUAAGGCUGACACAGUUUCCCCAUUCACUAUUGGGGGGAGGUUAAAAAGUGGUUGAAUAUAGAACCGACCAAUUCGAUCACAUUAUGGGACGACUUAGCCAGAAAGUUCCUUAUCAGAUUCUUUCCAUCAGACAAGACUACGAGACUUUGCACUGAGAUAGUGAGAUUCAAACAGAAGCCUGGUGAAAAUCUAUAUCACACUUGGGAAUUCUUCAAGGCUCUUCCUUGGGAUUGUCCACAUCACCAAUAGUCCAAUGACGUACUUGCUCAUACUUUUGUAGAAGCUCUUAAUAAUAAUACGAAUAUUUUCUAGAUUCAGCCGUAGGUGGCUAAGCGCUGGAAUUGAGUUAUGAUGAGCUUUAUAUAUUAUUGAACCAAAUAGCACAAGGAAAUCCCAAGUGGCAUUCAAAUUAUAGAAGUGAAACAAAAAUAAUUACGGGGAUAUUGGAGGUGGACCGAUUCACAGCCUUAUCAGCAUAGGUUUCUGCAUUAAAGAACUUAAUCAACACUCAGUUCAGCAGCAUGAAAUUGGGAACAGCACAAACUGCAGCCACAACCAAUGCUAUCCAAUAGGUUGCUGGUUAGUGUUAAGUAUACAGAAAUAAUGGCCAUGUAGCAGCUAUGUGUGAUUCACAUCCAAAAUCAGUUAUGUAUGUGGACAAUGGACAAAGACCGAAUUUUGGUAAUGCCUACGACAUGAAGUGGAAAAUACAACCUUGGAACACACAACAAUAGCUAAUUCAGCAAUCACAGGCCCAAACUAAUCAGUCAACUAGCAAUAUGAAAGAGAUAUUGAAGUAGCUUUUAGCUAAUCAAGCAUAGUUUACUACAGAUAUAAAAAAUUCACAAGCGUCCACAAGAAGUUUAGAGUUGUAGUUAGGAUAAUUAUCACAAGCAUUAAAUACUAGAACACAAGGUGGAUUGCCAGCAGAUACAAAAAAUCCAAAGUAGGUUAUAGCAAUCACCUUGAGAAAUGGUAAAGAUCUUCAAGGAGAACCUUCAAAGGUAACUAAGGACGUAGAUGCAGAUUUGACUCCCCAAUAGGUAAAUGAAAAACAAUGCUGAAAAAUCAAGGAAGUAUGAGUACUUGAAAGAAAAAUCUACUGAACUAGAGAAGAAGAAGAUGUUGCCACUACCCUACCCUCAGAGGCAAAUUAAAGAGAAGAAGGAUGCAAUGUUCAAAAAUAUCUUUGAUAUAUUUAGAGGACUUCACAUUAACUUACCCAUGCUAGAUAUUUUGUAAGUAUGCCCAAGUACGCAAAGAAAUUUAGAGAUGUGGUUACGAAUAAGGUGAAUUUGCAAGAUGUGGGAGCUAUAACACUUACUGAAGAGUGUAGCACAGUGGUGACACAAAAAAUCCCUAAGAAAUUGAGAGAUCAGGGGAGGUUUGCUAUCCCUAUUAAAAUUAUAGCAAAGUGGUCCAUGCACUAAGUGACUUAGGGGCAAGCAUAAAUUUGAUGCCCCUAUCAUUGUUUAAAAAACUAGGCUUGGAAAAGCGUAGAUCGACCACCAUGGUGUUAUUGCUGGCAGAUGGAUCAUUUACACAUUCGGAUGGAAUAAUUAAGGAUGUCCUCAUAAAGGUUGGUAAAUUCAUUAGGCCUGCUGACUUUAUUGUUCUUGAUUUUGAGGCAUACGAACAGGUACCAAUCAUCUUGGUACGUCUAUUCUUAGCAACUGAAGAGUCUUUGAUUAAUGUUAGAGAAGGCACGCUCAAAAUAAGGGUAGAUGAUGAAGAAGUGGUAUUUGAUAUUUACAAAGCACCCAUCAUAAAUUCCCAAUAUAAGAUUUGUAUAUGAUCAAUGUUAUUGAAGGGGAAAAGUGUGGUGUGGUUAAUCCACCAAAGACCUCUUCGGAUUACCUGAUUGAGCGGCCCAAGUUGAAUUCACUGUUUCCCAACAUGAUGAAGGUUGAAUUUGAGAGAAAAGUUGACCUUAAUAUUGCAAACUCAAGAGGUCAGAAAUUAAUUAAAAAAUGGCUCCCAAAGGGGAGUAAAAUGAUGAAAGAAUAUGGUUGAAUUGAGUUGGGUCGUGCCGCGACACUAAAUUAGGUACUUAUUAGGAGGCAACCCAAGUUAAUUAGGUAUGUUUUCUUUUUAGGUUUUAGUUUUUGUUUCACAUAGUUUAAUUUUUGGUUGAGUCACAAGUUGAUGAAAAGCCUGAGUACCAUAAACUUGAGCUAAGGAGCAUGGCAAAAACUGAGUGUGGGGUUCCAUGGAUCCUAUAAAUACAAAAUAUGCUACUAGCGAGUCCUAGAGAUGUUAGGGAGUAUUUCUAUCCCUUACUUUAAGUGUUCACUUUGGGGACAAAGUAGAUUUUUAAGUGUGUGGUGGGAAAAUUCCUAAAUUUUGGCUUAAUUUAAAAAAAAAAGUGUAAGAUAUUCUUGUUGGUGCUAUUUUUGAUUGCAUGAUGCAAGUGGGUUUGUUUGUAAAAGUAUAUUGAUUGAGUGAAUUUCUACUUUUGAGACUCCUAGGAUCAAGACUUUGACUCUUGUACUUGUUGGCUUAAAAUUGAAUUUGUACUAUGUUUGGUUGGGAGUCUCUGAUGAUCUUAUUAAGUUGAGCAUAUUUCAUGAGCGUGUGAGGUAUUUUGUAUAUUCCUUGUUGCAUGUGAUGUCUAGAACUUUCCCGGUGUGUGUAAAGCAAAAUAAAUAGUGUCGGUUUAGGAGAUGAUAUAGGCAAUUCUUUUAUAGCCUUAUUUUAUACCUUCUAUUUGUCCUACCCUUGUGCAUUAUCCUAGUAAACCCCCAUUAAGCCUUUAACCUUUUAUUUGGUAGCCUCAUAUGUAGCCUAAUCCCAUUCUUUGAUUGACCAUAAUUUGAUACAAAAAUCUCUUAGGCGUUUUAAUGAAAAAUUAAUUUAGUAAGGAGUUAGAGAAAUUGAAGAUGAAAAAGGUAAAAUUGAUGCCCCAAGGUAAGAGUUAUUGGUAUUUAUAUUUGAUGUAUAGUGGUUGGGAGUAAUAUAAAGAGUGUUAGAAAUAUUCCUAUAAUUGUAGAAAAUGAGAAAAAUUAAAUCUUGAAGGAAUAAAAAAUACACCCACUAUGUGUUUGUAAAAAUGCUUAAAAGAAAUGGGGCAAAAUAAAAUAGUGGGGUAGACAAAAAUGGUGUAAUUUGGCUGUUGGAUAUUGGUUUUAAAUGCAUAAUGUAGUGUAUUAAAGAGCUUAGAGAGGUUUGUCACUAUUUCUAAAUAGUUCCUACCUGUCCCUUAGCCUACAUUAAAACCCAGAAAAGUGCUAAUUGAUCCUAAGUUUUACAUUCUGAUAUUAGUGGAGCAUCACACAAAGGCAAGCCUAUGGUUCAUUGUGUGUAACUUGUGAAUUAUUUGUGAGAGUGAGCGUAAUUUGAUUCAUGUACCUAUCAUAAUGAGCAAUAUGCAUGAGUUUGCCACAAAGUGAGUCAAUUCUUGAGGUUAGAAUGUGUUGGAGUAGUAAUCAUCAGUUUUCAAUAGUGUAAAUAACAUGCUUAGCGUAGUAACUUGUACUUUGUGUAGUCAUUGUAGUACUAGCUUGAGUGUCUUUUAUUUAGUAGAAGUGUAGAGUCUCCUUAUUUUAUGAUGAUUAUAGUUAAGAGUUUUUCAAAGACGAAUAAGGCUUUUUAAGUGUGGGGUGAUGAUGUUGGGUAUAUUUAUGCAUUCUAGAGUCACUAUUCUAGUCGUUUUAGUUUUAUUUCGAGUAUCAUUCUAUAAUAUAUGGGUUAAUAAUGAGAUAAAUAUGUAUUAAAGUGUUAAAUCAUGUCUUUACAAUGGUUUCAAGUGUUUUUUAACAAGUUUGUAAUUCAAAGAGUCAAUUUAGAGAUCAAUAGAGAAAACUAGCCUUUCUAGUUUUAGCUAGUUGCUUGUCUAGGUUGGAUUCAAUGGUGUUUUAUGUGUUCCAAGUGGUUUUAAUGAUGUUAUUAUAUGUGUAAAAACUUUUUAGAAGUGUAAAAAGUUCAAUUGAGUCAAAUGAAAGAGUCAAAACAUUCAGUGGAAGAUCAUGGAAAUUCCCUAGUCUAAGCUCUUAUUUUUGAUACGUCGUAAUGAAUGUUAUGUUGUUGACCCUUUAAUUCGUGUGGUUUGUUAUUGUAGGAUCCUUUUUGAGCUUAAUAUGAUGAUAUAUGGAUGAUAUAAAGGCUGUAAAAUCAUUGGAAAGACACCACAAGAGAAGGGAUGAAAGAAGGAAGGACCAACACUUAACUAAAAUUCGGAGGACAACUUCCAGUAGCACCAUGCUAUUUGCAUACGUCACAUGCUCUAUUCCUAUGGAAUAGAUGGUGCGUCACAUGAUCCACUCCAUAAGAAUAGAGGGUACUACGCAUGGUCUACUCCACCCCUGGGUAUUUUAACCUAAUUCAAUUCCAACACGGAUUGGCUUACCCCUAUACUAUAAAUACAUGUUGUAUCACAUUUUUACAUAUCUUUGAGAAAGGGGCUGCUACAACUUUAAAAUUAGGUUUUUAUUAUUUUUAUUUAGUUCAUUCAUGUUUUAGUUGUUAAUUACUAAUUUUUUAUUAUGAUUAUGACUAUGAGUGGCUAAAUGCCCUUUUCCGGGGUUGACGCCAAGAACAUGACUACUUUAGUUUUGAAUUGAAUUCAUUUAACUUUGAUAAUCAUUAUUGGUUGUGUGUUCAUAUUUGAUUUAACUAUUUUAAGGAUUCGCUACCCUUAGAAUAUAUCAAUUGUCUACCUUUUGAUCUUGGGAGAGAGAAUAGGAGAUAGAAUAAGGAGAUGAACAAAGUUUGGGUUUUUAUUCUUUUAUGAAAUAAAGAUUUGAACUUAGCACCUAGGACAUGGAUGUACUUAGCAUCCAAACUUGAUUCAAACGUAGGAUGAUAGCUAAAAGAACAUAAGUGGACUAUUACAUCCCCGCUCAACGAUGUAGUUGUAAGGUUUAACUUAGGUAAAGGAUUAGAGGUUGGGAAAAAAAAUCACACAAUUAACCCUAUGAACCUAUAACCAAGAUAAGCAAGUUAAUGAAUAAAAUUGUUCAAAGUGCAUCAACCCUGGGUUCUGCAUUGCAAUAACAAACUACAAACUCUAUUUUGGUUACUCUUGCACUAAAUUAAUCUAAAUUGUGAACCAAAAUUUAAUCGUUGCUAAAUCAAGUCUCUAUGGGAUCGACACUUGGCUUCUUGAAGGCCACUUUACUACUUGAUAAGACUACGUACACUUGUGUGUGCGCUUGGGGGCUGUCACUAGGUAUGGUAGAAAAGGAAAAAAAGAAUAUUAGAAAAAGAAUGAAUAAAAAGAAACCAUACUAACGUGAAUGUGCAAUUAAAGAAUAAAAAUGGAGACAUAAGGGUGGAAUAAAAAAAAGUUGGCUAAUGAGUAGACCCCAAAAUAAGUGUAAUGCCAAGAAGGCUUAGUCACUUAAAGAAUAUCCACAUAUGUAUCAAACCAACCUCCAAGCCUGCAUUACAAACGUAUAAAGUCCCAUAGUGAUCCUAGCUUGACUGUCCAAAAUAUUAGGUAGAGAAAAUAAAGGCAAGCCUAUUGUAUUUUAUGCACAUUGAUUGGAACUUUUUUGUGAGUGUGACUGUUUCUUUACCGUCCCUGCAUUGACAUGCAUAAUUUUAUAUGAGUGAUUGGGACUUCUGAGGGCACAUGGUUUGUAUUGCUAGCUGCGUACUUGUUUGGGUAGUGUAACUUGUAUAUAUGCAUGGUUGUUUAUGUAAUUCUGUAGCUUGAUUCCCGUGUGUCAUGUUAUAGUGCUUCAUGUAUACACAUAGUUGGUGUUAAUGUAUUGAACUUGGAGAGGGUAAUGUGUUUAGAGAUAAAUUUAAUAAUUGAUUGUCAUUGGUAUCUUAGGUUGCUCUUAAUUAGCAUUGUCGUAUCUUUUGUUGUGUUUUUGUUGCCUGGGGACACACAAUGUUGCCAUCCGAACAUACAAUGUUCUAAGUUGAGGGUCUUGUUGUGGUUAAAAAUUUAGAAAAACUAACCACAUGUGGUAGGUUUUUGUGGUCGGUUAUCCUGUUUUUUAAAAAGUGUAUGGGGAUGUAAAUAAGACUACAAUUCCUGAGUUGGGGCGUGUUGGACCUCAUUUAAUAAUUUUUCCACAUUGUUCUUGGAUAGACAAAUCCUGGUCGAGCCAUCCGAACAUACAAUGUUCUUGAAUAGCAUUGUUGUAUCUUUUGUUGUGUUUUUAUUGCCUGGGGACAUUCAAUGUUCUAAGUUGAGGAUCUUGUUGUGAUAUGGAUUAUAGAACUUAUGCUUCUUAAACAUGGAGAAUAUGCAUGUACUUAAGGCUAUUUUGUUGGAUUUGAUGUGUUUUUAGAGUGAUUUUGCAGGAAACUAGGUUUUGGAUGCUAAAUGGAAGAAAAAGAUAAAAAUUUAAAGUUUUGGUCUACUUACCAAGGAACUUACUGGGUGUAUGUGGACUUACUUAAGUAGGUUCUUAAGUAGGUGAUAGAACUUGAAGUUGAGAGGAUCAAGAGUAGGGAAAAAAUACCCUGACACUUACUAAUGGCACCAACCGCCCGUAGGUGCCACCUAUGGUCCGUAGAUGCCACCUACGGUCCGUAGGUAUUAGAGUAGAUUGUAUAACCAUGAAUUUCAGAGAUUUUUCAACACUUUUGGAGGAAAAGUCACUUAUCAAAGACCACCUACGAUCCAUAGGUAGUACCUACGGUCCGUAGGGCACCAUAGUAAGUGGUUACUAACCGCAAUUUUUCGAGAUUAUUUCAAAAUCGUUCCCUAGGGUUUCCAUGUAACCUAAGCCUACUUCUAUGAUGUUCUUAGUUAUUAGUAUGUACAUUUGCCAAGUUUUUCUAUUUUAUUUAGGAUUUGAUUUCUAGGAUUUCUUGUAAUCUAUAAAUACUCUUUAGACAUUGUUUAGCAGAAAGAGGCAAGAGAUUCAGAGAGAGGCCCUUUGUGGCUACGUUUACUCCAUCUUUUUAUUCUAAGAUUAAUAUGUGAUCUUUUUAUUUUAUUGUUCUUGGUUUGUUGUUCAAUUUAAUACUUUGGGUUUUCUUCUUUCAUUAUUGUGAGAUUAAUUCUAUGAUUUUGUUUACAAAUCCCAUGAAUGAACUCAUAAUUUUGAGAAAAAAUUCCCUUAGCUAGGGUUGUGGUAACUUUGGGGGAUUAACAAAGUAGACGAAGUGCCAAGUCAUUCUAGAAAAUGAUUCUUGCAUUUAUUUUGAUUUUCUUUACUUUGAUUGUUUUCUUAACGAGUGCAUACAUUAGGAUCCCUCUUGUAUUCACUAUGAGCAUGAACGGGAGGUAUAGAUUGGGAAAAGGAGAUAAUAAUAGUGAUUUGGGGUUAGUUUCCAGAAUAAGCAUACCUACACUAUCUUCUUAAGAUGAUUAACUUUCAUUUAAUAACUUGAGACUCAAAAGGUAAUUGUUAAACUGGGAUCUAGGAUAAGGGUUAGUAAGAUAACAUCUUGAGACUUAAAAGGUGAAGGGUGAGAUCCAUCAAUAAGUCCACAAAAUAGUUGAUGGUACAUAACUUAUCAGAUUCUGCAUGCUAAGUAAUACUUCGACAGCGUAUCAUAAAUCUAUGAAGUUAGAAGCCAGGGGAACACAAGCCUAGUGUUCAUCAUAGAUUGUUUACAACCAAAAGCAUCCAAUUCUUUUUACUUCUUGGAAGUUUACUUUUCCACACUACCUGGUGACUUCAAUAAGUUUGAGAAGGAUUUUUUAUGUACUUCCUAUGGAAACAACCCCAACCUAGUUAGGUUACUAUAUUUUGACAGAGACCAUUUUAUCCUUCAAUUGGAAGUUUAGUUUGGAUGACAUCAUCUAACAUAUUAAAUCAUCAUCAACCAGGCACUCAUCUUAGUAAUAAUAUUUAGAAUCUAAAGAAUGACAGAAUUUUCAAGUCAUUACUAUUAAAAGAGGUAAGGCCACUAUUGAUCCAGCCAUGCCUGUAGUUGAUGACAUGAUGAAUGAUCCUAUGGAUAUUAAUGAUGUGGAUGAAGAUGAAAUAGGAAAGUUGGUGACUAAUAAUGAGGCAUCUCAGAAGCCUAAAUUUGAAGAAAAAAGAUUUGAAAAUGAUAAAAGAAAGGGAAAGGAGGUCACACCAGUAUUGAAGACUGUUCCCUGACCUCCUCCGCAUUUUCCCCAAAGGUUAAAGAAGAAAUUUGAAGAAGAGAAGUAUCACAAGUUUAUUUCUAUGCUAUAAAUAUUAUUUGUGAACAUCCCUCUUAUAGAGGCUCUUAUGCAGAUAUCUAGUUACGCAAAAUUUAUAACAUAUUUGGUGACCAAAAUGAGGAUGGUAAGAUUUGAGACUGUAUUUAAUAUGCAACAUUGUAGUGCCAUUUCCUCUUGAUCAUUAGUUCAAAAGAAGUAAAAUCUAGGAGCCUUCACCAUUCUUUGUACUAUUGGGUCUUCCAAUUUUCCAUGGGCUUUAUGUGAUCUGGUAGAUAACAUUAAUUUUAUACCACUAUUUGUCUACAGGAAGUAAGGGUAGUGGUCUCCUAAGACGACCUCUAUGAUAUUUGUAAUGGCAGAUGGCACUAUGAAGAAUUAGUCUUGUAUUUAGUGUGAUAUGUUAUUAAAGGUGGCUUCUUUUAUGUUUCCAACUGAUUUUAUGAUUCUCGAUUGUGAGGUUGACUUUAAUAUCCUAAUCAUAUUAAGAAAGCCUUUCAAAUCCACGGGUAGGGUAUUUCUUAACAUGGAGAUGGGAAAAUAAAGUUUAGGCUUAAUGAUGUGUAGGUCACAUUUAAUGUCUGUCAAUUGAUGAAGUAGCCACAUUCUAUGAUAGAUAUUACAGAUAAAGAUGCAUUGGUUGCACGCAUUAAGGAGAGGCCUGGUUUUAAAACACUCAUAGCCAUGAUAAUCAAUUUUGAUAGUGAUGGUAUUGAUGGGUAUGAUGAUAUGGUGAGUGCACUUAUAGGCCAAGCUUCAUACUCUUAUAUGCAAAAAGAAGUUGGACCUUGAUCUAAAAAAUAGAUCAACCCCUCUAGCCAAACACUCUAUUAAGGAGCCACCAAUUUUUGAAUUGAAGGUCUUCCCUCUCAUUUGCAUUAUGCGUUCUUGGGGGCCAAUAAUACCUUGUCGGUUAUUAUCACAGUGGACUUAUUAGAGUGGCAGGUUGAGGCUUUGAUAUUGGUUUUGCAUAGGUUUAAGAGGGCUAUUGGUUAGAGUGUUGUUGAUAUAGUUAGCAUCCUACCUAGAAUUUGCACUCAGAAAAAAAGAUGAAACAAAAAAGUUGGUGACUAACAAUGAGGCAUCUCAAAACCCCUCAAUUGCAUAGAAAAGAGCCGAUGAUGAUAAAUAAAAAGGUAAGGACGCCAUGCUAGUGUUGAACCCUAUUCCCUGACCUCUUCCAUAUUUUCCACAAAGGUUAAAUAAGAAGUCAAAGAACGGAAGUAUUGGAAGUUUAUUUCUAUGUUGAAAGAGUUGUCUGUGAAUAUUCCUUCUGUGAAAGAUCUAGAGUAGAUGCCUAUUUAUGCCAAAUUUAUGAAACCUAUAGUCGAAAUCCUACCUAAAAUUUGCACUCACAAAAUUCAUCUUGAAUUCGAAUGUAUACCUAGAAUUGAGCAUCAAUGUAGGUUGAAUCCACCUAUGAAAGAGGUUGUAAAGAAAGAAAUCAUCAAGUGGUUAGAUGCAAGUGAGCUUUAUCCAAUUGCCGACAACAAGUAGAUGAGCUCGAUUUAGUGUGUGACAAAUAAAGGUAGGAUGAAUAUGGUCCCUAAUGAGAAAAAUGAAUUAGUUCUUGUGAGACCAGCCACUAAAUAACGAGUUUCCAUAGAUUACAGAAAGCUAAACAUGGACCUAGAAGAACCAUUUUUCGAUACCUUUCAUGGCUCAGAUGUUAGACUUCCUUGCGGGUAGAGGAUGGUCUUGUCUUCUUCAUGGUUAUUUGGUUUACAAUAAGAUUUAUAUUGCUCCUAAGUACCAACACAAAACCACUUUCACUUGUCCAUAUGGGACGUUUGCAUUUAAAAUAUUGCCCUUCGGUCCUUGUAAUGUGCCCACCACUUUUCAGCACUACAUGAUCUAUCUUUUCGUACAUGGUGGAGGACGCCAUUGAGGUUUUCAUAGUUUAUUUCUCAGUUGUGGAUGAUUCGUUUGAUGAUUUAUUAGCUAAUUUGUCCAAUGCCCGAUAAAGAUAUGAAGAGUGUAAUUUGGUUCUAAAUUAAGAGAAGUGUCACUUCAUGGUCAAAGAAGGUAUAGUUCUUCGGCAUAAAAUUUCAAAUCAGGGAAUAGAGGUUGAAAAGGCUAAGAUCAACGUGAUUAAAAAGGUUCCUCAACUGAUUUUAGUGAAGGACACAUAGAGUUUAUUGGUUCAUGCAGGUUUCUAUAGGAAAUUCAUCAAGGACUUCUUGGAAAUUGCAAAUCCAUUGUGCAAAUAUUUAGAGAAGGAGGUAAAGUUUUUAUUUAAUGGUGCUUAUCUUAAGGAUUUUGGGUGCCUAAAAGAGAGGUUGAUUUUAUCUCCUAUUAUUAUAUCCCCUGAUUGGACCUUACCAUUUGAAGUGAUAUAUGUUGCUAGUGGUGUGGCUCUAGUAGCAGUUCUAGGACAAAAACGAGAAAAGAUACUUCAUCCCAUCUACUAUGCCAGCAAAGCACUGAAUCCCACAAAGAAGAAUUACAUGGGGAUUGAAUAGGCAUUUCUUGUAGUGGUGUUUGCUUUGAAAUAUUCUAGACCUACUUAAUUGGUACCAAAGUCAUUGUGCACACUGAUCAUGCUUCUCUUAGUGUCAUGACCCAAACUAGGGCCUGGCCAUGACCGGUAUCUCAAGUCCACCGAGGACCAGAGACCACCCCUUUAUUGCCUAGCCAAAUAGGUUAUAACAUUCCUAGCAGUGGUUGAAAUCCAAGCAUAUAAUGGAUAUAAAGUUAACAAACUCAAACAUCAAAGCAUGUAAAUAUCAAUACCCAAUCCAGAGUAACACCCACAAGGCCUAUACAAGUCCAAAAACAAGCUCAGUCAGGACAUGCCCCUGACACUGAUAAUUAAAAUUAUAAUGUUAAUUUGAAUUCCUUAAUUCUAGUCUAUGAAAGGAAACUGAUGGAAUUAUCAAGUCUUUCGGUAAAUAAAAGCCCACCACUUCACUGCAAACUAUCGACGAACCAAGCUGAUCCACCUAAAACUACACAAAAAAGUAGGAUUUUGUUCGGACUCUAUAUCAGAUGGGGAUAUAGCAUCUAGAGAUGGUUAAUGGAAUAAGAACUAACAUCUAAGUUAUGAAUAAUAAUAAAUUAAUGACAAUUCAAAAAUGUAGUUCAACUUAAUGUACAUUUUCACAUACAUGUGUUUAUCCAUAUAUAUUUAUAUAAAAUACUGGGAUAGGGGACAAGGCUUAGCCUGCACUUUAAAAAUCUUAACUUGGAUUGUGUAACUUAACCAUUAUAUAAUAGUACCCAUGGGCUAUAUGGUCCCUAGAUCUCAUCCCCUAGUCGGGCCCCAGUGCAUGUAGACACAUGAACCGGAGAAUAAUCUUAUAUAUAUACACGAGGGACUCAAACCCCCCAACCAUAUACUGAGGUGACUUAAGCACCCAAUUAUGUAAUGUAUUAUGGGGGCCUCGAACCUCCCAAUCAUAUAACAAGGUGGACUCGAACCACUCGGUCAUAAGCAAGGGGACUCAAACCCAGGCCAUUUAGACCCCUGUGCUAGUAAAUGCAGUUUCUAGUAUUGGUCCCUUAGAACUACCACUUUUACAUCCCAACUACACAACCCUAUUUAAGCCUCAUUAAAGCAUUUAUCACACAUUAUCAUUCAUUGAACCAUAUAUAUUUAGGCAUACACUAUUGGUAUAUUUAUACCAACUACACUUGCAAGGUAACAUCAUCAUGCCAUUUUAAUUCCAUCGUCUUUGGAAAAUAACUCCCUUCAUUCAUUAAUACAAGGUGGGGGAACACAGACUCCCUUUGUUCAUUAAAUUAAACUAUCAUGUUUCAAUACCCCCUUUACAUCAUGAAAUUGUUCCGAAAGUAGUUCACUAUAAUUUUACUCAGCUAAAACCACUUUUACAAAACCUAGGUUGGGGGUUAUUACCAAUUCAAUUGUCAAUAAUCAUAAAUUUUGGGGAAAUCACAGUCCCUUAGUUUAUUCAUCAUUCCCAUGCACCCCACAAGUUUAAAACUAUACAUAAAUCAUAAACAAUCAUAUGUAAACCAUGGAAAAUAUAUUUCAAAAACAAAUAUUCAAAACCCUCAACCCAUGUUCUAAAACUAACAUCAAAACCCUAGGGAUAACUAUUUAAUGCUCAUGCUCUUAGAACAUAAUAGUUGGGAAGAGUAACAUGGCUAAAAUACGAAGAUUUAUGGAGAGAAAUUAACCCUUGAGCCCUUAGAUGACCAACUUCAUGAAAACCCUAAGUAUUUUGACCUAAAGAAUUUAGAGAGUUGGAGAGAGUGUUUUGAGUGAUAAACUAUUGAAAAUAUUAUCCCAACGGUGUUUUAUGGUAAUGGGUAUUAAGUGAGGGAAGAGGGAAAUAUCCAAAAUGCCCCUAACUUAAAAGCUGAAAAAUUAUCGCCAAUGACUAUGGGUCACUAUUCGACUCGUAAGGACAUGUUAUGGUAUGUCACCAUGAGUCAUAGUCGAGACAUUAGCUAAAUGACCCUUCUCUAGUGACCAUACGAUUCAUACCAUAUGACUCAUAAGGUGACCCUAUGACUCGUAGGGUUCAAGUCAUAGUCAAGAUAGAAACACUUGGGGCAUACGUUGGUAUGGAUAUGGAUGGGACCAUAUGACUCGUUUAGAGUUUUUAUGACUCGUUAGGAUCCACUCAUAUUUAGGAUAGUGACUGGGAUACCUUUACUAGACACCCUAUAAUUGGGGUCCUAUGACUUACAAUGACACGUUAUGACUUGCAGGGUGAGUCGUAGUCAGAACAGUAAGUUCAAAAACUCAAAAUUUUUAGUGGCCAACACCUAGGGCGUCACACUUAGGUACCUUAUAAUGAUAAAAGAUGCUAAGCUUAGAUUGAUUCAAUGGGUACUAUUGCUAUAAGAAUUUCAUUUUGAGGUUAAGGAUUGGAAGGGCACCAAAAACUAAGUUGUAGAGCAUUUGUCACACCUAGAGAAUGAAGUGAUACUAAAACUAGGCGAUGAGCUUUAUUUUUAUGAUAAUUUUCCAUAUAGGCACAUUUUUGUAGAAUUACAAGACUUAAACCCUUGGUUUGCCGACUUUCCAAUUAUUUGUCAAGUGACCUCAUCCUACAAGAUAUGUUAUUUCAGCAGCACAAGCAAUUUAUGCAAUGGGUGAGAAAGUUCUUUUGGAAUGUGUCAUACUUAUUUUGGGUGUGUGUUGAUGGUAUGAUUCAAAGGUGUAUUCUUAAGUUAAGAUGAUAAGUAUUUUGGAGGUUUGUCAUUCAUCUCUAGUUAGGGAUUAUCAUAGAGGUACACAUACUACCCACAAAAUUUUGCAAUAUGGUUACUAUUAGCCAACUAUCUAUAAGGACGCACAUUACUAUGCUUGGUCUUGUGGAUAAUCCCAAAGGAAGGGGAAUAUUUUAUUAAAACAUGAGCUUUCUAUGAUGCCUAUUAUUGAGCUUAAGUUGAUUAAUAUUUGGGGAUUCAAUUUUAUGGGCCCAUUUCUAAGCUUUCUUGGGAUGAAGUAUGGUUUGGUAGAAGUCUACUACGUUUCUAAGUGACGAGAGUCAAAUUGCUCUUCCAAACAAUGAAGGUAAGAGUGUUACAGUGUUCUUGAAGAAAAAUAUCUUCUUUAGUUUGGUACAUUAUGAGCUAUCAUUAGUGAUGAUGGGUCUCAAUUUUGUAAUCAACUGUUCAAAGACUUAUUUAAGAAAUAUGGUGUGAAGAAUAAGGGGGAAAUACCUUACCAUUUUCAAAUAAAUGGGAAAGUUAAGAUCUCCAAUCAAGAGAUAAAGUCUAUUUUGUCAAAGACUAUGAAUGCCAAUAGGAAUGAUUGGUCAAGAAAGUUAGAUGAUCCACUAUAGGCCUAACAGACAACAUACAAGACUCCUAUUGGUGCAUCUCCAUAUCAGUUUUGUAUGGCAAGGCAAGCCACUUGUUAGUUGAACUUGAGCAUAAGGAAUUGUAGGCACAGAAAAAGUUGAAUUUUGAGUGGAGUGAUGUUGCACACUUGCAAUUGGAGAAAAUGAAUUAGAUAGAUAAAUUUCUCCUAUGUGCUUAUAAGAGUUUAUCCUUGUACAAGAAAAAUAUGAAAUUAUACCAUCAUAGGAGAAUCAAAUGGAGUGAAUUCCAACUCAGUGAUUUGGUUUAGUGGUGUGAUUCGUGGCUUUGACUGUUUCAUGGAAAGCUGAAGUCUAGAUAGUUUGGAUAAUUCACCGUGGAAAGAUUAUAUCCAUAUAGUGAGAUUGAGAUACAGAGAGAUAUCAAUGUCCCAAUCAAGGUAAACAGACAUUGUGUUAAUCAUAUAUAGGAAACAUGGAGGAUAUUAAAGUAAGUGAGAAUGUGCGCCUUGGCGAAAUUUGAGUAGUCAAGAGAGUUUUGUCGUACCACAAUGUUAGAUUAGUAACUUUAUCUGACGCAACACAUAGGGACUGAUUUUUUAUAUCUGAGUACCCAACUUGGUCACAUCAUGCCGCGACAUGAAAUCAAGCGCUUUAUAGGAGAAAACCCAUUUUUAUACUUAGUUAAGUUACAUGGACAUGUGUAUUAAAAUAUUCAGGGCUGAUCUAUGUAGGAAGUGACACAGUAAAAUUCCUAGUGUCCUCAACAACUCAUCGCUAGAACUGCUAGGAGGAGAUAAGGAUAAUUGUAUUAUGGCAAAGAUCUAUAGAGUCACUACGACUCUCAGAAUGAGUCAUAGUCACCAAUGAUGUCUCACCACCUUAAUUUAUAAGGACUAAGAACCCAGGUAACUAUAUUAGCACUUGAUGAGGGUGGUGACAACUUGUAUUCACCGACCACGAGUUGUUACCAGAGUCAUGGUCAACAUUAAAUGACGCAGUCCAAUUGUUUCGACCCAACUCACUUUACACAAAAUAAAAAGGGGAAUCCAAUCCAAACUGAUUCUUUUUCCUUUUUGAACAUGUGUAACUCCCUCUAUCCUCUAUAACCAUCUAUCAUAUUUUUAACACACUUGACAAUUAUUUAAAUCACCCCAUCUAGAAUCAAAACUACUCCUAAAUCUCCCAUUCUCUCAAGAAGAUGGUUAAGUAAAAUCAUAGAAUCCAAGCAUCAUUUGUUGAUUUGAAGUAAUUACACACUAAUUCCCAUCUAAUUUUUUAAAUUAUACUUGAUAUUUUAGCAUAAUUUUUCUUUGGAUACUUUGCUUGAACUUGACUAGGGUUUCGGAUGAUUAUCUAAGUUAUAAAUAAAAAUGGUUUUUAUGCAUAAUAGGAGUAGUGUGGGUUUUGUGUCAAUCACCUAAGGGGAAGUCUAAGUACCCUAAAAAUAUGAUUAAGCAAAAAAAAUUGAUAACCUAUAUUGACAAUUACUAUGACUCAUUCUAUGAAUUAUAGCCUCACAUGACAAGAUAUCCUGUAACUCAUAGUGAAUAAAAACAUGGGUGAUUAGUAAUAUGCAUUCAUUGGUUUCCCUACGAGUUAUUCUCAAACACUAUGGCUCAUUCAUUGACUCAUAGAUACUAGGAGUGAAGUAUCAGUUUAAGGAAUUUUUAUUGGUCACUCUAUGAGUCACCAUAAUGACCCUUGAGAUCAUUUUCCAUAUUUCUGAUUAUUUUUUCUAUUAGAGCUUUUCCAAAGAUUCCUUAAGUCAUUUAUGAAUUUUUGGAACUAAUAUCUUAGUAAACAGGCAAUUCGUUUGGUUUUUAGAGUCAAUUCCCCAUUUAGAAGUCUUCUUUGGAUCUAAAUGUCUACUAGGAGAAAACUUUAGUAAAACAACCUCAGAUGUGAAUUCCAACUAUGCUAGCAUCUCCAAAAUAUCAAUUUUAGGCUAGGUAUACCUUUGGUUUGGGCCCCAAUGCGCCUAAACUCAUUUUGACCGAUUGGUUAGAAAGUUGAAAAAUUGGGAGUUUAGGUGUGAGACUCACAUUUGGUCGAAAUGACAUCAAAUAGAAAAAUUGACUCUUACAAAGUAUCUGAAACAUUGAAAUUAUAUGGUUAUAUACUUAUUUGCAUAAAUUGGAUUCUAAAUGAAUCCUAGGAACCAUUGGAAAACUUUAAAUUUCCCAAGUAGCUGGUUUUAAGGUGUGCACGAUCGCACAAAGAGCAUUAUGAUCGCCCUUACAUGAUCACCAUGUAAUUGGUUGUGAUUGAACUUGCAUGAUAGCCAUCCCUAGAUGGAGAUCGCCAUAGCUGAGGGCCUAGAAUGGGUCUUUAAAAGCCUUAAGGUCAUAUUUUGUGCACUCUUUACCCUAAAAUAGUGGGCUAAACUUAAAUUGAGUCUUUAGUACCUCUUGGGAGCUUAGAUAAUGUAUAUUUUCAUGAUUAACAAUGAAUUUAAGGUAAAAAUCCUUCCAUUUCAUGCUUAGAUUUCUUAAAUUCUUGACCAAAACCCCAAUUAGCUUAGAGUCUUGAUUUAGCCCCAAAUAAUCUUAACCCGUACUUAUAUCUUGAGAGUUAUGGCUCCUUGAUUUUGUAUGAAUAUUGGGUUGACCUUGGAAAUGUGUUUUCCGUAAGUGAGACCCACUUGGGGGGGUUUUGGUGACAUUUUUAGACUCAAAUAAUAAUAGUGCAACAUAGGUAUCAGUGUUCUUAUUAUAAUGUGUAGUUUGUGUUUUUGAUAGCUUGGCAACAUGAAGAAGCUUCUCAGAAAGAAAAAGUAAUAGUUUUGAGAUUCGUGAACUUUCUUUAGAUUUAAGGUAGGCUAGGCUUACUUCUUGUUAGAUUAAGGUAUGUUGUAGUCUCAUUGUGAUAUCUUGUUAGAUUGGGAGGGGUUCUAGGUAUUGGAUUGAUAAAUUGUAACACUCGAGAUUAGUUGAAUCAUAUAAGGUAUUUGGAACUCAUAGGAUAAAACGCUUGACUUAUAGGCUUGAACCUUGAUAAAUUAGACUUUGUACCUCAUGGAUAGUAUAAGGAUGCUCUAGUUGCUCUAUUUAGAUGGGAGUGACCUUAUCACUCAUGUUAGGGGUGAGUUGACAUUAGUUUCUUACAUUGGUGAAAGUAUAUUAGUUGCCAUGGACGAGUUAGUAGUAGUGUUUGAUAAAUACCUCUAUCUUAGGACUGUUGUAGCUUGUUGAACAUCAAAAACUUAACUUAGAUACCUUAUUCUAGUCCCAAGUAGAAGCUAGACUUGAAAUGUAAUUUGAGGAACUAGAAGUGGGUUUUUAACCCAUCUUAAGGUUGGACUUAUAUAGUUCUCUUGAGAUCUUAGACAUUUGCUAAAUAUCUAGAAAAUGCUCCCUUGAAAACAUAAUGGAUAAAUUGAGUAAUUAUAUUAUGGUGAUGAUCUUAAAAGUGAUGUGUAUGAUUGGUUGGCUAAAUUACCACAAAUGCAAUCAGUUACUAUGCUUUAUGUUACCUAUUAAGCCUUUGUCUAUGUUAUCAUGUGUGCUAUUUGACUAAGUCAUUAUUUUGGGCUUGGUCUAUGUUACUACUCAUGUUUUACUCUUGUUUAGUGAAAAAACUAGUAACCAUGCUAAAAAUCCUUCAUAUUUCUAAUAUAGUGAGUCAUGGUAUGAAUGAUUCUAGAAGGCACACUUAUUGACUACAUGGGAAGUUAUGUUGCUAAUUAUGCUUGAAACCUGAUGAUAAUAGUAGUGCUCAUGUCACCUAUAUACAUAUUAUUAAUAAAUUGACAUAGAAGACAAAUGUUGAGUGUUAGAGGUAUGUUUUCUUUACCUUUCCUUUAUGUCAUUUACUUUAGCCCUCAUGGGGCUUGUUAUUUUCUUUAUCCCUCGUGGGGCUUGUCAAUUUCUUUUGCCCUUGUGAGGCUUUUCCUUUAUUAUUAUCAUGGAUUGUUUAUUAUGUUGGUAUGCCCGAUAAGGCUGGAUGAUUAUGUUGGUGAAAUUAUGAUACUCGGAAAGGCCGAAGGAUUAUAUUGGUCAUAUGAUGAUGUCCAGCAAGGACGAAGGACUAUGGUGGUGAUAUGAUGAUGCUCAGUAAGGAUGAUGGAUUAUAUUGGUGGUAUGAUAAUGCUCAAAAAGGUCAGAGGAUAUGUUGAUAAUGUGAUUUACCCAACAAGGCCAAAAGAUGAUUAUUGAUGUUCCUAUGUAUACAUCUACUGGUUCGAGUCCGGCUAACCCUAUGUAUGGAAAAUACAUGCAUUCUUCUAUAUAUAUACAUCUAUGUGUGCAAUGAGGGUGUGGUGUUCACUUAGGGUGCUGAUUAUAGUUCACUAGUGUUAAAUACUUAUAAGGAGGUGUAGUUAAUGAUUAAUGAUAAAGAGAUAUUUGUAAUGAAUAUUAUUUAAUGUCUAUCCAAGACUAGUUGGUAAAUGAGAAAUUAGUCAAAACGUGAGGAUUUUCUUAGUGAGUAAUAUUAGUGUUAAAUAAUGGUUAAUUAAGGAGAGCGGCUACAAAAUGACUAUGUGGUGAAUAUUGCCUAAUAGAUUACUAUAUUAUGUAAUGGCUAGAAAUCAAAUGGACUAGUUAUGGUCCUUGUUGAGCUACUAACUAGUGGUUAAUAAGUGUGGAUAAUACUUGGCUAAUGAGGAUAAUAGUAUUAAAUAUGGUUGUAGGGUCAAUGUUGUUACCUAAUGAAAGUUCGGUAACAUAUCCAAUUUAUGAUAAACGUGGAAGAAACUUGGAAAAUGUUGAUAUUUGGAUAGAUAGUUGGUUAAAUGACUUACUAUUAUUUUCCUUGAAUGUACUCUCCGGUAGUAUGGAUGUCAUGAUGAUUUCUUUACUUUAUGCACUAGUAGGUGUUUGGGCGCCAACUUUAUACUUGUGUUUGUGUGGUUGUACUUUAGAAUGCGUUAUGAUUCUAAAUUGUUAUUUCUUAUCUGCGAUGAUAAUGGCAUGUUAUGAUUCUCUAUGAUAUAUUAUUGCACCGGGUUAAUGUCUUACCUUAUAUAGUGAUGAUGGAGAUGAUUCAGGUUUGAUUCUAUACCUUGACUUAGAUAUGUUUAUCUUGUAUUAUACUAUCUUUAUAUCAUGAUUUAGCUCAGUCGAGCGAUGAUGCCUGCUGAGUACCCAUUGUUUUGGUACUCAUAUUACACUACUGUAACUUUUUGGUGCAAAUCUGAGUACUAGUUGCCGCCGUUAAUUUGUGAUGUUGGGUAUAUUUAUGCACUUUAGUAUCAUUAUCCUAACUUAUUUAGCCUUUCUUUGAAGAUAAUUCAUGUGCUCAGUGAGUGAAUGAUUGUACAAAUAAGAAUCUAAGUGUUCAAGUAUUAAUUGUGAUGUUUAGAAGUGUUUUCAAACAAGUUUGGGUUCAAAUCAAUCAUUUAGGGUCUAGGCGAGAAAACAGGUUUUACUAGCUCGAGCUAGGUGUUUUUCUAGUCUAUCGCAAUGGAUUCUAAUGUGUCAAAUGAGUUACUAAUGAUAUUAAUGUGUGAUUAUGUCUGGAAAAACUUGUUUAUAAUGUUCAAAGUGUAAUUGGAACAAUCCAAGAGUCAAUGCAAUAAAGUUAAAGAUCAAUGGGAGCAAGCCUAGUCUUAGCUCGCAUUUUUAGCUUGUCGUUCUUGUUUUUUUGAUGUGUUGAACUCUAAUUCUUGGUGUUUGAUAAUGUAUAAUGCUUGAUGAGUUAAAUAUGGUGAUAUAUAGAUAUUGAACAAGCUAGAAUUGAAGGCAAAAUAACACCACAAGGAAAAGGAUGGGUUCAAAUUGAAUGAGUUGUGCAUAAAAUACUCCUACCAUAGUGUUGAGAAUAAACUUAAAGAGAUAGGGUGGAAAAAAAGGAAUGAGGUAGACAAAAGUGGUGUAAUCUGUUUAUUAGAGUUGAAUUGAAUGUAAAAAGUGAUUUAUUAAAGCGCUUAGGGUAUAUAGUCAAUAUUAAGCCAAAAUAGUUCCUACCCGUUCUGUAGCCUACAUUGCAACCUUUAAAGACCUAUUAAUCUUAAGCUUCAUCAUUCUAAUAUUAGUGGAGCACUAUGCUAAGGGAAAGCCUACGGUUCAUUAUGUGUAACUUGUGAAUUACUUGUGAGACUGAGCAUAACUUUAUUCUUGUGCCCAUUCUGUAAUAAAUUGCAUUUAUAUGAGUGAUUAUGGGUAACUCUCUUGUUGUGAGGUCAUAUGUUUGAUGAAUGUGGGUGAUUUUUAUGAUGUCCUUGAUUGAAUAAUAUGCAUGAGUGUGCCAACUAGGUGAGUCAAUUCUUGAGGCUAGGAUGUUUUGGAGUAGUAUUCUUGAGCUUUCAAUUGUGUAUGUAACAUGCUUAGUGUAGAAACUUGCAUUCUUUGUAGUCAUUAUAGUACUAUCUUGAGUCUUGCAUGUAGUAAAAAUGUAGAGUCUCCUCAGCUUAUGAUUCUUAGAAUAAAGAGUUGUUCGAGGACGAAUAAGGCUUAAGUGUUGGGUGGUGAUGGUGGGUGUAUUUAUGCACUUUAGUAUCGUUAUCCUAGCUUAUUUAGCCUUGAUGUGCUAAAAUCUAAUUCUUGGUGUUUGAUCAUGUAGAUGCUUGAUGAGUUGAAUAUGGUGAUACAUAGAUGUUGAACAAGCUGGAAUUGAAGGCAAAAUAACACCACAAGGAAAGGAAGGAUGAUAACACUUAGACAAAAUUGCAAAAGCAACUUCCAGUGUGUGAACGCUAUAAGCCCACAUUGCCCUAGCAGGCUAUGGAUCCCACACAACCCCUAUUGGAGUUGUUCAAUACAGUCCUCACAGCCUUCACUAGUGCGGUGCACUGAAGGAGGCGAUGCCCCCUCCAUUUACAUACCGACAAUUGUUCUCCUACUAUAAAUACACACCUUAAACACUUUGUACUUUAUCGUUGGAUGUCUUGGGCCAUUAUGAGGGGAUGCUAAACACUUUUUUUAGGGUUUUUUAUUCUUCAAAUUUAAAUUUUUAGUAGAUUUGAUUAUGUAUUCAAUUAUUUGGAUCAUGAUUAUGUCGAUUAGUGGUUAAACGGCCAUUUUUCGGGGUUAACGCUAAGAACAUGACCACUAGCAUUAUGAAUUGAUUUUGUUUGAUUUGAUUAUUAUAUUUGGUUGAUUUUUUACCCUUGUUUGAACUAUUUUAAGGAGUAUCUAACCUUAGAAUAAACAUAUUGUCGACCUUGUGAUCUCCGGAGGGGGAAUAGGAACAUAGAACGUUGGGAUAAACAAAAUAGGGUUCGUAUACCUUUAUGAAAUAAGGAAUUAAAAUUAGCGGCUAAGACAGGGUGAGGGGUAUUUGGUAUUUUUACCCCUUGUACGAACUUUAAACAUAAAAUAUUUUUCUUCAGUUUUCAAAGAUCAAAAUCAUCCAUUCUCUCUUAAAACUCAAAACCUAAGAUCGUUCAAGGGUUUUACAGUUAAUUCAUCAUCUGAGCUCCAAACUUUAAAUUGACUUUAAUUUUUUGUGUUUCAGACAUGUUUCUCUUCCCGGAACUUUAAUUUUACAUUGUGGCAGGAAUUGAAUUGAUUUUUAUGCGAUUUAAAUUGCGGGUUUGAAAUUGGAUUAAGGGGUUUUGGUUGUAAUUGAUUCAAUUACUUAUUCCUUGUUUUGAAUUGGUUAUUCAAGCUUUAAAUUGAUGAUUUUGGGACUGAAUUGGUACUUUAUUUAAAUGGUUGGAAUGAGGGACAUGGGUUUCCCCAAAUUGGAUGAAUUUUGGCUUGGAAUUGGAUGAACCUCAACUCACUUUGUCAAUUUGAUUCAUAUUAUGGAAAAUUACAUGAUUUACCUUGCUUUUGAACUCAAUGAAUUGCAUUAAUGAAUAAAUAGAUAUAAAAGUACAUUUGGAUGGCCUUGGUAGCCAUAGUUUGGAUUUUAUGGAACUUGGGAGUCAGUAUAGUUGUGUGAAUUGGUUUGGCAUGAUGAUACCAAGUGGUAAAUGCCUUAAUAAAUGACUCUUGGGUUAAUGGUUGGAAUUAUAUGUAAAGUAAAUUUAAUUUGUGCUUAAGAGGGUUAUGUAUCUCACCGUGAAUAUUUAAGUCCCAAGGGGGUGAACACUGGAAACCAUGUUUGCCAGUAUUGGAGGUUUAUAUGACCGUGUGAUUGACAUAAACUUGAUAUAUAUAUUUGGGACGGCUAUUGACCGUUUCAGCUUUAGUUUUACCUUGGUUUUUCAUUGAUUCAUGAGACUAACAUGUAUAGGGUCCUUUCAGUAGNNNNNNNNNNNNNNNNNNNNNNNNNNNNNNNNNNNGGGAAAGUUGAACCCAUAUAGCCCAUGGGUGCCUUUAGGAUGGAUCGAGCUACACAUCCAGGUUAAUGGUUUUAAACUCUCAUGUUCAUGAACCUUACCCUAUCCCGUCAUCCUGUAUAUAUACAUAUAUGAAUGUAGGCAUAUGAUUUUAACUUAUUUUAGACAUAGCAUUAUGUUAUCACUUUCCCUAAGUUACAUACCAGUGCUUAUCCCAUAGACCGUCCUAGGAUGCUACAUCAUUUCAGGAUGUAGGAAAUGAAGGCUUUUCUAUUGCUCCUAUGAAGUAUUAGGGGAUUAAGCACGUCUAUUGAGUUGUUGUGAAGUUGUGAGCCUCGAUCCUUCGGAAGGCCUUAUAAUUGCAUUAUUUUUUCUUUAUUAACUUAGUUCUUUUGGAUUCUUUUUGGUCAUAGUCGGGGGCAUGUCCCAACUUAGUUGCUACUCUGGUUUUGAGAGGCUAUUAUGGGUAAGUGUGGAUUAGAUUGCUUCCAUUUGAUAUAUUUUAUUUUAUUACAAUCUUUAUUGGCUUUUGCUUUAUUAUUGUUGUUGUGCUUUUGAGGUUAGGUUAGAAGGGUGUUCUCUGAUCCAUGAUGGUCUUGAGAUACCCUUCAUUACUAGGCCCUGGUUUGGGUCAUGAAAGAUAACUUAUCAAAGAUACACAAGAGUGGACAUGGAGCUAAAGCUUUGGAGUUUGUAAGGCCCCAUUUGAUAUUUUUGUUAUUGUGGAGAGUAAGGGUGCGGAAGUGCGGAAGUUACCCCCACUAGUUUGACACCAUUGAUUGCACUGGACUAACUGGUGUCAGUAUCAAGUAGAGUGCCACGACCACUAUUGAGGCCACCAUUAAUGAGACCGGGGCUCUUUAUGAGACCUUAAUAGGGUAUGCAACCAAAUUCAGUUCCUAGAGAACUACAUGUAUGUCUUUCCUCCUCAUUUUAAUUUUUUCCUAAUAUGCAUAUAUCAAGGACACUGUUUAAUCCCAAAGAUUAGGUUGGGGGUAUACCACCAUUCAGGGGGUUUUAUUGUUGUGUUUUUCCCUAGGUGUGCUAUCACAGUAGGGUAUUUUUAGUUGUUUUAUGUGUUUUUAUUGUAAUUGAUUAAGAGAAAUAUAGGGGAGAGCCUUUAUGCAGUCAAGUAUUGAUGUUUUUUAUUUUGGGUGAAGUCUGAGUAACCCUAUUGAUUGUAAAUUUGUUUUAAGAAUACCCUUUCAGAAAAUUUGUGUUGACUGUGUUUUUUUAAAGUGUGAACAUUGUAGCUCUUGUUAUGGCACUAGUAUUAUAGGCAGAAUUACCAUAUCUUGGCAUUGCAUGAACUGAUUAGGUAGUAAGUGAUAAUGCAACCCUAUGUCAUGUGUGUAUCUUAGAUUCUUACUUAGUUCACAUUGUGUGUGCGAUCCAAAACUUCCCUAACUAGUCUUACCUAGGUUGUAGGAUAGUUGAUUAGGAAAUGAUCAUAGGUCAUUGUGGAAUUACUCCACUUUUAGCCUAAAUUCCUGACCAAAAGGAAUGUAUAUUCUUUGAUCCUAAGUUUGAGCCUAAAUUGACCCAUUUUAUUCAUUACUGAUUCAUAUUCCCCUUUAUAUUACAAUAAACCUAUUUUGACCCCCGGUCCCUCCUUGGACAUUGUGUACCCCAACUCAGGCAAUUUGCCUAAGUUGAGGAUGGCUAUAAUAGGGGUGUGUAGCACUAAGCGGGUAUGAAGAAACAAGUUCGUAAAAGACUGAAAACAGGUUUUGAAUACAAUUAGUUUAAAAAAUAGAAAAAAUUGUUCUUGAAUAAAGUAUAGAAAAAUAGAGAAAAGUGAGAUUAUAAAAGUUAUGAAAAGAAAAGCCGCAUCCCAAAUCUAAGGAAAAAUAAUGAAAAAUGAGGUAAAGGAAAAGAAAGGGUUAAAACUGGAGCAAAAAAUAGUGUAGUGUCAAGGAGGGUUGAGUCAGUAUAUCCAUAUCUACCUUACUGUCCUCAAACCUACAUUACAAGUCGAUGAGAGUCUUAUAGUGAUCCAAGUCUAAUCAUAAGAAAAACUAAGGCAUAAAAAAUAAGAAAAAACGUAUAGUAUUUCAUGGAUAUUGUUCGAACUUCUUUGAGAGUGUGAGUGUUUUGAACUCAGUUCAUGGUUGUAAUUAUAUCCUUAGACUAUGAGAGCACGGGACCUCUUUAUUGUGAGGUCACAUAGGUUGCGUUGUUGGUUGCUAUAUGUUCGAUCAAAUGUAAUUUAUGCACAUUGCUUGAUUGUUUAUUUAUAAUCUACAUAUAUCUCUUGAUCCCUGUUAUGAUAUUGGGAAAUGAAUGCAUGCAUAAAGGUUUUUUAAAUAUGAAUAAUAGAAGUGGCUGAAAAUAUUAUGUUAAAAGACUUGGACUAAAUUAUGUAGGGCCAUUAUGUUUUUCUUAGUGGAGCGUCAUAAGUUUUUUUGUUGUUUUGUUUUCCUAAGAACACAUAAAUAUUUUAAGUUAAGAGUGUUUAUGUGUCAUGGUUUCAUGGUAUUUUUUUUGCUUAAAAUGAGAAACCAUUCUAAGUCGAGGGCUCAUUUACAUGAAUAUGAUGUUUUUGUGUUAAUUUUGCAGGAAAACAGAGUUCUAAAAUUAGCAAAGGAAAAAUGGUGAAAAUAGGCACAAAUGUUGGAGUCUAAGACCUGCGCUACAAGUUGUUAAGUCAUGAUAAAACUCAAAGACAGUCAUCAUCUUACCAGUGGAUUUUGGCUUUGGGGAGUUGAAAAAGGAGUUAGAUUUGUAGGCAGGCUAUGACUCAUAGGGUCAAGCGUUAAAUCAUCAUGAGGACUCAUCCUAAGCAAUAUUGCAAAAGUCCUGAAAGAUCUAAAUUUUCCCCCCAUGCCAAUGAGAGCUCCCUACGAUUUAUAAUCUGAGGCAAUGAGUUAUUACCAUCAACUAUUUUGGGUAUAAGAAACAAACACCUGAGAGUUGGAAAUCUUGACCUAGUGAGUCCUUGGGUGACCAUAAGAGUUAUACUAAAGGCUUCCUGAAGAUCAAGAAAUGACAUUCUAGAGUCAUGCGAUGAGUCAUUGGCAGACCCUAUGACUCAUCGCCAGAUCCAUAUCCACUACCGACCAUGCAAUCUCAUUGUGUUUAGGAUAGGUUUUGUUUUUGUCUAUAAAUAUUUUUGUUAGGUUUAUUGUUUCAGAUUACAUUCUCUUGAUACUUUGGAGGUAUAAUGUUGUUCUUUGAAGUACAAACAUUAAACUUUAGGAUUUUAAUUCAAAGUGAGAUUUAUGGUUUUCAUCUUAUUCUAUAUGAGUUCCUAAUUAUAUUUUUUUCUCAAAAUUAAUAUUUCAUUAUUGCAACCAUGAGUAGCUAACAACCACAACUAGGAUUGUGGGAACUAUGCCGGACUAAUGAAGUAGUAUUCAAAGUACGGUGUGAUUCUCAAAGGGUGUUUAUGCAUAUAUUGUUAUUCUCUUUCAUUUGAUUGCUUUUUAAGGGUACAUAAUGUUAGAACUCGCCUUAUCCAUACAAUAAAAGAAGGUAUAGCGGAUGAGAAAAGGGGAUUAAUAAUGAGACUUGAAGCUAUCAAUCUCCAUAUAAUAGCUUAAGUCGGUAGACAGAAUAGCUAAUUUGGGAUCCAUAAUAGGGGUUAGUAGUGCAAAACUCAUGAGAAGAUAAUACGUGAUUGAGGAUAGUUAUCUAAUAGGGGCACAAAGUAGAUUAGAUGAAUAUAGCCUAUUGAUUUUGUAAUCUAACCACUGGAAGAGAUCACUAUUACGAAGAACCUAUGGAGUUAUAAAGGCAUGGGGAACACAAUCCAAGUGUCCUUCUCAUAUUGAUUACAAACCAAUUAAAAUUAGUAAUUGUUACUAUUAGAAGUUUGAGUUACAAAACCCCUCAUUUUAGGAAAUUACUUAUUGAUUAUUUAGAUAGACACAUGAUUAUUUAGAUAGACACACUAAUAGAAAUUUUGGCAUAUUCGUCCUAGGUUGAUCCCAACCUAGUUGGAUUAUAUAUUUGAUCAGCAAUCUCUUUAUAGUUUUAUCGGAGGUCUAAUUUGAGAUACAUCAAUAACUAGUUUUGGACUAUUGAGGAACCCUCUCUACCUGCAUCUUGGAACUUGCUUUGACUGUCUAAAUUGGAUUUAUUUCUGGUUUUUGGCAUUCUCUCUGUUGACAUCCCAUCGAGUUAGCUACUAUUAGGUGAAAGGAUUUAAGAAUGGUUUGCAGGCAAAAUCCUUUCUAGGAAUUCUCGAUAACUUUUUGUAUUCCUUAAGGUUACAGGUGAAACCUACUUCGUGUGGUAGCUCCUUAGACCUUAACCUCUUAAGGGUUAGAUUUUAGUGGGCGGGUUGUUGGGUUAUUCGAACCCAUAUCUGGUAAAAGUGGUAGCUUGGUUGUCCCCCCACCGCCCUUACCAUGUGUGUCUGUAGGAACAAUUUGUGCUAGUAUUUUGGUGCUCACCUUAUGAUUCUCAGUCCUCUUUCAAUGAGAUUCCUUUAUUCAACAUUAACUUCUACACCUCUUCAUGGUUAUUCUUUUCAUAGACGCUCUUGUACAUGUUUAAACUAGGUCAUGGUUAUUAUUGUAAGUGUUGAUGUUGUAAUUAAAUGGUUUGUAAGGAUAUUUGUUUAUGAUUAGAUUGACUUGUGGUGGUUUUCCACAUAAUAAUAAGUUCGGUGAUAGAAUUCUCCUAUCUAGUUAGAAUAGAGUGGGUGUCUGCACUAUCCAGUAAUUUGGAUUGUGACAUACAAUACCAAUUUCACAGAUCAUCCGUGUGAUCUCUCUUUCCAGGUCUUAUUACCAAACCGAUCCAGUAGCUCAAACAGACAUGUUGCAAGUAGAUCAAGCAAGCAACUUCAUGAAAAGACUUGCAACUACUUUGCAGCAGGUAAGUUGUUCAAGUAUACAAGUUGCAAGUAUCUCAAGUGGUAAAGUUACGAGAAGCUAAAGCAGGCAGCUUGAAAGUAGCUUUCUGAAAAGCCUUACAGUAGCUUUCUGAAAAGCCUUACAUCUACUUCUUUUUUCUUGAAGUUCAUUUGUACAUCAGUUCAAAUUUGAAUAAUAUAUCAGUCCAUAUAUACUGUUUUAUGAUGUAGUUUACUUUAUAGUAUUUAUUUAAACAACUAAAAACAUUUGGUUAGUAUGCAUCUGUAUUUUAGUUUAUUGUCGUUCCACUAUCCAAUACAACUAGUCUCAUACUGACAAGGAUAAAAGGUACCUUCACCUUCAAUAUUAAACAUAGCAGUAAGCCCCAUAGUAGUCUAACUAGAUAAACAAAGAGUCAUCCACAAAAAGUACAUGCCUGGAGGAGGCAAACUUAUCAUUUAAUUUUGUAACAGUAACAAGAAAAAUAAUCCAUUCUGUUGACUACAUUAAUAAGAGAAUUUUAACUUAGUGUAUUUAAUCUGUUAUAGCAAGUUAUAUGAUAUAUUUUUCAAGUCACUUGAUCCCAAAUAUUAUAGACAAAUACAAGUGAUUACUUUUCUAAUGACAUUAUAGUAUAAAAAAGUAGAUAAAGAAGCCAUAGACUUCCUUUUUCCAUUUACAUAACUCAAUUUUUCUUUGGAAAAAUUACAAAAAAAAAAAUAAAAAUACAACUACUGAUGUUACAUUACAAAAUAUAGCUCACUGUAUAUUACAUUAUUAAAAAGGGAAAGGACAGAAACGACAUGUCAAAUUAAACUAUUUCCAAGAAAAUGACCAUGAAAUUUAAAUUCCACUUUCUAGCCAUUUCAAUUUGUUGGUCAGUUCUAUAACGUUUCUACACUCCUUCUAUACAGUUUCUAUACAUAUCUUAUACAUAUAAAUAUUCCAUACGAAAAUUAUACAGUUUUGAUACACAAUUUAUACAAUAAUUGUAUUAUUUUUUUUACACAUUUUAUACAAUAAAUAUAUAAUUUUUAUACACUUUCUAUAUAUUUUUUAUAUAUAUUUUAUACAUAUACAUAUUUGAUACAUAUAUCUUACAUGGAUACAUAUUUUAUAUAACAAUUAUAUCAUUUUUAUAUAAUUAUAUUUAAUUAUUAUUUCUAAACAAUUAAAAAAGCAGAAUAUUUUUUCAGUUAAAAAAAUUAUAGCAAAAAAAAAUUGAAAUAUUUUAAAAAGGGUCUAGUGGUCCAAGUUGAAAAUUGUAUCAAUAUUGUAUAUGGACUUUAUCAGUAUUGUAAAUGAACUGAAUCUGAACUGCGUGGGCCAAAAUGGCCCAAAUUAGGAAAUGGCUAUAAAAUAGAAAUAGUAUACCCAACUAGCCACUUUUUGGAAAGAUAUCAAACUUGGGCUAUUUAUUUUAAAAAGUGUUAUAGAGUGUCCUUUUCCUUAUUAAAAACUAAAAAUUACACAAAUACACAACUUAUGUUUUCAAUAUUACAAAAAAUUUCAACUCCCUAAACAUAUUACAAAAAUAUCAACAUAUACAUCGAAUGUUAUGUAUAUGUCGGCUAUGUUAUGUAUAUUAAUGGGGAGAGAGAGUAAAGUAAUUAAAAAAUAGAAGAAAAUAUAAUUAUUUUCAAAAGAAUUGAUAUUUAUGUUAUCUAUACUAUUAAAAAUAGAUCAAUUAUAUAGGCCCAAAAUGUUACUUCUUAAUCUGUAGCCCAUUUUAUCUUCUUACAUUUUUCAAUUUCUAUUUUGUGCUAGAAAAUUGAGAAAGAUGAAGGAAAGAUGUCUUUUAAGUCUUGAAUGAAGGAUUGGUGACAUUGACCAAGAAAUAGGGCCAAACAUCAUUAGGAAACUUGAUUAAGUUAAUUGUGGACUUGAUUAAUAUUUUCAAAACUUUCUAAUCUUUUCAAAAAUACAAAUCAACCCAACCCACACCCCUCUUCAAUCCAAAUCAACCACUCUCUCCUCUCUCUCGACAGCUUCUCUCAUCUCUCUCCCAGCCAACAGUUCUACAAAAUUUCUCCCUUCAACCCCUAAUGACUUCUACCUCCGGCGAUAAAUAGUUGAGCUUCAAGUUUCCCUCUUUUCCCCCUUCAACCCCUGGCGACUUCUACCUCCGGUGACAAAUAGUUGGGCUUUGAGUUUACCUCUUCAAAUCAAUCAACCUAUCUCUCAUCCCUCAAUCGACAGCUUCUCUUAACUCUCUCCCAACCAACUAUUCUGCAAAUUUCUCAUUUCAAUCCUCGGCGACUCUGGGCUUCGAUUUUCUUUUCGACUUCAACCUUUAAUUGAUGUGAUAGCCUUUCUCUCCGGUCACAACAGCUUUGAAUUCUUCAUUGUUCCUUUUCUUCUUUCACACGUAAGAAUUUAUGGCCUUUUUAAUUUUGAAGAAAACGAGGAACUUGAGCCAACUUCUCUUAUAGUAUUGGUUAACAAUUUAAAUAUUUGUUGCACUAAUUUAAAAUGUGAUCUGAAAUGGCCUUUUUAUUAUUUGUGUUUAUAAAAACAAAAUGAUAAUUUGGUUUGAUUUGUUCUAUUCUUGUUCUUGGUAAAAAUGGUGAAAUUGCUGCUUUUUGUUGAACUAAAUUGUGCUACUGUUUUUUGUUUCCUCCGACAGAUUACCCAUCUGGUGUAAUAUAUUAACCAUCUGAUGCAACAGAUUUAUUAUAUGAUUCAACAGAUCAACCAUCAAAUGCACCAGAGAAACCAUCAGAUUAUAAUUCUGAUGCAAUAGAUUAAUAAUCUGAUACAACAGAUUAACUAUCUGAUGUAACAGCUUUACCAUAGUUGCAACAGAUUAAGCAUCGGAUAAAAAAUCUGAUGCAACUAAUUAACUAUCUGGUGCAAUGGAAGAACCAUCAGAUUAAAGAUCUGAUGCAAUAGAUGGACCUUUUGUUAGAUAAAAUCCCAUCAACUCUUCCUACAGGAAAUGUCCAAGACUUGAUUUUUCCAACUGAUGAUUCAUCUUCAGUGAUAGAUAACCCUAUAUUGGAAGAAAUCUAAACAAUAUUGACCUCUGACAACUAUUUCAACAGAUCACUUAUGUGUUGUAAUAGAUGUGUGACCUGUUGCAUAGACUAUUCAUCUUUCUCAACAGAUGAGUGAUAUGUUUUGUAUUGUCUAAAUAGAUUACUCAGUUAUUGUUGCAGGUUAGUUAACUGCUCUGACAGAUCACUCAUAUGUUGCAACAUAUGUGUGAUCUAUUGCACAACCUAUUCAUCUUUCUCAACAGAUGAGUGAUAUAUUUUGUAUUAUAGCAACAAAUUAUUUAACUGUUCCAACAGAUCACUCAUAUAUUGUAACAGAUGAUAUCAUAACAGUUGUGUGAUAUGUUGAAUAAACCAUUCAUCUGUCUUAAAAGAUGAGUGAUAUGUUUUAUAUUAUUGCAAUAGAUUACUCAUCCGCUACAAUAGUUUGGUUAUAUGCUGUAAUAGAUAUACUACCUGGUGCAACAGAUCGGUGAUCUGUUACAACUAUUAUUUUACCAUUUUUCUUGUUUGAUUUACUGUUAUCCCUUUUUAAUAAUGCAUUAAUCAAUAAUAAUAUAUUAUUUUAUGUUCCUGCUAAUUUUAGAUAAUAUGGUUCCCAAAAGAACAGAAAUCGAAUCAAGUCCAAGUAAAGGAACAAGUGAAGCAGCUAGGCUACAUCCACCACUCUAUGAGCUUAUUUUACAAGCGUUAUCUCAAUCGGGAGCAAAAUAUAAUGAUCAUGGGGAGGAGAGAUGAUGCAGAUGCUAAUAGCCCUUCCACCGAAGAGCUGGGCAAAGUCUUCAGCAUUGAUCGUUAUCCUAUGAGAAUGCAGUGCGAUGGAGUCACAGAUUUAACAGGUGAUUUCGUGGUUAAGUCAGCCAUGGGAAAAUCUUUUGAUGCCUUCAGAAAAAUACUUCAAGAAUAAAAAUUGGAUGGUUAUUUUAGGGACGGUUACUUUGGGAAAUAUCUUGAUUUGACGGAGGACAACAAUGCUCUUUUCCAAAUGAAAAUGGUAUAUGAACUUCUCAAGCGUAGGUUUAUGUAUGAAAACAAAUAUAAGAUGGAUGAGGUGUGGAUAAAUUACUAUGGCAUGCCAGUUUGUUUUGGUUGAAAGGAGUUUGUCAUAGUUACUGGACUAAAAUGUUAUCCUCCUUCUCAAGUUAUACCUAUUCUAACCCAAAAAAAAAGUAUCUUGCACACUCAAAAAAGGCAAAGGCAAGUCAUGUGAUCGUGAUGACCUAGUGUCCAUUGUUGGUCCAAGCUUCAAAAACAAAAAUGUAAUAGAAGCGUUGAAAGGUAAUGGACUUUCAAAGAAGCACAAGCAGUCAUUGUGCUUGGUUUGGUUUGUACAUAAUAUUCUUUGGGCGAGAGACGUUAACAACAACAAAAACCUAUCUUUAAUAAAGCUCUCCAAUGAUCUUGAUGCAUUUAAAAUCUAUCCUUGGGGGUAUAAAAGCUUCAAAAUGACUGUCAAAUAUUUGUUGACUCCGUUAGCGCCAAAGAUAGUCAACUUAUAUGGCUUCCCAUAGGCUUUCAUGGUAAAUGUUUCUUUCUUCUAUUAUGAUAUCAUUAAUUUUUUUCUCAAUAAUGGUUUUGAUUUAUUGGCGCUAUUUUAUAGGCUUGGGCGUUUGAAGCCAUUCCUUAUUUGAGACAACAAGUGAACUACCAGGAAAGAGUUUCAUGUCCAAGAAUCUUGAGAUGGUUGUCGGCCAAAACUGAUAAAAAUACAAAAUUUCUUGAUCUCUUCAACCCCCCAAAGGAUGCAGUAAGUAUAAUUAUAAUUAAUUUUUUCUUUUAAUUAAUGAUUUUUUUAAUAAUCUAAUCAUCAUUCUAAUAUAUUUAAUAAUUUAUGUUAGAUUGUGCAUCCGUCGCUAGUUUAGACCAAUCCAGAGUUGAAGAUUCCAUUUUUUAUUACUUUACGGUCUGUACAAACUUUAUCAGACCCUAAGGUCAUCGACAAAAUAAAAAUGGAAUUAUUUAGAGCAACAACCAUUACAAGAAAAACAAUUUUGAAGGGUGGGCAUGUGUUGUUGAUGGUCUUAGUGGUGAUGGAGCUGUUGGUGGUGGUAGUGGUGUUGUUGUUGGUGCGAAUGAUGCUCCUCUUAUAGUAUUUAAAGCAAACCAUUAUAAGUAUGAUAAUAUUGGUUAUACAGAUUUUUCCUCUCCCAGCAAAUGUUCUACAUGCAAAUGUCAAGACUGUAGGGCAAAACAAGAUGUAGUGAUUAAUGUUAUUAAUGCAUUAACUGCUUCUGUAAAAGAAUUUACAUCUAAGAUAGGUUUCAUUCCAUCAAAGAGGAUUUUAUUUCCAUCCACUCCAUUAGAGAUUAGGUCUAACAGGAGAAGGAGAGUAAUUUCUAGGGCAUUAUCAAGGAUCUAAAAAAGCAAAACUACAACUUCUCUGUCUGUGUGUUGCACUGAGCAAUGUACAAUUUCCAAAGAAGAGCAGCACGAGUUGAAGAAGGUGAAUAUAUUAUAUGUCUUCCCACUGACAAAACAAACAGACACAUCUAUUUCAAUAGAUGACACAUCUGCUGAAAAUUAUCAAACAGAUAUAUACAUCUAUUGCAACAGUUGACUAACCAGUUGCACCAGAUAAACAUAUGUCUCAUAUGUUUUAGAAAAUCAAACAGCUCUUCAUACAGCUUUUAUUUGUACCAACAGACAACCUAUCUGUUGCAACAGAUGACUCAUAUGUUGCAAUAGAUGGUUCAUCCAUUGGAAAUUAUCACACAGGGUCUUUCUCAUGUAGAAAUUUGUCCCAAAAGUUGAUUCAUUGUUACAACAAAAAUAUAAUCUAUUUGGGACACUUUAAAAUGGGAGGAAGACCUGUUUGAUUUACUAGAAGAGAUGAGUUAUCCUUUUCCGUUUUGUUGUAUCUUCGUGAUUAGCAUUGACCAAUUCUAGCUUUCCAGGUGGAUGUAGAAGAAGCUACUGCUAAAUAGCAUUGACAAUAUGCUACUCUUUUUAUGGAAAUACGAAGAAUAGAAAGCAUAGAAACCGUACGUAAGAGACAAUAAAGAUCCACGACGAGCAAAGUCGAAGUCCAUAGCACCGGAUGAAGAACAACUUGUCCAUACUAAGUAGAUCUUCAUAGCUUGAGCCUGUCAAAGUAAUCUUUGGCAGUAUACUUAAAUUUUUAUUGAUGUAUUUGUUGAGAUCUGUACCCAUAACAAUUUUUUUACAUUUUAUUUAUUCGUUGACUUAUUUUAGCUAAUUUAUGAAGGCUUCGAUUUAUUUUAUUUUGCUUAAGAAUUUUAUUUAUUCCUUGGAUUUGAACUUAUUAAUUGAAAAGGAAUACUAGAUUUAAAUACUGCAACAGAUAAUGUAUCUGUUGCAAUAGACGAUACAUCUAUUGGCAAAAUCGAACAGAUUUAGACAUAUGUUGCAAUCGGUAGUGAUUUAUUGGAAUUUAUCAAACAGGACUUCCCACUAUUGCAACAGAUGGACUUUAGAUAAAAACAUCGAGAUAAUACAACAAUGGCCAACCUAUUGCAGCAGAUAAACUAUAUGUCAGAACAGGUAGGAUAACUGUUACAAUGGAUGGAGUAUCUAUUGCAUUAUAAAAAUUCAACUUUCGUUGGAAAUUAAAAAAAUGCCAAUACAUGUAAAAAGGUUAAAGUGAAUUGAAUUGAAAUAAAAAAGUCGCAACCCAUCGACAGUGUUCAGUUCAAACACCUAAAAUAAAAUAGGCAUCAAGUAGACAGUGUUUAUUUUAAACACGUUAAAUAAAAUAGGCAUCAAAUGUGUCAGUGUUAAGUCUGACAUAUUUCGCUAACUUGCCAUCACUUGGCCCCCAACGGUCAUUCCCCCCCCCCCAUUGUCUUAUAUAUUCAUCUUCCUCCUAAAAUUUAACCCUAAAUUCCCAAAUCUUCUUCUUCAUCGUCAUCUUGUUUUAUCUAUCCAAAUUCUUCAAAUUAUUUCUUUUAUUUUUUCCAACUGAGCUUGACAAUGUCGAGCGCAUCUUCCACUAUUUUUUGUGAUAAAGAUUUUUGAUAUUGUAAGUGUGGUGAUGAAGAUCUGUUAAAGACUUCUUGGACUCAACAAAAUCUGGGUCGCAGGUUUUUUACUCGUAAAAUUUCAAAGGUAAUAUUUUUUUAUUUAUUUAGUUGAUUAAUUAUUGACUUGUAAUUGUUUUGUAAUUGUGUUCUCUUUUUUAUAGAAAUUGGGUGGAUGCAAUUUCUUUGAUUGGUAUAAAGAACGACACCCUUCACAAGCAAAUCGAGUAAUCAGGGGUUUUUUGAAUAAAGUCAAGGCUUCUGAAGAGAAACAAAAUCGAGCAAGAAGAUACUACAUUAUUGUCGUUAUUGCUACUGGUUUAGUGUUGUUGGGCACAUGGAUAUUCAAGCCUAAUUGCUGAAAUUUUCAUGGUGGUGUAAGUAUUUUCUACUGGUUUGGUGUUGUCGAGCACAUGAAUAUUCAAGCGUCACUGUUGGAAAAUAUCAAAAAGAUUUAGGCAUAUGUUGUAAAAUUUAGGUCAUCUAUUGGAAAUUAUCAAACAAGUCUUCCCACUGUUGCAAUAGAUUAGACUUAGAUUAUUGCAUUAUUCAUAGAAAUAACAUCGGUGUAAUGCAACAGAUGACCAACCUAUUUCAAUAGAUAAACUAUCUACCAUAAUGGAUUAAAUAUAUUUUACAAUAAAUUGAUAAUCUAAUCUAUUGCAUUGUAAAAAACUAAACUUUCAUCAGCAAAAAAUAAUUGCCACUACAUGUACAUGUAAUAAAGUGAAGGGUGACUUGAAAUUAAAAAUUUAUAUUUCACAGGCUUUUCUAUAUACACAGGAUUCAAGCGUCCAGUUAGUACCCCAUAAGCCCAGACCUCUUACAGAUUUUCCAUAGCAUUGUCGCACAGAAGUCAUUGGCUCGGCUAUUUCUGUGUCGGUCAGCAGACAUUCUAUAUGUGCAAGAGUGUAUAAGCCGCUUGCUUUAUUAUCUUUUGAAAUGAUCAUUCCCCUGUUUCGACCUUCAAAAUCCCAUGAUUUCUUCAUCAACAUUUCCUUUGGAAAAUGAUUCAUCAGUUUACUCUCCCUCAACAAAAUGGGCAACAACACCAUCAGUGGCUCCACGAGGAGAAAAAGAUUGAAAUCAUCGAUGAGAGGUACGUUGGAGUCAUAAACAUUGAUUUUUCCCUCCUUAAGUAGUAUCUCAACAGCCCGAUAAUGCAUGCCAUUGAUGCUAAUGACUGCAAGAAUCCUUUUUGCCUCGGUCCAGCUCUUGCCAUAUGGAUUUGGCCUGUCCCCUCUAACAUAUUUUAUCAUUUCUUCUUAAUCCAAGACCAACAUAGGAACUAGGAAAUCAAUUCCCACACCCAAGGGAUGGCACAUCUCCAUUAGGUUGAUCGUACCUAUACUUGAUCUUCUUGCAGAAGUCAAGGUCCAUUAUCCUAUCAGAAGUGUCAUAAGCUUCCUGGUACAUUAAUUGCCUUUUCCUCAUGAGGCGGAGAAUUAUGUCAAAAUGCUGUGAGAUAAAAAGUCAAUUUUUAAAUAGGUUAGUAAUUGUUAAGAUGCAAUGGAUGGUCCAUCUAUUGCAUAGGGUUCUCUGAAUCAAUAAUCAAACAUAACUUAUGCAAUAGAUGGAUAAUAAAUUGCAACAGAACUACUACCAGUUGCACCAGUAUACCCAGCUGUUACAACAGAUGUGAAAUCUAUUGCGUGGCUUCUUCUUCAUGGGGUAGAUUAGAAGGGCUAGGUUAGGAAAAGUAAACUUGUCUUGUCCUCGUGCAGAAUACGCAUAUCAGUCAUAGUCUGGAAGUCUUAGGGGGAAAUGGAGGCUUAGGGUAAUUUGGUGCACCUGGCUUGGCAUUCUUGGCCUAUCGCAGAUCCCUCUUCUCUUUGGCACCAAGUUCUGCAUAUAUUUCCACCUUCUUGACUGGCCCCUGAACUUCAACAGCUUUUGGAGAGGGAGGAAUUGCAAUUUCUUUUGAUUUCCAAGUGGAGAGUACGUCUCUAAUUGCUCUUUUCUUUGUCCUAACCAACACUGUAGGAGUGUAUGGCUCCCUCACCUUCUUUGAUGGUAUGAAAGACCUCUUGGAUUUGAAUUCCUUGGUAGCUUUAGAGAUAGCCUCUACUUUUUCAAAGAGUUUAUCAUGUUUUUCUUUGCACUCAUCGCAUUCGCAAUAAGAACACAAGGGUGAAGAAGGGUGAGAGAGACCUGUGUAAGGGCGCAAAAGGAUGUUUUCAAACAUAUUUAUUCUUUCUUGAGCAUCAACAUGCUCAUCAUCACGAGUGGUAGUAGCAUCAGCAUGCCUGCCACCAACACCAACAACUCCACCAUAAGAAGCACCUGGAUUUGCAUUAGUAAAAGGUUGGUCAUAAAAAGCCUCAACAUUAGGUUGACCUUACCUAACUGUUCUUCUUAUGGCUGUUGCUCCAGCUAAUUCCUUAUUUAUUAACUCCACCGUUGGGUCUGCUAUAGUAUCAACAUGACCUAGAGUAAUAUAAGAAGUCAUCACCGACUCCUCCUCAGUAGGGACGAUCCAUGGAUGCACAACCUAUAAAAAAGAAAAAAAAGACAAAUGCAUUUAAAUCAUAUAAUAUAAUAAUUUUCACAGUUGGGCUACGUUUUAAAAAAAAGUCCCAUCUGUUGCAUAGUUUGCAGUAUAUGGUUAAAAUCCAUUUGAGUCUGGUUUAGAGAAAUAUAGCAACAUAUGGAUAAUCUAAUGCAAAAUAUCAAUCAUCUGCUGCAAUAGUUUCAUAAGACGGGUAAUCUGUAAUGCAACAGAUGAUCUGUACAUUGCAAUAGAUGAAUAAUAUGUUAUCAAAUUAAAUAUCUAUUGAAUAAUUUACAUUAGAUGGCUAAUCUUUUAGGAGUCGGGUUUAGAGAACCAAAGAAACAGAUGGCUAAUCUGAUGCAAGAUAUACCCUGUCGCAAUAGAUGUCCCAUCUGGUGCAUCAAAUAUAACAUCUGUUGCACCAGAUAUAACAUCUGUUCAAUAUCUUUCUUAUCUUUGAGUAGAAUUUUUUUUUCUUGAAGAAGACGUACUGCAUCAUCCGGAGGGUUAAAGAGACUAGCCUCCUUAAUAUUGGUGUUGCUCUUUGCAGCCAACCACCUAAACAUCCUUGGAUGAGAAACCUCAUCUGGGUAAUCCAUUAACUGCUUUCGGAGGGGAGGAAUGGCUUCAAAUGCCCAACCCUAAAAAAUAUAAAUAGGAAGCAAGCAAAAAAAAUCAUAAUAACUAUAUUCAAUAUCAAUUAAUGGAUGAGUAAAAUUAGUGAUUAAUUUUACAAUGAAAGCCCAAGGAAAGCCGUAUAAUGUGGUCGUCCCUGAGUAUAGCUUUGUCAGUGAAUAUUGGACAGUCAAGUAGAAGUUGUCAUAUCCCCAGGGAUAAUUGUUGAAUUUAUCAAAAUCCUCAGCACGCGCCAACAAAUCAUCUUCUACAACCUUGUUGACGUCUCUUACCAAUAUAAUCGAAUGGGCAAACUAAACUAAGCACAAUUGCUCCCUGUACUGCUCUGGUAUGGUUUUAUCCUCAAGAUCUGUCAACAAAUCCGAUGCUUUGUAGCCACGCCGAGUAAUGUCAAACAACCCAUCUAUUUUUUCCUUGCAUUUUCUUGCCUUGGAUAUUUUGCGGGGUGGUGGUCCUUCUAGAUAAUGGCAUCUAAAGCCCGUCACUAUGGCAAACUCUUGCAAGCCAAAACAAAUAGGCAUGCCAUAGUAGUUGAUCCAGAUUUCGUCCAUCUUCUUUUUGCCCCCUCCUCCGAAUCUUUAUUAUCCCUCGCGUACUUGAUUUUGUGCUUGAGAAGACCAUAUACCAUCAUCAUAGGGAAACGGAUAAGGGCAGAGGGGUCCUCAAGCAGCUCGAGAAAGCGUCCAAAGUAGCUCUUCUUAAAAAGUCAGCCUAUGUUUUCGUUCUUCAUAAUUUUCAUAAAAUGUUCAAAAAUUUUCCCCAUCUGACAUUUAUGUACAAUUUGACCAGUUAGUUGUUUUCCUUAUGGGUUAUUUAUCGGCAUUUCAACUUGAAACCUAUCAAUACUAAAGUUUUAACAGGAUCAUGCUGGGAUUUCGAUAUUAACUCACGCCCCAUCGGUGAUUCAUUAUCAUCAUGUUGAUGAUCAUCCUCUUUCUCUUUCUCACUUUCUAAUUCCUCCUCUUUCUCUCUUUCGUUUUCUUCAUCACCAUCUACAAACCCUUGUCCACCUCCCUCAACAUUAUUUUCAUAUCUCUCCUCAACUUCACUUUUCCUUGACUGAGACUGUUCAGGAAGAUCCUCCGAAUCCUUCUGUAUUGUAGCCUUUUUUUUGAGUGGUCAGACGUUGAUCCACUUUUACUUUCUUUACUUUUGGGAGACGUGUUUUACCUACAGACCAAGAAAAAUAAAAAUUACAUUACAAUUAAUGUAUGCAUAGAUUUUAAAAAAUACAUUACAAACACCACGAAUACCGACACACCAACAGCCACGACCACAAACACCACCAACCAAUGCCAACAAACAAACAAACACCACGAAUAUUGACACUACUGACACCACCACAAACACCACCAACCAAUGCCACCAUGACGACCACAAACACCACUACCAACACCACCACUAACACUAUCCAACAAUACUACAACAGUCAAUGGAACACUGCGUUGGAAACUAGGGAUUUCUCAAGUUCUUCCUAUGAUUUUACUAUCAAAACUCAAAAUUGUAAACCCAUUCUCGAAGAUAAUACAUCUAAAAGUUUUAUUUUUCAUCAUUAACUUAAAAGCCCUUAUUUUUUAGAAAAAAAUAAAAAAUAUAGACCUCUUCUAGAACUCUGUUGCCUACGAAGACUAAGAAAACAAUUGAUAUAAGCAAGAAUAAAGUUGAAAAUAACACCUAUGUGGUCGAAAAUGAGAAAAAAAGCAAUCUAUUAUGGAGAGUUGAGCAAAUUUAGGGUAGUUGUUGUCUGUACUGUAUUGUUGAGUGAGAAUGAGGGAGAAAGAGCAAGACCUCGAGAUUUGAAAUGAUAAAAUAUUUUGUAUGGGUUGAUUUGCAUUUUGGAAAAAAUGACAAGUAGUUUUGAAAAUGUUAAUUUGGUCCGAAUUGAUCUUAAUUAUUUUUAAAAUCAUAAAAUAGAUGCGUAAUUUUUAACCCUCUCAUCAUGCAAUUGCCAAAAGGGUAAUUCAAUUGAAAUUGUAUUAAAAAAAUUAAAGUUAUAGUUGACCGAAUACUCUAGGAGGUGACCCUAUGAAAACUCACCCCUGGUCCUAGAUUAAUCAAUUUAGGUACUAUUAGUCUAACAUACGAACUCAAUUAAAAUUGUAAAAAACAAAUGUUCAACGUGUUGCGUCAGAUUUCUCAUCUGUUUAAAUUAUCAAUCGGAUUAGGUAACAAUAGAUUAUGAAUCUGAUGUAAAUUAUCAUACAGAUUAAGUCAUCUAUUGCGAUAGAUUACCCAUCUAUGGUAAAUUAUCAAAUGGAUUGUCAUAUGUCGCAAUAGAUUACUCAUAUGUUGUAAAUUAUCAAAUAUGCGCUGCCAUCUAUUCUGGCUGACCCUAUGAGAACUCACCCCUAGUCCUAUAUUAAUCGAUAGCUUACCCUAUGAGAACUCACCCCUAGUCCUAUAUUAAUCGAUAGCUUACCCUAUGAGAACUCACCCCUAGGCCCAGAUUAUUCAAUCAAGGUAUUAGUACCCUAGUCCUAUAGUAAUCAAUUAAGGUAUUAGUUGAACAUAUGAGGUAGUAAGAAUCGGUUCAUCUCAGAGUGAUCAAUCGACGACUCUGGUCGGGAAGAACGUAGUACUGUCUCAUCAUUCAAUUGACAAAACACUCAAUUGAAGUUGUGUUUGACCCUAUGAGAACUCACAUUCGAUUAAGGUAUUAGUCUAACAUAUGAACUCAAUUGAAUUAUAUAUAAGAAAAUGUUCAACCUGUUACAAUAGAUGUAUUUUCUAUUGGAUCAAAUCAAACAGACUAUGUUAUCUGUUGUAACAUAUUACGCAUCUGUUGUAAACUAUCAAACAGAUUACAUCAUUUAUUAUGAUAGAUCAUGAAUCUAUUGUAAACUAUCAAACAGAUUAAGUCAUCUGUUGUGACAGAUUACCCAUCCGCUGUAAAUUAUCAAAUGGAUUAAGUCAUAUGUUGCAAUAGAUUACCCAUCUAUUGUAAAUUAUCAAAUAGGCAUUGUCAUCUAUUAUAGUUGACAUUAUGAGAACUCACCCCUUGUCCUAGAUUAAUCAAUUAAGGUAUUAGUUGAACAUAUGAGGUAGUAAGAAUUGGUUUGGCUUAGAGUGAUUGAUCGACGACUCUUGUUGGGAGAAAUGCAGUAUCGUCUCAUCAUGCAAUUAACAAAAGACUCAAUUAAAGUUGUGGUUGGCCCUAUAAGAACUCACCCCUAGUCCUAAAUUAUUCAAUUAGGGUAUUAGUACCCUAGUCCUAGAUUAAUCAAUUAAGGUAUUAGUCUAAUAUAUAAGGUAGUAAGAAUCAGUUCGACUCAGACUUAUCGAUUGAUGACUCUAGUCUGGAGGAACGCAAUACCAUCUCAUCAUGCAAUUGCCCAAAGACUCAAUUGAAGUUGUAGUUGACCCUAUAAGAACUCACCCCUAGUCCUAAAUUAUUCAAUUAGGGUAUUAGUACCCUAGUCCUAGAUUAAUCAAUUAAGGUAUUAGUCUAACAUAUGAGGUAGCAAGAAUCAGCAUGGCUCAGAGUAAUCGAUCAAUGACUCUGGUCGGGAGGAAUGCAGUACCAUCUCAUCAUGCAAUUUCCAAAAGACUUAAUUAAAGUUGUAUUUGACCCUAUAAGAACUCAUAUUCAAUUAAGGUAUUAGUCUAACAUGUGAACUCAAUUGAAAUUAUAUAUAAACAAAUUUUCAACAUGUUGCAACAGAUGUCUUUUCUGUUAGAUCAAAUCAAACAGAUUAGUAAUCUGUUGCAACAUAUUACGCAUUUGUUGUAAAAUAUCAAUCAGAUUACGUCAUUUAUUGCAACAGAUCACGAAUCCAUUGUAAACUAUCAAACAGAUUAAGUCAUCUGUUACACUUAAAUAUUUUUAGAUCCUUUUUGAUAAAGAAAUUUAGGUAUUUCCUGUCUGAGAUAAAAUAGUUAAAAUACAAAGGCGGUAAAAAAUAUUACUCGGUACUACUUAGAUAACUCAAAAAUCUCUUGAGUGAGUAGUCUUAUCUGGUCUUUUCAAUGUCACCGUCUCCUCGUGCCCGUCAAAAGUUAUUAAUGAAUAUUUAAAACCCCCCAUAUCUAGAACUUCUCUCUCCUUCAGCCAUAAAGUAGUUUAGACUCAACUCAUCACUCUUUUUUAUUCUUUAUUCGCAAUUAUCUUUGUUGUUUCCUUUUUUCCUCUCUUUUCUCUCUUCUUUUGAAUUAGGAUCCUUUAGGAUCUCAGCCAAUCAAUAUCUUUUUUCGACUGAACUGGAUGUUCUGAUUCAUUUACUUUUUUGACAUUGCAGGUAUGCUUCACUGCUGCUCUUUUCAUCUCGUCUUCUUAUUUAUAUGUCAUUUAAAUUAGAUAUUUACAUAUAUUACUAUUAAUGAUUUACCUAAUACUAGUUUCCUAUUUAUUAAGAAAACUGAAGGAAAGGUAACUUUGAAGUCUUGAAUGAAGGAUCCAUUGUUUUUAUUAAAAUAUGCAAAAAAAAGUCAUCUAUUGGGAGAACUUAAAAAAGCCUUAUUAUUAGUAUAGUUUUUUUUCUAUCUUUUGUUUGGUACUUUGGUGGUGCUAUUGUUGGGAGUGCUGGUUGUGUUAGAACAUGUGAUGUUUGUGUUGUGGAUGGUGUUGAAAUAUAUGGUGUUGUUUUGUUUGUUUCUUUGUUGUUGAUGUUGUUGCUAGUAGUGUUGCAACAGUUUCCUCAACUGUUACAACUGAUGAAUCAGCUGUUAGAACAGACAGAGAAACUAUUUGAAGAAAUCAAACCAGUAGCAAGGCUGGUUUGAUUUAUUCCAACAGAUGACUCAUCUGUUGCAACAUGUCAUCCAUCCUUUGUAAAUGAUGCCUCAUCGGUUGAAUAGAUGGAUAAUCUGUUGCAUCAUAUUGGUCAUCUAUUGAUUCACUCAAUUUUGUGUUACCCUUUUGUAAUGUUCUUUUUGUUCUCUUGUUCAACAUCAAAUGUAUUUCUCUUAUUUGCAGACAAAAAGAAGUGAAAUUGGAUCCACUUUUGCCCGGCCAGCAUUAAAGGCUAGAGUAAAAAUGGGUUCAGAGGAAUAAGAUGCUUGUAGAUGAAACCACUUCAUAUAUGGAAGGUAUGUAUUACUGAUCAACCUAUCAUGAAAACACACAUCCAGUACAAUAAUUUUGUGAAUAUUUGUUCUUUACCUAUUAGGCAUUAAUCUUUCAAACAAGAAAUGGUAUCUUAUAGUUAAGAUUGUUAGGUUCGAACUGGUAAGGCUGAGGGACCAAGAUGGUGGUGUCGAUACCCCGUUACAAGUUAAUGACGACUCAUGCUCAUGUUUUUGUGUCAAGUUUGGGGAAGGGUUCAAGUUUUUGGUGGCAGUGUAAAUAUCCAAUAGUGAUUGGACCAAUUUUAAUGGCACAAUGGACUUGUUGAAAGGCCUUCGAAGCCUCACACUACAACAAACAACAAUGGAUCUAAUAGAAAUUUCCUUGGUCCAAAUUUAUAUGGAUGGGUUGUUGGAGGAGACUAUUAUACAACAGAAGGUAUUUGGAAGAAAACCUGUAUGGGAAGAGAGAGGUUGAGAAGGCCAUAUAUCAUCUCAGUCCUUGUUUAAGAGGAUACACAAGGUCGGAAGGGAAGUGUAGCAAAAUUAGCUUAUGAAAUUGACAUAAAAAAUAAAAAUCCAUCAUUCAUUGAAGAAAAAGAAGAAUGGCCAAGAGAAAUUGAGCUGGUCAUUGAGGCCACGCUCGCUAGUUGCAUUCUCAAACAAAGUGUCCAGCUCCAGUCUUAUUGACCAUUCUUCUUCUUUUUUCAUCGACUGAUGGAUUUUUAUAUUUUGAUACACUUCCACAUUUGAAGCUCAUCCAAUUUUUUUGUUUCUCAUGUGAAUUUCAUUGGCCAAUUUCGCUACACUUUUCUUUCUACCCUGUGUUUCCUCUUAAACAAGGUCUAAAAUGAUAUAUGGCCUUCUCCACCUCCCCCUUUGUGCAUAGGUAUUCUCCCAAGCACCUUCUGCUGUACAAAGGUCUCCUACACUAAUCCAUCCAUAUAAAUUUGGACCAAGGGAAUUUCUAUUGGUUCUAUCGUUAUUUGCUACAUUGCGAGGCUUCGAAAGCCUUUCAAGAAACCCAUUGUGCCAUUAAAACUGGUCGAAUCACUGUUGGAUAUUUACACUGCCGUAAAAAAUUUGAACCCUUCCCCAAACUUGACACAAAAACAUGUGCAUGAAUCAUCAUUAAAUUGUAAUGGGGUAUCGACACCACCGUCUUGGAACUCUUUAGCCUUAUCAGUUCAUACCUAUCAAACUAAACUGUAUAAUGCAGGAUCUUGUUUGAAGGAUCAGUGUCUAAUCGGUAAAAAACUGCAUUCUCAAAAUUACUGUACUUUAUAUGUGUCUUCACGGUAGCUUGAUCAAUAAUAUACAUAACUUGUAUGCAUGAAAAUGGGAUCCAUUGCACACAUCUUAUUCUUCCUACCCUAUCAGGAUAUGUCAGACAGUGUUGUUUAUUCAUCUGCAUGAAUGUGAUGACUACUAUUAAAAUAGAGGUGUGAAGAGUCAUGACUUUUAUCUUAACACAUUCAAAACAGCUGAUGAAUCGAAAUCUCCAUCUAUUGCAACUGACGAAUCGGUUGUUGGAAGAAAUCAAAACAUCUUCUCCAACAUAUGGCCCAUCUGUCGCAACAUAAAAUCUAUAUGUUGCAACAGAUGGUAAAUCUGUUGUGAUAGACUAGACUUUUUUUCUUUUUAUUCAUCUGCACGUAUGGGAUUACUUCUUGCUAAAAAUUUUGUUUCAAUUUAGUUUUCCUAUUUAUAAAAUCAAGGGAAUUUUAUUAUAUUCUUCCAAGAUUAUCCCUAUUAUUAAAUGACUACAUAAAGUAUACUAUUCACAUUUAUACUUUCAAAUCAUAAUUAAUAAGGCCAAUUUGAUAAAAUAAUCACCUAAUUUAUAUUUUUAUUAAUUGGUGUACCGAUGUGCCAAGCCCAUAGGGCCUAACUAAUAAGUAACAGAGGGACUACUAAAAAAAGGUGAAGACUUUUUAUCUAACAUAUUCAAAAUUGCUAAUGAACUGAAUACUCCAUCUGUUGAAACUGAAACUGAUGAAUCAGCUGUUAGAAGAUAUCAUGACAUCUCCUCCAACUUAUAUUGUUCAUCUGUCGUAAUAAAUAAUACAUAAGUUGCAUCAUAUGUCUUAUCUACUGCAUAUACAAACCAUCUAUUGCAACAGAUGGUAAAUCUGUUUCAACAGCAGUCUAUUGCACAUUCAAUCCAUCUGUUGCAAUAGAUGUUAAAUCUGUUAAAAAUGUUGGAUGAUCUAUUGCAACAUCUCAAUAAUAACGGCUUUUAUCUAGUCUCAAACUGCCAUGAAAAGGUAAAAAGUAAUUAGUGUAAAAGAAAAAGUCGGGACUUUUCAAAGAAAAUAAAAUGCCAUCAGUUUGAGUGUAAUUAAUACAAUGGAGCUGAACAGUCCUGCCUUUUGGCCUGACACGUCCAGAUUAUAGGUCCCUCCUUAAUCUUCAUUCAACUUUAUUUAUUUCUUGCAUUUUUUACUUUCGUGUGACAUUUUCAACCAUUUUUCUUCAAAGAGCAUACUCCUUUCUCGUUGAGGUAAGUUUUUUUCUAGUGUAAAUUUACCAGUUGGUCAUAUACGUUGUAUUACAUUUUGAACUAUUUUCUUUACAUUUGUCAAUACAUGCGUGUUCUCGAUAUGGCUGAUACUUUUUCAAACAUUUCUAUUCUACACGACAUAUUGUGGGAACUUCAAAGGCAGGUUAAUGACCUACAGAGCGAGUUGUUCGCUGUGAGAGUGACGAUGUUCAGAGAGAUGCGGAGGCUGAUGAGAGCCCUGCUGCUGCAAGUUGAUUGGCCGGCUGUCAUUAAUGAUGAUGAUGAUAAUAAUAAUAAUUAGAAUGUAUUUUUUCUUGUAGCGUAUGUAUUUUAAUUUUUCUAUAUCGGAUCUAUACCUAAUGUAUUUUAUUUUUCAUUUAAUGAAAAUUUUACUUUUAGUAAGACUUUGACUUUGGCAUUUUAAUUCUUCUUUAAUUUUCAUUCUGUCUAUUUCUUUUAAUCUAAUACAUGUUAACAUGUCGACGUUUAGAGGCAAUGUUGAAUCCAGUAGCACUAGCAAUUUUGGCUUUUGAGUUGUUUCAACAGAUGGACCAUAUGUUGGAACCGAUUGGUCAUCUAUUUGGUUUCAGCAGAUUAUCCAUUUGUUUCGACAGAUUUAUCAUCUGUUGGAAGAAAGCAUUCUAGUUGUUUGUGCAAUUGUUGAGAAUAAUUAUGGUCUGCAGUAUUAUUUAGUUCAUGUUUUGUCUCUUUUUAUUGAUGCACAAGUUAUUUUUAAAAAAAAAUAUUUUAUAUAUAAUAAAUGAUAACAUUAGGUUCGCAAUAAUGAGUUAAAUAUAUAAAAGUCCACAACAAACAAACAAACAACAACACAAGUUUUUGCAAUUACAAUGAUAAUGGUAGAUUAUGAUUCGGGCAUGUAGUUUUGUUGUGGCCAGUGCACUUACAUAUGGAGCACUUGUUUCUUCUUGAUGAAAAUGAUUCUCCAACUCCACGCCUCCUUUUAUAUGGCUUUCUUUCCGAUUUGAUAGUGCUCGAGCCAAUAUAUGGAGGAGGUAUUAAUCUCCCCAUAAGCUCUGCUGGAAUAACCCCAGAUUUAUCAAGUAGCACCAGAGUAAUAUGCCCACUAUAUGCCAUUUCAUAUUUUUCCACCGAAUAAUAUUGAGAGGAGUGCUCGUAAACUUCAGGUUCAUAUCUAUGGCCGUAUUGAGAUCGAAGGGAUGCCAUAGCAUGUGGACAAGGUAUUUUGUCCAAGUCAAAAACUCUACACGUAUAAGAUCUUAUUUGAAGAUCGACCGUAGCAGCAUCACCAUGACCGGUGAUACAGAAUUUGUAAUCUGCUACUUUAUGAGAGAAUAACCUAUUCCCCAAACUGAUGUUCGUUGAUAUUUUCUUUUCGAUUCCGAGAACAAAUCGGGUUCUUUUUUUUGGGCACUUGAACUGCACACACCUUUUGUUAAAAAAAUCGCUAUACUUCUCGCUUAUUUUUUCAAACAUAGCCUUGAUGGGAAAUUCUCUUUCAUCACCAAACAAUGAAUUCACCGAUUCAGCUAUGUUUGAUGUCAUAAUAUUGUACCUAUAGAAAAGAAUCACUUAGUACGACAUCAAACUAAACUUGUAAAUCAAACAAGAUAUUAAAUUCAUAAAAAUGCACCUAUUCUUUGGAUAGAAUGCCCGGCUCCAUCUCUCAAAAUCGACACAUGUGAGAAAUUCUGCUACCUUGGGAUUCACAUCCGCUAUUUGAUUGAAAUGGUCUAAAAACUCCUCUUUACUAUAUACUUUAGCUGCUCUAUAAAAAAGGGUGACGACCCUUUCAUUUUGAUAGUUGUUUCGAAUGUUCUCUCCAAGAUGCCUGAUGCAACAACCAAAGUAAGCUGAAGUGAAGAAAAGUGAACUCAUCUUUGGAAUACUUGGAUGCCUAUCCAAUCAAAACACAACUCUUCAGUAUCUUCGAUGCAGCGUCGCAGUUGUUCAAAAAAAUACAUAAGAGGCAUCACAUUGCUUGUCCGCUGCACAAAAAGCGACAGGAAAGAUAUGAUUCUUCGCAUCCUGUGCCACCGCCGCUAGCAGAACUCCAUUAUACUUGCUCCUCAAGAAGGUACCAUCGAUGGCUAUGCCUUUUCUCAAAUGUCGAAAACCUUGAAUCCAAGCACUAUAGGAUACAAAAAAGUACUUGAACCUUUCAUUUUCAUCCAGAUGCAAUGCCGUCUUACUUUCGGGAUUUGUGGACUCAAUCAUGUAAUGGUAAGCAUCCAAGACUUCAUACCCAUGGUCGAUUUUCUCCCUAACCAGGUCCUUGGCAAUCCCCAUGGCCGUAUAUACCUUCCAAUAACUGACCAGGACACCCAAAUCCGUAUGGAGUUAAUUGUCCAUAAGCCUUGUUAAAGGGCCUUUGCCAUCGGGGAAACUACUCCUGAAAUAUUCACCGAGGACCUUUACCGUGGCGUGAGUAUUUUGGCCCGAGAUGUGCUCCAAACCACAUGUGUGAUGCUUUUCAUGUUUAUGAAUGACGAAUAUAUCAGAACUUGCGUACUUCACCGCUCUCAACCACCAUUUGCAGUUUGAAUUAGCACAUUUGAAUGAAAUAAACAAAGUAUUAGAUAGUUCAUUCUUGUCCUUGAAUGAAAUUCCCAUAAAAAAACCAGACCCGUCGUCUUGAAGAUUUCUAGAUUGUGCGGAUUGAGAAGAACUGCACAUCAUAUUGGUCGUAUCAACGGACGUAGGUGUUUGAUCAUCAUCUGAAAUAUUUAUGUCUAGAUCAUCCAACCUAUCAUCAAAGAAUUCUUUUUCUUCUUAUUAUUCUACGUUCUGGUUCUCAUUCUCUCUCGUAUUUUCAACCAUGUAUACCCUUAACACCGUCCUGGUUGAAUCACUUAGAUAAGCAUGCAACCAAACCUAAUUGAUUAUCUUGAAAGGCAGUAGCCUCUGAUUUUCAAAGGAGUUGAGCAUGUAGCUGAUGGCGAAUUCUUCUAGUUGACAAUUCAGUUCAUAAAAGUUGAUGAUUAAGUUCACAAAAUCAUCAUACGAAACAUCACUUUGGACUGUCAUAGUUGUCGUCUCUAGCAUUUCACCCUCCUUCUAAUGCCAUACAUAUCGAUUUCUCUUCUCAACCUAUUGACCAUGACAAUCCACCCCUUAUUGUUAUUAAUCCCUCCAUUAGUGGUACCUAAAUAAAGUCAUUUGUUAAAAAAAGUUGAUAGUGAUUUCACAGUACCGUGACUGAAUCCCAACAGAUGUAUUAUCUGUUGCAAUAGGUAAGUAAUGAGUCACAACAUAUUCUUACCUGUUGGGAUUUAUGUUACAAUCCUGGAUAUCUAUUGUAACAGAUGAAGUGCCUGUUGGAAUUGAUAUUACAACUAAAUCACCUUGGUAGCUGAUUCCAACAGAUGAGUAACAGUUGUAAUAAAUAAUUAACCUAUUACGACAGAUGACUUACCUGUUGCAACAGGUUAUUAAUCUGUUGUAACCUAUGUUGGAAUCGUGUUCAGGUUUUAUUGCAACAGUUAAAUAAUCUGUUGCGAUAGAUAUGUCAAAUGUUACAAUAGAUGACCCAUCUGUUUAAACAUGAAUCCAACAUAUCAAUCUUUCGUUGAAACAGAUGUCUCAUCUGUUGUAACAGAUGAUUUAUCUGUUUAAACAGAUGGAUCUUAUGUUGGAUUCAUGAUUGGGUUCCAUCCAUUGUUGGAAAACAACAACACAAUAGCAGUUACCCAAAUGACAAAUUCAACUAAAAAUCAUAAUUUGACUUAUCAACGUCUCUUAUGAAGUAAUGCCAAAGUGGAAAGUGAUGUUAGAAACAAAAUUUGACCUAAGAAAUUGGUUAAAUAGCAACUGUAGCGGUAACGACCUAUAAGUGGGCCCCUUAUAGGUGCAAAUAAACUUUAUCAUCUGCAGCUUCUCUAAAACCUAACUUUUUGAUACCUACUCUGCUACCUGCACUACGUCGGUGGCACCUACUCCAAGAAAGUAUCAAUGUAGGUUGGUCAAAACUCAACUUCCAGUUUCUUCUAUUUAGCUCCUAAAACCUAGUUUUCUACAAAACACAACACAAAAACAUAUCAUAUGGAACAAAACGGUUUAACAAACUGCAUAUUUUCAUAGUUUUAAGCAUCGAAAGUUCCAUGAAAUCAUGGCACAUCAACACCCUAAACUUAGAAAGUUUUCAUUUCCUUAGGCAAUAAAAUACAACAAAAAAACACCAUGAUGCUUAACCAAUAGAAACCUAAGAUACCCACUGUAACACCCCGCAUUUUUGAGCUAGACUUUGAAUCAUCGUUCCUACAUGUGUUAACUCUAAUACCUCAAUUUAUAUUUGAACUCAUGUGUCAUGAUCAUUAUCCUAGUGUGUGAAGUGAUUAUGAGGUGAAAAAAAUGUUCAUAGGAAUCACUUAGAGCAAAGUUGAGUGAAGAGCCUUUAAUUUAGCCAAAUUUGAUAUUCAAUUCUACAAGGGUCAAGUUUGACCAUGUAUAACUUUUUACAUAUAAGAAAUUUUUCAUUUUAAGACCCACCAAAUGAUAGAUUAUUGAGUUAGCUUUCAAACUAUACCAAUUUUGCCUAAAUCUGAUACCUGAGCUAAAGGUUAUGGUCUUUUAUGUAAGAGGCAGUAAGGGCAGGCGAUAAGCCCGUACUGUGGGGGUUAUUCCUCUGAGAUAAGGCGGGCGGAGUGGGGUCUACUCCGCCAAACUAAGGGGCACAAUGAGAGGUUUAUUCCUUCACUAUUUAAGCUUCUUAAGGGUCAAGGGAUACUUUGGUCCUUUCCCCUCAACCCCAAAUGUCCAAGACACGAAUUAUAACACCGAAAAGGGCAUUAUUUGCCCAUCUUCUUAAAAUCAACUCACGUAAAAACCCUUCCCUUUUCCAAGAACAGCAAUUUAAGAUUUUUCUCUCAAGAACACAAGGAUUCAAGCUUCAAUUUCAAGAUUUCUUUAAGAAUUCAUCUAAUUAAGGUCUAUGGGUGUUCAUCCAUAGGUUUAUUUUCUCCCAUGGAGCCCAAAAACCCUCUUUUCAACUAAAGAAUGGAUUUUUCUCUUAUUAUGGACUUUUGUAUGUUCAAUAUAGAUUAAAUCCAUGUGUUUCCUUAGUAGUUUGACUCUAUUCAUUUCCAAGAAAGAUUCCAUAAGAAAUUAGGUUAUCUUAUGCUUUAAGCUUUCAUCUCCCAUGUUAUAUUCAAGUAAAAUUCAUGCUAUACUAUAAAGUUAUGAUCUUAGCCAUGUAAUCAUGUUAUUUUCCCAUGUUUUAAGACACUCCCAUGUUUAAGUUCAUGAUUUUCAUAUGUUUGGUGAAAUGUCAAUAUUUUGGGUCUUUGAACCAUGAUCUAAUACUAUAGUUUUUAAGCGUUGUUAUCAUAUUUUAUGUUCAUUCAAUGCUGGUGGGUUAUGAACACCUGAUACCCAUGUGUUUUACAUGAUUUCCAUUUUUCAAGUGAUAAGUAAGUUACACUAUAGUUUUAAUAUCAUAUUAAGAAUACCAUGAUUAUGUUGAGCAUUAUCAGUUUAUAAGUUUAAUUACCUCAAAAUCCAUAUGCAUUGUUAUAUUUAGAAUACCAUGAAUUGAGCUUAUCAGUUAUCAGUUAUUAGUGCAUGCACCAGUUAGUAUUUUAGUGUCUUUCAGUUGGGAGUAGGUUUUAGCACCGAGCGAAUACAAAGAUGGCGGCUUUCCCGUCAGUUAGAAAGAGUCGUUAGUAGGAGUCCCUAUAUUUUAGAACUACGUAGACAACAUAGGAUAUGAGAGGUCACCUAUCAGUUUAGGCUUGAAUUCCUCUCAGGGUUCACCCUUCAGUUUAGGCUUGACACCCUGAUCCUUCGAGACACCAGUUUAGUGGAUCCAUACUGCAAGUGUUAGUAAACGUGGCAAGAUACUGACACCCUUCCAACUAGGGUUACAGGUUAGAUACAGAUUAGCUUAGGUUAAGGCAUGUCGGUUAUAUGAUACCUCUCACAGUUUCAGUAAGUAUUUAGUAUGUUCAUUUUAGGUUUUCUCGACCAAAGAAUAUAGAUUUUUAGUUAUUUAGCUAUGCAAAUUUAAAUCUCUUAUAUUAUAGAUAAUCUCAGAAACAUAUUUAUUCUUGGUUUUACAUGUUCACAUUUUCAUGCUUAGUAUCCAUACAUGAUCCUCAGUGUAGUUUAACAACAUGUUCAGCUUCAUAUGAGAUUUAUAUAUAGUAUUUAUGAUUUACCACUUCCCAGCUUCAUUUCUACUCAUUCUUUGAAGUAAAUAUUUAUGAAAAAAAGUUUAGUGAUUCACCAGCUUAUUAGAAUAUGUUUGUACUCAUGUUUUAAGAUACUUUAGCUUUUGAUUGAUUUCAGUCUCUUAGUGAGACUUCUUACGCUUGGCAUGCAUGUUUUAAGUUGUGUAUCUAAUCAAUAUUACUUAUUGCAUUCACCCCCUCUUACUCAGUACACUCCAGAAAUAUUGAUCCAUAUUUAUGUUUAUGUGCUACAUUGUCUCAUAAUAUAGGUACUAGUGUAGCCUACACAUCAUAAUCAGAUAAUUUGUAGUUUCCAGCCAGCAGGUGAUGAGUUAUCCUAUUUCAAGGACUACAGUAAGUUGUAAGAUUUAAAUCUCUUAUAUUAUAGAUAAUCUCAGAAACAUAUUUAUUCUUGGUUUUACAUGUUCACAUUUUCAUGCUUAGUAUCCAUACAUGAUCCUCAGUGUAGUUUAACAACAUGUUCAGCUUCAUAUGAGAUUUAUAUAUAGUAUUUAUGAUUUACCACUUCCCAGCUUCAUUUCUACUCAUUCUUUGAAGUAAAUAUUUAUGAAACAAAGUUUAGUGAUUCACCAGCUUAUUAGAAUAUGUUUGUACUCAUGUUUUAAGAUACUUUAGCUUUUGAUUGAUUUUAGUCUCUUAGUGAGACUUCUUACGCUUGGCAUGCAUGUUUUAAGUUGUGUAUCUAAUCAAUACUACUUAUUGCAUUCACCCCCUCUUACUCAGUACACUCCAAAAAUAUUGAUCCAUAUUUAUGUUUAUGUGCUACAUUGUCUCAUAAUAUAGGUACUAGUGUAGCCUACACAUCAUAAUCAGAUAAUUUGUAGUUUCCAGCCAGCAGGUGAUGAGUUAUCCUAUUUCAAGGACUACAGUAAGUUGUAAUUUACGUAUUAAAUUAUAUUUAUUCAUAUGUAUUAAUUAGUGGUAGUUGGAGUCAUGUCUCAGCUAUCUAUAGUCAGUAUAGUAGAGGCUUCAUAAAUAGUUAGUCAGUCAUGAAAUGUAAUUCACAUUCUUUUUUCAGAUUCUAUCAGGUUGUAAACUUUAUCAGUACAAUGUUAAUCAAGAUUAUAUCAUGAUUAUGUUUCCAUACAGGAAGUUUAGCUGAUUUAUAUAUACUAAAUUCAUUGCUCAAGUAUCAUGCUGGUUCAUGGGUUAGCUUGGGAUCACUUGUGAUUCUAAGCACUAUGUUACGACUAGGGGUAGCCUCGGGUCGUGACAAUCUUCGUAUCAUAGAACAUACUUCAAGUGCCAUAGAGUGUCUAUGAAGCAAUGUCUAGUAGAGUUUUGUGGAAUGGUAUGAAAACGUCUGUACUUUUUUUUGAAAGGCUACAGGGCAUUUUAGAAAUACUCUCCUUCUUUCAUGUCUCAGAUCAUGUAGUAAAAGUGUCCUCUAAGUAACUUAUGCAUAAUCUUACAUGAAUCCAUGUCAACUCUACCUUAUACUUAAGGUAACAGAAAUAGCCAAGCUUAAAAUUUCACAGACAGAGUUUUCUUAGACAAUCCCCAUAGAUAGUUAUGGGAUUAUGUGCGGGCUUGAAAGUAUCCCAUCAGUUCUUUUAAGUUUUAAAGUUUGAAAGACUUUAUUCAUGUUCAUGAAAAUCGUGCACUAAGGCAAAGUCAAAUGUGCCCUCAGAUCCCUUCCCAAAAUCCUCUAACAGCAUAUGAUCUAGAGUUAGAAGCAUGAACAUAGAAGUGUAGCAGUAGUAAAGUAGGAUAGUGUUUAUCUGAAUUUAGCAGAUUAUGUUUCCAUGGGUCUAGUUGUAUGAAAGGUGAACCAUAGGCUUUAAAUAGUGUAUGAAAGAAUUUAAAUUUGUUAACUCAAAAUUUAGUAUGAUGAUGUUGGGUAUGUUAGUGUAGUGGUGAUUCUCAUUAUUUAGGGAAAAUAUCAGUUUAGAGAUAUGAUACUAGUAGGCUAUGAUGGAAGUAGUAUGGUUCAUUAAAAUUUUGGGUAUAUCUAUGUUAAGUGUUAAAAUAUAAGUUUGAAUUUUUGAUGAUUGAUCUAAUAGAAAAAAGAUUUGAAAAUUCUAGGUGGUGUGAACUCAUGGUAUGGUGAUACUCCUAAUGAUUCUAAGUUCGUAAGUUUUUAAGUUGUUACAUGAUGACUAGUGGUUCUAUAGAAAGUUAAGAGUUGUAUCUCAUAAGGGAGCACUAGCAGAGGAUUGUACACUUUCAAGUGCAGUCUUUAAGGGUGAGUUUAGUAUUGAUGUGUAUUGUUAUAUCUCGGGCUCUAGAGUAAAGUGGUUGUCAUUCAGUUUAGAGUCUAUUGAAGGGACCCAUAGACUUAGAAUGAUAGCUUUAAGCUAAGGGGAAGAUGAUAGAACAAGUAACCAAGUUGGGCUCUCAAAUUCUAGUAGUGAUGUCAGUGUAUUGUAGAACAUCAGUAUGGGAGGAAGAUACUCGACCCAUUCUUAUCUCAGUGCAACUUUUUGUACUUCAGUCAUCACGAGAUCUUCUCAUGCCUUACAAGUUAGCCCUAUGAUUAUAGCUCAUAUUUAUGCACAUUUCAUAGAAUCAUGUACACAUACAGAUCCUCAUAGGAUGAGUCCCAGUUCACUCAGCAGUACGAAUCAUAUUUCAUAAAAUUGUGAACUCCAAACUCAGGUCGUGCAGCUUAUGACUCAUGUACUCAUGUUUUAUAGUAUGUUCAGUUCCAGGUACUCAUGUCACACUUUUAAUGAUUAGUGAAAUUCAGAUCAUGCCUGUAUGUCCUCAGUUUUGAUCUCUUUAAUGAAUUCAUGCUUUUGAUAAUCUAUUCCUCAGGCCUUAGUUAUGUGUCGACGUUGUGCAUAGUAUUCUUUCAUGUUUUAGGUCCUCAAGUUCUAACCUUUCAGUGACCUCUCUUAUGUAAUGAUAGUGGUGAUGAGUAAUUAUUUAGAUGGGAGAGAGUAAAUGUUUGAUGUUGGGGAAAGAUUGUUACAUGGAUGUUGUAUCUCAAGCUAUAAGUGUGAAGGAUGAUUAAGUAUAACUUUUGAUAUGUGUCAGGGUUAGUUGAAAAUUUUAUAUGUGUUUUCUUAGGAAUAGUGUAAGAAAGUUAUUAUUGACAGAGUUUUAGAGAAUAUGAGAAAGGUGCUUUGAUGGAUUAUUUGACUAAAAGUUAAUGUGUGGUUAUUAUGAUGGAUUGAAUGUCAUGUUGGUAUAUAAGUGGAUGGGUGCAUUAUAUACUAGUGAAUUCCGAGAAUAAGGUUGAAUUUAAUAGUUGAAGUGGUAUGAUGAAUUAUCCUUGAGAUGAAAAAUGUGAAACACGCGUGGGGUAUUGAGUUCAUAGUUCAGACUAGUGUUAUGGUGUUAUGUGCAAUACCUUUUGAUUUUGAGUUAGGCUUGAACAUGGUAAGAAUAUGUAGCUCAACGCAGAAUUUGGUUAGAGUAGUUAUAUGUACCCAUGUAAGGAUUAUAAGUUGAAUCAAAUGAGCAUAGUAUUCAAGAGGACAAGUAUAGUUAAGGGGAAGUGUUCUAAGAUUGAAAGUUAGCAAUUGCAUUGCCUAGGCCUAGUAAUUCUAUCCCAGCUUAUGUUUCAUAGGCCUACGUUCCAUGUUACAGAGUUACAGCCAUGUUAAGAUUCCUUACUGAGAUAUCUUAUUCAGAUCAUGCCCAAGACUAUUUGCUCCCUAAUGUUGUUAGAACUCCUUGCAAGGAGUGUUUAAGAAACACUCCAGUUGAGUAUAAACUUUUAGUAUAAUUCAGUUCAUAUAGCCAACAAUUCAGUUUAGCAGUCAAAGAGAUAAGCUCCUAUGUUUUUUUCCAUCUUUUUAUCUAGUCUUACUAUCCAAAGUUUUAUGAAUAUGUCUAUUCCAUGAGGUAAUUCAUUCACGUCCAUGCAAGUUAUGAAUUCAAUUUACUUCAUACACCAUAUUUCAAAUUCAGCUAUUUAGUCAUGACUUAGUUCAUAAGUGUUCAGUGAAUGAUCUCAGUUUUCCAUGUAUUCUAGCUCAAAUAGUGUAAUACUCCUUGUACGAUCUUAGUAUCGUUAUCUCAUGAUUCAUGCUUACAUAAUUCAUCACCUCGUCAUUCUAUGUGCAUGAUUGUAUCAUUAAAACUUCAAGCGAGUUCUAAACUCUCAACAUGAAUUAUCUCAUUACAGUCAAUAGAGUCAAGUCAGCUCAGAAACCAGUUUCAUGAUGAAAGUUCUAAUGUUCCAGCUAGCAAUAUUCUACAUAACCAGACAUGUCAUGCAUACAUAAUUCCAUAUUCAUUAAACUUCAACAAGUUCUUAUCCAUCAUUCAAGGAUGAAUGAUUCCAAGGGGGAGAUAAUUUAACACUCUGCAUUUUCGGGCAAGAAUUAAAUUAUCAUUCCUACAUGUGUGAACUCUAAACCCUCGAUUUAUAUUUGAAUUCAUGUGUCUUUAUAUUUAUCCUAGAAUGUGAAGUGCUUAUGAGGUGAAAAAAUAUUCGUAAGAAUCACUUAAAGAAAAAUUGAGCUAAGAGCCUUUGAUUCGGCCAAAUUUUAAUAGUUAAUUCUACAAGAGUCAAAUUUUAAAGUGUAUAACUUUUGAUAUUUGAGGAAUUUUUCAUCUCAAGGCCAACCAAAUUAUAGAUAAUUGAGUUAUCUUUCCAACAUUACCAAUUUUGGCUUAAUUUGAUACCCGCGUAAAAAUUUAUGGCCUUUUUUAUGAGAGGCAACAAGGAAAGGCGAUAAGCCCACGCUGCGGGGUUGUUCUCCCGAGAUAAGGAAGGCGGAGCGGGUUUACUCCCCCAGAAUAAGGGGUGCGACAUAGGGUCAAUUUCUUUACUAAUUCAGCUUCUUAAGGGUCAAGGGCUACUUUGGUCCUUUCCCCUCAACCCCAAACGUCCAAGACACAAAUUAUACACUCAAAAGGGCAUUAUUGGCCCAUCUUCUUAAAAUCAACUCACGUAAAAACCCUUCCUUUUUCCAAGAACAACAAUUCAAGAUUUUUCUCUCAAGAACACAAGGAUUCAAGCUUCAAUUUUAAGAUUUCUUUAAGAAUUCAUCUAAUUAAGGUCUGUGGGUGUUUAUCCAUGGGUCCCUUUUCACCCAUGGAGCCCAAAAACCCUCUUUUCAACUAAAGAAUGGAUUUUUCUCUUAUUAUGGAUUUUUGUAUGUUCAAGAUGGAUUAAAUUCAUGUGUUUCCAUAGUAGUUUGACUCUAUUCAUAUCCAAGAAUGAUUCCAUGAGAAGUUAGGUUAUAUUAUGCUUUAAUCUUCCAUCUCCCAUGUUAUAUUCAAGUGAAUUUUAUGUUAUAUUAUCAAGCAAUGAUCUUAGCCAAGUAACCAUGUCGUUUUUUUGAUGUUUUAAGACAUUCUAAUGUUUAUGUUCAUGAUUUUCACAUGUUUGAUGAAAUGUCUAUCUUUUGGGACUUUGAACCAUGAUCCCAUACUAUAGUUUUAAAGCUUUGUUAUCUUAUUUUAUGGUCAUUCAGUGCUGACGGGUUAUGAACACCCGAUACCUAUGUGUUAUUCAUGAUUUCCAUUUUUCAAGUGACAAGUCAGUCAGAACAUGGUUUUAAUAUCAUAUUCAGAAUACCAUGAUCAUGUUGAGCAUUGUUAGUUUAUAUGUUUAUAAUUACCUCAGAAUUCAUAUGCACUGUUAUUUUCAGAAUACUAUGACCUAAGAGUAUAAGUUAUCAGUUAUUAGUUAUCAGUGCAUGCACUAGUUAGUAUUUAAGUGUCUUUCAGUUGGGAGUAGGAUUUAGCACUGAACGAAUGCAGGGAUGGCAUCUUUCUCAUCUAUUAGGCAGAGCCGUUAGUAGCAGUCCUUAUAUUCUAGAACUACGUAGACAACAUCAGAUAUGAGGGUCACCGAUCAGCUUAGGCUUGACUUCCUCUCAGGGGUCACCCAUCAGUUUAGUCUUGACACCUUGGUCCUUUGAGACACCAAUUUAGUAGAUCCACACAGACAAUGUUAGUACCCGUGGCACGGUACUGAGACCCUUCCAACUAGGGUUACACGUUGUACCACGAUUAUCUCAGGUUGGGGAAUGUGGUUUAUAUAAUACCUCCCACAGUUUCAGUUAGUAUUCAGUAUGUUCAGUUCAGCUUUGCUUGACCAAAGCAUAUAGAUUUUUAGUUAUUCAGUUAUGCAGAUUUUAGUCUCUCAUAUUACAGAUUAUCUCAGAAACAUAUUAUGCUUGGUCUUGCAUUCUCAGUUUUACAUGUUCACAUUUUUAUGCAUAGUAUCCAUAAUUAUGCUCGGUUUAGUUUUACAACAUGUUCAUAUUCACAUGAGAUUUACAUAAAGUAUUUAUGAUUUACCGUUUCCCAGCUUCAGUUUUGCUCAUUCUUCAAAAGUAAAGAUUAAAGAAACUGAGUGUAGUGAUUCACCAACUUAUAAUAUUAUGUUUGUAUCAUGUUUUAAGAUACCAGCUUUCAAUUGAUUUCAAUCUCUUGGUGAGUCUUUUUGCAUUUGGCAUGCAUGUUAUAAGAUUGUGUAUCUAAUCAGUAUUACUUAUUGAUUAGGAGGUAGCCUCUGGUCGUUACACCUACGACUGUUAAUUUCACUUUAAGCUCAAGAACAUCAACCCUCUCUUAUUUUAACUUCACAAAACCAAUUGUGUCUAUCAAUAUACAACAAUAAUAUGACACAAGGGAAUCAAUAUAUGAAAUUACAUUAUCAAUAAACAAUUACGCAUAUGUACAAAUUACACUACCCGAACAAAUAAGCAAUUAACAACACAACCCAUGCACCCUCACAAUAUAUAAUUCCCACUCACUUAAUAGAAUCAUACAUGUUAAUGCAGGAAUGAUCAUGAGAUACUCACCCUCAUAAAGAAGUUCUAACAAUGUACAUAGAAUACCAUAGGGUUGCCCUUAUUUUCUUUACCUUAGUUUUCAGACAGUUGGGUUAGGAUAACUAUAGGACAUUACUCCACUUGUAAUGUAGGCUUGGAGGCUGGUAUGGUACAUUUUGUAGCUUAGUAUCUUAGCCUUAUUGGCACUACAAUUACUUUUUGGGGUCCACUUAUCAACCAAUUUUUUUAUUCCAUCCUUUUUUAUCUUUUUUUAUUCUUUUAUUGAACAUUCAGGUCGGGUUUGGUUCCAUUUGUUCUUUCUUUUUUCUUUUCUAAUUUUUUUCUUCUUUUUUUUUUCCUUUUUCUACCACACCCAGCCAUACUUUUUUUCUCUUAUUUUUGUCCUUCUUCAUACCAACUUCUCAUCACGCACGCCUAUGAUGGCCACCAUCAACUUAGGCGAUUUGCCUGUGUUGAGGUGCACAAUGUACAAGGAGGACAUGGUCCAAAAUAGGUUCAUUGUAAAAAGAAUAGAAAGGUGAAAGGUACAAUAAGAAAAAUAGUCUAUACAGGCUCAAAGUAGGGAUCAAGGGAUAUUUAUUCAUAUUUGGAAGGUCAUUUAGGCUACAAGUUAACUAAUUCAAGAAUGGCCUAUGAUCCUUUCCUAACCGCUAUCCUACAACCUAGGCAAGACUAACCUGGCAAGUUCUGGAUUAAACACACAAAGGGAACUAUGUAAGCAUCUCACACACACAUGGCAUAGGUUUGCUUGACAAACUACUACCUAUCCAGUUCAUGCAAAUGUUAACUAUGAUUAUUAUGUCCCUAAUCCUUAUGCCAUAAAGAGAUUCACAAUGGUCACAUACAUAUUCACAUCACACAGUUUAGAAACAAAUUUUUUGGAGGGAUAUCAUAUUUCUCAUAAAUCAAAACAAAAUUCAUCAACUGCCUUAGAUACUCUUUUUUCUCCUAGUUAAAUAAAAACACAACACAAUACAAAACAAAAACACAAUUCAACAUGAUAUUUCCUAGCCAUGCCGAUUUUACAUUCAUACCAUGGCCAAUAGGAAAAGAAGAGCGACAACAAAAACCCACAUCUAUUGAGGUAUACCCCACCUCCAAAAAGAUUAUACAUUGUCCCCCGUGCAUAAAAAUAAAAUAAAUCAAGGGAAUAAAGACAUACCUGGGAUACACUGGGCAUCUGUGUCAUGUUCUUCAUUAUCUAGGGGUAUCUCAACUGGUGGAGGCGGCGGUAGUGGCAAUGCACUACUAAAUGAUGCAACCACAGCAAUCUCAGCUCGCCUCUGCCUAUCAACAGCUGCAAAAUCCCUCGACUCAUGGACAAACUUUCUCAGGGGAUCAUAUGGCAUAUCAAGGUCAUACAUAUCCUUCUCUCUACUCAUCUUGGUCCCAACCUUGAGGACCAAAUCAUCAUCAACAAAUAAAUCAAAGUUCCUAGGGCCAUAUGACACCAAUGAUGAGUAACAAAAGGGAUAAUCGAGGGAAUGGCUAGAAUCUAGCUCUCAAUAAGAGAACGUACCUUUAUGAAUAAUAUAUCCACCUCCUCCCAAAAUCCUGCUAGGUCAGGAGCCUAAAUAUCUCAGAACCGUAUCGUUAUAUACCGCUUAAAAGUAUCUAGGCAGGCAUGUAACUCACGUGUAAACUCUAACGUCUCAACCCAAAUCCCAGGUUGUAUUUGAGUCUCUGCACUCUCUAAUAUCAUCUGGACCUAACGUGAGAUCUACUCAUACAAAGAUGCAAGCUCAAACUCAACAUUCUCAAGUCGAGUGGUAUUCAUAUCCUAGAGCUCUACUAAGUGCUGUAAAAAAUCAUAUGGCAUUGUUAUCAAACUUGUGGUUGUAGGGCAAGAGGGCACAAAAGAUGCCCUGACUAACUUAGAAGUGGAGGUCUAAAGUAAAAUAGAAGUGGUUGGGGUAGAUUCUCCCUAAGUACUCAUAUUGAGGACAUAUCUAUGCUCACCUAUCUCAAAAUCUGUAUUAGCAUCCAAAUCUACAUCCGGUCUAUCACCAUGAUCAACCAGAACUAAAGGCACCUUACACUGGUCCGAAAUUACUAUCAGAGGUAUGUGGUCUCUCUGGGAAAGGAUCGAGUUUGUCGGAUCCUUAUCAUACUUAUCUAUGAAACACUUGUCACCUCAAGUCUCCUAUCAACACCUAAGUUGUAAGACCCUGAGUUUAUACCCUUGAUGUCACACGGUGCUUACAAUUUCGAAGGACCAUAAGCUAACCCAUGACUGGUACCUGCUGUGAGCACUGAAUAACAAUAACACUGAAAAACAUAUGCAAGCAUUAGGUUGGAGAUGCCAUAAGGUUCAUAAUCUGAAAAUCAAAUACUAAAUAAUUAUAAUAAUACUAAAAAACUGAACAUCGAUCUGAAAUAGUCUAGUAUGAAAGCCUCUAAUUGUUUGAAUAUAGAGAUGAUGGUACAAUUCCCCAACUAACUUCAUCUACUGAACAUACUAAACUACUGGAAAUAUUGAAAUAAAUAAUUGUCCUUCAAAUAUGAGAACUAAUUGAGUCUGAAACAUGACACAUGAUUACAUAAAUGAGUCUGAAACAUGACACAUGCCUGAACUGGUUCAUGAAUGCAUGGAAUGACAUGAAGAUAAUAUAGCUGGAACUGAGAAUGGAAAAGAAAGUUAUUACCUUAAACUAGGUCUCAGUUUAUCGAGAAAAGAUAAGGGUACUUGGUCCACAUAGCUGCUUCUACUUCCCAAGUAGCUCCAUUUGCUGAUAGGUUCCGCCAAAGAACUUUGACCAAGGGAACUUCUUUAUUCCUUAGUCUACAAAUCCGAUGAUCAAGGAUUUGGAGUAGAACCUUUUCAAAAGAGAGAUAAUUCUAAAUAUCUACGCCCUCUAAGAGGACUACAACUGCUGGGUCACCAAUCCAUUUCUUUAGCAGGGAGACAUGGAAUACUAAGUGCACUGAAGCUAAGUAUGACAGCAACUCGAGCUCAUAAACUACCUUUCCAAAAUGGCUCAGAAUUCUAUAAGGACUGACAUAUCGGGGACUGAGCUUUCCCUUCUUGCCGAACCUAUUCACUCCCUUCAUAGGAGAGAUUUCCAAGUACACAAAAUCGCCAAUCUCAAACUCGAGAUCCUUUCUCCUCACAUCUGUAUACAAUUUAUGUCGGCUCUACGCUACCUUAAUCUUUUCUCUGAUUGACUGAAGCUUCCCUAAGGCAUCAAACACCAAGUCCGGCCCUACUACAGUGUCCUCACCUACCUUAAACUAACCAAUUAGAUAUCUACAUCUCCUACUAUAGAGAACCUCAAACAGAGCCAUCUGACUACUAGAAUGAUAGUUAUUAUUAUACGCAAACUCAAUCAACGGUAUGUGGUCAUCCCAACUACCCUUAAAGUCAACAACACACGCUCUCAACAUAUCCUCGAGAAUCUGAAUGGUCAUUUUUUCUUGACCAUCUAUCCAAGGGUGGAAGGUUAUAUUGAGGUGGACUUGGGUACCAAGACCCUUUUGGAAGGCUUUCCAAAAGUGAAAGGUGAACUACAAACCUCUAUCUAAAAUAAUGGACAAAGGGACACCAUGCAACCUAACCAACUAUCUGAUAUAGAAACUGGCAUAGUCCUAGGCUAAAUAACAAGUAUGAACUGGCAAGAAAUGGGCUGAUUUGGUCAUCCUAUCUACAAUGACCCAAAUCAAAUCAUAUUGGCAAUGAGUACGAGGCAAACCCAUCACAAAGUCCAUGUUCACUUCACCCCACUUCUAUGUGGGAAUACUGAACUCUUACACAGAACCACUAGGAUUUUAAUGCUCAAUCUUCACCUACUGAAAUGUGGAGCACUUAGCCACAAACUCUGCAAUAUCUCUCUUUAUCCCACUCCACCAAUAGAUCUCCCAUAAAUUAUGGUACAUCUUAGUAUCCCCUGGGUGAAUUGAUAAUACGCACCAUGCACUUCUGUAAGAAUCUACUGCCUCACGCCAUCCACACAUGGUACACAUAACCUACCCUGGAAAUGCAACACACCAUAUCUUUCUUGGGAGAAAACCUUUACCUUCUGGUCUCUGACUAACUCUUUCAGCAUAACUAAAUUGGGAUCCUUAUCUUGUUUUCUUUCACUUCAGCAACCAGGAAAGAUUCCAAACUAUGUUUCACCCAAACAUUACCCUUAGAAAACCUACUGAGGGCAUCUGUCACUACAUUGGCCUUGCCCGAAUGAUACAAAACACUCAUGUCAUAGUCUUUCAAUAACUCUAACCACUUUCUCUGAUGCAAGUUCAAGUUUUUUUGAGAAAAUACAUAAUUAAGGCUUUUAUGAUCUAUGAAUACAUCAACAUGCACCCCAUACAAAUAAUGCCACCAAAUCUUUAAGGCAAACACAACAGCCGCUAACUUAAGAUCAUGGGUGGAGUAAUUCUUCUUAGGGUUUAAGCUGUGUAAAGGCAUAGUCUAUAACCUUAUCUCUCUACAUCAAAAAAAACCCAGACCGACUCUGGAAGCAUCACAAUACACAAUAAAUUUGUAAUACCCCAUACUUUUCCUAGCUUAAAAUUUCCCCAAGAAUAUUAGAAGCUUUUUUUGAAAGAUGAAUCCACUUUGGUACUCGUGAAAAUUUAUGGACAUUUUACCGAGAGCUAUCAUAAUUGCCCAGGUGCGAUGGCCAGGUUGACGGACCGUCAAUAUAGCGAUGGACCAUUGCCUUUAUCAUCGCAGCCAAGGCAGUGAGGCAACCUUCUGGAUAAGGUGCGACGGACAGGUUGACGGACCAUUAAACUUGCGAUGGACCAUCACCCAAGCCAUCGCUACUUAGGCAGUGAGUCCCUAUCCUGGUCCACCUACGACGGUCGAAACGGCGGACCAUCGAUCCAGUGAUGGACCAUCGCAUGAACCAUCGCAGUUUUUGUUCAGUUAUUUUUAAGUCAUUUUUAAAGGGGUUGUUUUGUCUUAUACCACCCGUUUAUAUACCUAGUAAUAUCUGACCAAGGCUCCUAAAUUCAUUAUUCUUCCACAACAUUAAAUUAGGGUUUUCUCCCUAAGAGCAAUCUUUAAGCAACAAAAUCCAAAUCUUCUUCAAGAACUAAGAGAUUCAAACUCUUCAAGUUUAAGAACUUCAAGAAAAUUCACUACUAGGUAUUCAUAGUGUUCAUUCAUGGACUCCUUACGUCCAUAAAGCCCAAGAAUCUCUUUUCAAAGUUCAAGUAUAUGGAUUUAUUUAUGAAUUUCAUGUUGGGUUUGCUUUUGUUCAUGUUAAUAAUGACCAAUUGAAUUCUAAUCCAUGUUGGGUGAUCAAUUUUAUGUGGAAUUGAAUGGUAUAGGUGUAGAUUUAUGUGAACUUAUAAUUAAACCCUUGGAUGAUGAAAUUAGAGUUGAAUCAUGAUGAUUAUUUAUUGUAUGAUGUUUUCUACAUAUACUAUUCUUACCAUGUGUUUGAUUAAAUGCCUAUGCGAAAGAGAAGUGCCUAACUAGUAUGAUAUUAUGCAAUCCUCAUGUAUAUACAAGUUUAUGCAUAUCACAUGUUUGAUGAAAUGCCUCAAUAAAUGAAUUAUAGAUUGUGAUUUUAGUCAUGUAUUCAAGAAAGUCAUACUUUAUCAAUUUCUUUGCAUUGAGUCCUAGGGGUAUUUGUACCCACCAAUUUAGCUGUGUGCCUAGAGCUAGUGUCAUGUUUUCGCGAUAUCCUCAGUCAAGCCAUGUUCAGUAGAAUUCAGUUAGUCAUGUGACUCAGGAAAAACUCAGUAAAACUUAGAAAUCCCAGUAAUAUCAGAAAGCUCAGUAAUACAGAAAUCUCAGUAAUAUUUUAUCAGUUAAUAGAAUUCAGCUAACUCAGUCCAGUUCAGUUCAGUAAUUUAUGUUCAGUAUCUAUUCAGAUGGGAGUAGAAAUUAGCACCGAGUGAAUCCAAGGAUGGGAACACAGACUUUCAGAUGAGGGUGUGAUUCUUAAAAGUCAUCCUUGUAUUCCAGAACUAUGUAGCCAGCAUAGGUUGAUAUAUCAACACUAUCAGAUGAGGGUUGAUGAGGUGGAUAAGCACUGUUAGAUGAGGACCCUACUGUUCUCUUUUGGAGGCACUAUCAGAUGAGGGUCACUUAUAUCUUGUCCUUAUCGGUGGAGCAGUAUUGACACCCUUCCAAUUAGGGUUACAAAUUGGACCCCAACUCAUCUAUAAUGCAUUAUUUGGGGCAUAUUGGUUAGAUAACUAAUUUUCACAUUUUUUAAUACAAAAAUCAAGACUGUCAGAUACAGUCAUUCAGUCUCAGUAAUAGAAAUUAGAUAGUUCUACAGAAUUCAGAACUAUCAGAUACAGUCAACUUAGAAUAGUAUGGAACUCAGCUAGUUCCAUCAGAUUCAGGACUCUCAGAUACAAUCACGCAUGUUAUUAGUUAUAUAAGUUAUCAAAACUCAGUUACCAGUUAUGUUAUUUAUCAGUAAAUUCAUGUUAUCACAAUCUCAGUUAUAGUUACUAUGUAUUCAUGUAUGCAUUCUUACGUUUAUAUUAGUCAGUUAGUCAGUAUUGUUCAUACAUAUGAACCCCAUGUAUUCAGCCUACCUCACAGGCAUACUAGUACAUUCAAAGUACUGACACAUUUGCGCUAUGGUUCCUAUACCAUAGGAUCAGAGACACGAGCUCCAGAGCAUCAGUAGACUCCAGUCUCAGCAAAUUAGAGUUAGCAGUAAGUCCACAUCUUUUGAGGAUAUGAUCAUUACUUUAUUAUCUUAUUAAUUAAUUUAUUAGUUGGAGUUAGUUGGGGACAUGUCCCAUCAACUCCUUAUUCAUAUAGUUCAGUUAUGAUUUAGAGGUUUUCCAGACUACAGUAUGCUCAUAAAAUUUAUUUCAGUUGCUUUGGGUAUUUUAUACCCCACCCAGAUAUUAUACUUUUAUUAGAUAUUAUAUAUCAGUGUUGAACCUUAUGGCUUUUCAGUUCAUGUUUCCACAUUAUACAGUAUAUUAGGCAAUAUUUAGGUACAGAUAUUAGUCAUGAGUUAGCUUGUGGUCCUUCGGGUUCAUGAGCAUCGUGUAGCAUUUUGGAUACCAAAUUUGGGGCAUUACAAACUUGGUAUCAAAGCCUAAGGUUCAAUAGUGUCCUAGGAAGUCUGAAAGUCAUAUCUAGUAGAGUCUUGUACAUGGGUGUGUUGUUCGCCAUAUUUAUGUGUAGGAGGCUAUAAGAUGUUUUAGGAACAGUUUUCCUUCUUUCAGUAUUCAUGUUGUACCAGUGGGCAUAGCCUCAAGUCAAUCUCUCAAUCUAAUUUGUUUCUCUCUUUUUCCUAUAGAAUAUGCCUCCAAAAAGAAGAAACGGAAAUCAGUCAGCCCCUCAGCCCAAAGUACCUUUGGGCAAACUUGUUUCUCAUGUAGAGUUCAGAGCUGCAUUUACUACUCUUGCCCAGUCAGUUGUUGCUUAAAAUGAAUGACCAUCUAUCAUUCUGGCAACCCAGUGACCAAUUCAGCUAUAGCUAGGAUUCGAGACUUCACCCAAAUGAAUCAUCCAUCCUUUCUCAGGUCAAAGUCAGAUGAGGACCCUCAGAAAUUUAUCGAUCAGGUUUAGAAGGUUACUGACAUUAUGGGGGUGUCAGCUAUUGAGAGUGCUGAGCUAGAUGAAUAUCAGUUACAGGAUGUUGCUCACACUUAGUUUAAAUAGUGCAAGUCAUAAAGGCCAGAUGAUGCAGGGCCUAUAGAGUGGGAGGAGUUUGUCACCGCAUUCUUAGAGAGAUUCUUUCCCCUAGAGCUAAGAGAAGCUAAGGUGUUAGAAUUAAUUAACCUCUGGCAGGGCAACAUGACAGUGAAAAAGUAUUCACUUAAGUUUUCUCAAUUUGCCAGAUAUGCCUCACAUGUAGUUGCAGACAGCAGGGCCAAGAUAAGUAAGUUUAUUUCUUGGGUGAAUGAUAGUAUAGUCAACGAGUGUAGGUCAGUGAUGUUGAAUAGUGACAUGACUCUAGCAAGGCUUAUGACUCAUGCUCAGUAGAUAAAGGAGCAAAAGAUUAAUAUGAGGAAGAAGCAGAAUAAGAGGCCAAGGACAGGUAGUUCAACUUUGCUCAGCCCAAAUCAAAAGGAGGAAACCAUUCUAAGUUUUAUCAUAAGUCAUCAGUUUCAUCUCAUUCUUCAGCUAGUGCUCUAUCUUCGAAGUUUAGGGAUGGUAAUAGAGAUAGAAUGCUAGGCUCAAAGUCUCAGGGCAGUGUCAGCAAUACUUGAACUAAUUCCCUUUGUUAGACUUAUGGUAAGAACCACAAGGGUACUUGUAGAGCUGGUAGAGAUGUCUAUUUUAUGAUGUGGAAAGCCAAGCCAUAGAGUCAAAGAUUAUCCCUAGUCAAGUUAUCAGGGUCAUCAAAACCAUUCCUCAGCUUAGUCGGAUCACCCAAACCAGCAGGGUGCCAGCGCCAACACCACUAGUGGGCAAUGCCAAAAUAGACUUUAGGCUCUCCAGUCCUGGAAAGAUUAGGAAAAUUCUCCUGAUAUGAUUACUGGUAUAUUACAGAUCUUUUUUGUUCAUGUUUACGCUUUUCUAGAUCCAAGAGCUUCUUUUUAUUUUAUUACUCCCUAUAUAGCAGUUGAUUUUGGAGUCAGUCCCGAAACUCUAGCAGAGCCCUUUUCAGUUUCUACCCUAGUGGGUAAAACUAUCACAGCUCGAUGGGUAUACAGGAACUUCUUGGUUAUGAUAUUUUAGAAAGUCACUUUAGCAAACUUAGUCAAAUUAUAGAUAACUGAUUUUUAUGUCAUUCUCUCCAUGGAUUGGCUUCAUUCUUGCUGCCACAGUCGACUGUAGAAACAGAAUAGUUCAGUUUUAGUUUUCGAAUAAACUCAUCCUAAAGUAGAAGGGUAGUGUAUCCGCUUUCAGAGGUCAGCUUGUUUCUUACCUUUGGGCAUGAAAAAUGAUAUCUAAAGGAUGUGUUUAUCAUCUUGUUCAAGUUAAGGACACUAGUUCCAAAACUCACAGUCUUGAAUCAGUCCUAGUAGUAAAUGAAUAUUCAGAGGGCUUUCCCGAAGAUCUUCUACGAAUUCCUACUAAAAAGAAAAUAGACUUCCGCAUUGAUCUUCUUUCAGAUACUCAGCCUAGAUCUAUUUCUCCAUAUAGAAUGGCACCAGCAUCACUCAAAAAAUUAAAAGCGCGGUUGAAGGAUCUCUUAGAUAAGGGAUUCAUCAGGCCCAGUGUGUCCCUAUGGGGUGCACCAAUUUUAUUCGUGUGCAACAAAGAUGAUUCUCUCAGAAUGUGUAUUGAUUACCGUCAGCUCAAUAAAGUCACGAUCAAGAACAAGUAUCCUUUUCCCAGAACCGAUGACUUGUUUGACCAACUUCAGGGUGCCAGUUAUUUCUCUAAGAUAGACCUCAGAUCCGUCUAUCAUCAACUCAAAGUCAGAGAAUAUGACAUUCCAAAAAUAGCUUGUCGUACUCGGUAUGGUCACUUCGAGUUUCUGGUUAUGUACUUUGGUUUUACUAAUACCCCAGCAGCUUUCAUGGACCUGAUGAACCGUGUGUUCAAGAAGUACUUGAACAUGUUCGUUAUAGUCUUCAUAGAUAAUAUUUUGGUUUAUUCUCGCAGUGAGCGUGAUCAUACAGACCAUCUCAGAAUCGUACUUUAUACCCUCAAAGAUCAUCAACUAUUCACCAAAUUCAGUAAGUGCAAAUUUUGGCUAUGGUCAGUAGUAUUCCUCGGUCAUAUCAUUUACGGUGAUGUCAUUAGAGUAGAUCCUCAAAAGACCGAAGCGGUAAGAAACUAGCCCAGACCUAUCUCUCCAUCAGAUAUUAGAAGUUUCUUGGGUUUAGAUGGCUAUUACAGGCGGUUUAUUAAGGAAUUUUCUUCUAUUAUAUCCCCUAUGUCCAGAUUAACUCAGAAGAAAGUCAAGUUUUAGUGGUCAGAUCCUUACGAGAAGAGUUUUCAGGAGUUGAAGACUCGACUGACCUCAGCUCCAGUCUUAGCUCUUCCAGAUGGUUCAGAUAGUUUUGUAGUGUAUUGUGAUGCAUCCAAAGUAGGUUUGGGUUGUGUCCUCAUGUAUCAUGGUAAGGUCAUAGCCUACGCCUCCAGACAGCUUAAACCCCAUGAGAAGAAUUAUCCUACUCAUGAUUUUGAGUUAGCAGCCGUAGUUUUUGCCUUUAAGAUUUAGAGGCAUUAUCUAUACGGUGUUCAUAUAGAUGUGUUCACAGAUCAUAAGAGCCUUCAGUAUGACUUUUCUCAGAAAGAUCUCAAUAUUUUUCAGAGAAGGUGGUUAGAGCUCUUGAAAGAUUAUGAAAUGAGUGUCCUUUAUCAUCCGAGCAAGGCCAACGUAGUGGCCGACGCUCUCAAUAGAUUGUCCAUGGAUAGUGUUUCUCAUGUUAAGGACAGUAACAAGAAGUUACCUUAUGAAGUCCAUCAGCUUGCCUGACUAAGAGUUCUCUUAGUCGAUUCAGAAGAGGGCGAUGUAUAGGUGCAGAGUAGUUCAGAAUCAUCUCUAGUUUUUAAGGUAAAAUAAAAGCAAGAUAGAGAUCCCAGACUAGUCAACUUCAAAGAUUCAGUCAAGGAUUAGAAGGUAUAGGUUUUCUCCCAUGGGGGAGAUGGUGUAUUAAGUUGUCGGGUCAUCUGUGUGUUCCGGGUGUAGAUGACUUAAGGCAGUGAAUUAUUGUAGAAGCACAUAGUGCAUGCUACUCGAUUCAUCCAAGGGCCACAAAGAUGUACUACAACUUAUGGGAAAUCUAUUGGUGGAAUGGGAUGAAGAGAGAUAUUGUAGAGUUUAUGGCUAAGUGCUCUACAUGUCAGUAGGUUAAGAUAGAGCAUCAGAAGCAUAGUGGGUCCAUGCAAGAGUUCAGUAUUCUUAUGUGGAAGUGGGAAGAAGUGAACAUGGACUUUGUGAUACGUUUGGCUCGUACCCAUCAUUAUCAAGAUUUAGCUUGGGUCAUUGUAGACAUGAUAACCAAAUCAGCUCAUUUUCUAGCAGUCCAUACCUCUUAUUUAGUCGAGGACUACACCAAACUCUACAUUAGAGAGUUGGUCAUAUUACACGGUAUUUUGUUAUCUAUUAUCUCAGACAGAGGUACCCAGUUCACCUCUCAUUUCUGGAAAGUAUUCGAAAAGGGUCUCACUACCCAAGUUCAUCUCAGUAUAGUCUUUUAUCCUCAGACAGAUGGUCAAUCAGAAAGGACAAUUCAGACCCUAGAAGAUAUGUUAAGGGCGUAUGCAAUUGAUUUCAAGGGUAGUUGGGAUGACCACUUGCCUUUGAUUGAGUUUGCAUACAAUAAUAGCUAUCAUUCCAGUAUUUGGAUGGCUCUAUUUGAAGGUCUCUAUGGUAAUAGAUUCAGAUCUCCAAUCGGUUGGUUUGACGUUAGUGAAGCCUCAGUCAUAGGGCCUGACUUAGUAUUCGAUGCCUUAGAAAAAUUCCAGUUGAUCAGAGAAAGACUCUGGAAUGCUCAGAGCCAAUAAAAGUCUUAUGCAGAUAUUCAUAGAAAGGAUCUUGAGUUUGAGAUUGGUGACUAUGUAUAUCUAAAGAUCUCUCCCAUAAAGGGAGUGAAGAGGUUCGGCAAGAAAGGAAAGCUUAGUCCUCGAUAUGUCGGUCCCUUUAAAAUUCUCAGCAGCUUUGGCAAGGUAGCUUAUGAGCUUGAAUUGCCUUUAGAUCUAGCCUCAAUUCAUCCAGUCUUCCAUGUUUCUUUGCUUAAGAAAUGCAUAGGUGAUCCAGUAGUUGUAGUCCUUAUUCAGAGCAUAGAUGUUCACAACAGCCUCCCUUAUGAAGAGAUUCUAGUCAAAAUCCUAGACUAUCAGACUCGUAGACUGAGAAACAAAAAAGUCCCUCUAGUCAAAGUUCUUUGGAGAAAUCAGUCCGUUGAGGGAGCUACUUGGGAAGCAGAAGCAGAUAUGUGAACCAAGUAUCCUCACCACUUCUCCACCAACUCAGAUCAAGCUCAAGGUAAUAGUUCUCCUUAAGCUUUUCAGUUUCAUGUUCAGACUUUAGUUACAAGAUUGAUAUACAGUUCAUGUUCAGAAUUUCAUCACAAACUUGGUAUUAUAUACCAUUGCAAAUUCAGUCAUGCAUUCAUGCAUCAAUUCAGUUAUAUAAUCAUGCAUCAGACAUGCAUUCUCAUUGUGAGAACCUUGGUUCAUCAGAACUCUCAGCCAUGCAUUCAUUAAUCAGUCACACAAGCAUCAGAUAUGCAUACUCAGUAUGAUAUAUUCAGUUAUCAGUCAUAUCAGCCAUGUAAUCAUUUUUCAGUCAUUCAUGUUCAGUAUGUACAUCGGUUUAUAUUCUCCUCUAAUUCUCAGCCUCAUUCGAGGAUGGAUGUUCUGAAGGGGGAGAUAUUGUAAUACCCCAUACUUUUUUCUAGCUUAAAAUUAUCCCAAGAAUGUUAGAAGCUUUCUUUGAAAGAUGAAUCCACUUUUGUACAUGUGGAAUUUUUAAGAUUUUCACUUUUUAUCAUUUGGGAAAUUAAAUUAUCUCUCCAACUUUACCAAUUUCAUCUAAAUCUAGUAUCAAAGUGAAAAUUUAUGGACAUUUUACCGAGAGCUGUCAGAAUCACCCAGGUGCAACAGCCAAAUUGAUGGACCGUCAAUUUAGCGAUGGACCGUCGCCUUGACCAUCAUAGCCAAGGCAGUGACGCAACCUUCUAGAUAAGGUGUGAUGGAUAGGUUGAUGGACCAUCGAACUUGCGAUGGACCAUUGUCCAAGCCGUCGUUACUUAGGCAGUGAGUCCCUAUCCUGGUCCACCUACGACGGUUGAAACGAUGGACCAUCGAUCCAGCGAUGGACCAUUGCAUGAGCCAUCGCAGGUUCUGUUUAGUUAUUUUUACGUUAUUUUUAAAGGGGAUUUUUGGUCUUUUACCACCCGUUUAUAUACCUAGUAUAUCCGACCAAGGAUCCUAAAUUAAUUAUUCUUCCACAACAUUAAAAUUAGGAUUUUCUCCCUAAGAGCAAUCCUUAAGCAACAAAAUCCAAAUCUUCUUCAAGAACUAAGAGAUUCAAAUUCUUCAAGUUCAAGAACUUCAAGAAAACUCACUACCAGGUAUGCAUAGUGUUCAUUCAUGGACUCCUUUCAUCCAUGAAGCCCAAGAAUCUCUUUUCAAAGUUCAAGUGAAUGGAUUUAUUUAUGAAUUUCAUGUUGGGUUUGCUUUUGUUCAUGUUGAUAAUGACUAAUUUAAUUCUAAUCCAUGUUGGGUGAUCAAUUUUAUGUGGAAUUUAUUAGUAUAGUAUAGAUUUAUGUGAACCUAUGAUUAAACCCUUGGAUGAUAAAAUUAGAGUUGAAUAAUGAUAUUUAUUUAUUGUAUACUGUUGUCUACAUAUACUAUGCUUACCAUGUGUUUGAUUAAAUGCUUAUGUGAAGGAGAAGUGCCCAACUAGUAUGAUAUUAUGAAAUCCUCAUAUAUGUACAAGUUUAUGCAUAUCACAUAUUUGAUGAAAUGCCUCAAUAAAUGAAUUAUGGAUUAUCAUUUGGUCAUGUAUUCAAGAAAGUCAUGCUUUGUCAGUUUCUUUCCAUCAAAUUCUGGGGAUACUUGUACCCAACAAUUUAGUUGUGUACCUAGAGCCAGUGUUAUGUUUUCAUGAUAUCCUCAGUCAAGCCAUGUUUAAUAGAAUUCAGUUAGUCAUGUGACUCAGGAAAAACUCAGUAAAUCUCAAAAAUCCCAAUAAUCUCAAAAAGCUCAGUAAUACCAAAAUCUCAGUAAUAUUCCAUCAGUCAACGGAAUUCAGCUAACUCAGUCCAGUUUAGUUCAUUAAUUCAUGUACAAUUUCUAUUUAGAUGGGAGUAGAAAUUACCACCGUGUGAUUUAUCCUUGUAUGGUAACACACACUGUCAGAUAAGGGUGUGAUUCUUAGAAGUCAUUCUUACAUUCUAGAACAAUGUAGCCAGCAUAGGUUGAUACAUCAACACUGUCAGUUGAGGGUUGAUGAGGUGGAUAAGCACUAUCAGAUGAGGGCCCCAUCAUUCUCUUUUGGGGACACUAUCAGAUGAGGGUCACUCACAGUUUGUCCUUACUGGUGGCGCAGUAUUGAUACCCUUCUAAUUGGGGUUACUAAUUGGACCCUAACUCAGCUAUAAUACAUUAUUUGGGACAUGUCAAUUAGAUAACUACUUCCCACAGUUUCAGCUACUGAAAUUAGAACUGUCAGAUACAGUCAUUCAAUCUCAGUAAUAGAACUCAUAUAGUUCUAUAGAAUUUUGGACUGUCAAAUACAGUCAACUCAGAACAGUACGGAACUCAGCUAGUUCCAUAAGAUUCAGGACUAUCAGAUACAGUCACUCAUGUUAUCAGUUAUAUCAGAACUCAGUUACUAGUCAUGUUAUUUAUUAGUAAAUUCAUGUUAUCAUGAUAUCAGUUAUAGUUACUAUGUAUUUAUGUAUGCAUUCUCACGUUCCUAUUAUUCAGUUAGUCAGUAUUGUUCAUGCAUAUGAACCCCAUGCAUUCAUCCUACCUUACAUGCAUACCAGUACAUUUGAAGUACUGAUGCAUUUGUGCUAUGGUGUCUUAUACCAUAGGUUCAGAGACACGAGCUCCAGAGCAUCAGUAGAUUCUAGUCUCAGCAAAUAAGAGUUAGCAGUGAGUCCUUAUCUUUUGAGGGCAUGAUCAAUACUUUAUUAUCUCAUUAAUUAAUUUAUUAGUUGGAUUUAGUUGGGUACAUGUCCCAUCAACUCCUUAUUCAUAUAGUUUAGUCAUGAUUUAGAUGUUUUUCAGACUACAGUGUGUUCAGACAGUUUAUUUUAAUUGUUUUGGGUAUUUCAUACCCUACCCAGAUGUUAUAUUUUUAUCAGAUAUUGUAUCUUAGUGUUGAACCUUAGGGCCUUUCAAUUUAUGUUUCUGCAUUAUAUAGUAUAUUAUGCAGUGUUCAGGUACAGAUAUCAGUCAUGAGUUAGCUUGUGUUCCUUCGAGGUCAUGAGUAUCGUGUAGCAUUCUAGGAACAAGAUUUAGGGCAUUACAAAAUACGUCUGAACCAUCUGAUUAAGUUAAAACUGGGGUUGUAGUGAGUCGAGUCUUUAACACCUGAAAACUCUUCUCAUAAGCAUCUGACCAUUGGAAUUUGACUUUCUUCUAAGUAAAUCUAGAUAUGGUAGUUGUAAUAGAUGAAAAUCCUUCAAUAAACCAUCGGUAAUAACCAGCCAAACUCAAGAAACUCUUGAUAUCUAAUGGAGAGAUAGAUUUGGUCCAAUUUCUUAUUAUUUCAGUCUUUUGAGGAUAAACUCUAAUGCCAUCAUUGGAAACUAUAUGACCAAGGAAAUCUACUAACCUUAGCUAAAAUUUGCACUUACUGAAUUUAGCAAACAAUUGAUGGGCUUUGAGAGUCUGUAAUACUAUUCUGAGAUGGUCUAUAUAAUCACUUUUGUUAUGGGAGUAGACAAGAAUGUCAUCAAUAAAGACUAUGAAGAACAUGUCCAAGUACUGCUUAAACACAUGGUUCAUCAAGUCCAUGAAAGUUGUUGGGGCAUUGGUAAGAUCGGAUGACAUGACUAGAAAUUCAAAGUGACCAUACCGAGUUCUGAAAGCUAUUUUCAGAAUGUCACAUUCUCUAACUCUGAGCUGAUGAUAGCCUUAUCUGAGGUCUAUCUUAGAAAAGUAACUAUCACCCUAAAUUUAAUCAAAUAAGUCAUUGAUUCUGGGAAGUGGAUACUUAUUCUUGACUGUGACUUUGUUCAACUGACGGUAUUGAAUAAAUAUUUUGAGAGAACCAUCUUUCUUAGGCCUGAAUAGAACUGGUGAGCCCCCAUAGGGAAACACUAGGUCUAAUGAAUCCCUUAUCUAAGAGAUCUUUCAAUUGUUCUUUUAGCUCUUUGAGCUCUGCUAGAGCCAUUCUAUAAGGCGGAAUAGAGAUAGGCUGGGUAUCUAGAAGAAGGUCUAUUCCAAAGUCAAUUUCCCUUUUGAGAGAAACUCUAAAAAGGUCUUCGAGAAACAAGUCUUAAAAUUCACAUGCUACUGAAACUAACUUAUGGUCAAGGGUAUCAGAAUUAAAGUCUUCAACUUAAAUGAGAUGAUAAACGCACCCCUUGGAUAUCAUUUUUCUCGCUCUAAGGUAUGAAACAAGUUGACCCCUAAGUGUUGAAGUACUACCCCUCCAUUCUAGGACAAGUUCAUUCGAGAACUGAAAAUUGACAACUUUGUUUCUAUAGUCAACUAAAUCAUAGCAUAAAUAAAGCCAAUCCAUCCCGAGAAUGACAUCAAAAUCUGUCAUCUCAAACUCUAUGAAGUCUGCUGAAGUAACUUUCUGAGAAAUCAUAACCAGACAUAUACUGUAUACUAGUCGGGCUAUGAUAUACUUACCCACUGAGGUAGAGACUGAGAAGGGCUCUUCUAGGAUUUUAGGAAUGACUCCAAAAUCAACAGCUAUAUAAGGAGAUACAAAGGACAAGGAAGCUCCUGAAUCUAGCCAGGCGUAAACAUGUAAAUGCUAAAAUUGUAACAUACCAGUGACCAUAUCAGGAGAACUUUUUAGAUCUUGUAUGGACUGAAGUCCAUAAAGCCUAUUUGGGCGUUGUCCACUGGUGGCUCUGGAAGUGGCACCCUGCUGAUUCAAGCAAUCGGACUGAGUUGGGGAAUGAUUGUACUGACCCUAUAAACCUGACUAAGGAUAAUCUAUGAUUCUAUGGCCUAGCUUGCCUCACCUAAAACAUACAUCACUGCCAGCUCUGUAGAUACCCUAUGAUUUGUGCCAUAUUUUUGGUAACCUGAGACUUAGAGCCUAGCGCCCUAUCUUUGUUAUAAUUUCUGAACUUAGGUACUGGAGCCUGGGGACGGAACUAAAAUUGAAGAUUUCAGACAAAACUGGGAACGAUUACCACCUUCUAACUUAGGCUGAGUAAAAUUAAAGCUAAUCGAUCUAGCUCUCUUGUUUUCGCUCUCUCUCUCCUUAUUCUUAGCCUCUUCUAUCUGUUGAGCAUUGACCAUUAGUUUGGAUAUGUCCUUCUCCUUAAUAAACAUUAUGAUCCUACACUCUUUGACCACACUCUCUGACACCCCAAACAUGAACUUGCUCAUUCUAGACCUAUUGUCUACUACUACAUGGGGAGCAUACCUGGCUAAUUGAGUAAACUUGAGGGAAUAAUCUUUCACACUCAUGUUGCCUUGCCAGAUAUUGAUCAACUAUAACACCUUAGCUUCUCUAAACUCUAAUUAGAAGAACCUAUCUAGGAAGGUAGUAGCAAACUCCUCCAAUUCUAUAGGCCCUGCAUCUGCAGCCCUAUCUGCCUUUCAUUGCUUAAACCAUAUAUGAUCCACAUCCUACAACUGAUAGGCAACUAACUCAGCACUGUCAAUAGUAGUUACCCCCAUAAUAUGUAUUACCUUCUGCACCAUGUCAAGGAAUUUUUGUGGGUCCUCUUUAGACUUAAACCCUGAGAACAGAGGAGGGUUCAUUCAGAUGAAGUCCAGAAUUCUAGUUGCAACAGUAUUAGCUAAUGGGUUGGCCUGAACAACAGUUGGGCGUUCAUUCUAGGCUGCUAUAGAAUGAGCUAUAGUGGUGAAAUCUGCUCUAAAUUCUGUGUGAGAGACAUGCUUGUCUAGGGGAUAUGUCUGAACGAGUAGAGGUGCUGGCUGAUUCCUAGUUCUUCUUCACUAGAUUUUUUGGGAGGCAUAUUCUAUAAACGGUAGAGAAAAAGUGAAAUAGAUAGAGAAUUUAACUUGAGUUCAUGCUCACUCACAUGACAUAAAUACUGAAAGAAGUGAACUUUUUCUAGAAAAUGCCUUAUAGCCUCUUGUCUAUAAGUGUGGCGCGCUUCACAUCCAUGCACAAGACUCUACUUGAUGUGGGUUUCGGACUCCCUAGGACUCUGUUAAACCUUAGGCUCUGAUACCAAGUUUGUAACACCUUGGUUCUACACCCUAGACAUCACACGAUGCUUACAAUCUUGAAGGACCAUAAGCUAACCCAUGACUGGUACAUGGUGUAGCAUUGAAUAACAAUAAUACUGAAAAGCAUAUGUAUAAUUAGGCUAGAGAUACCAUAAGGUUCAUAAUCUAAAAAUCAAAUACUAAAUACUAAUAAUAAUACUGAAAAACUGAACAUCUGCCUGAAAUAGUCUAGUCCAAAAGCCACUAAGUGUCUAAAUAUGGAGCUGACGGGACAAGUGCCCAACUAACUCCGUCUACUGAACAAACUGAACUACUGGAAAUACUGAAUUAAAUAAAUCUAUCCUUGAAAUAUAAGGACUCACCACUAUAAUUGUUGCUGAUAGCCUGAGCUGCUAAGUACGGUCAGGAGCCCGUGCAUCUGAACCUAUUAUAUAAGACAUCAUAGCACAAAAGAAAGAGUAUGCAUUAGUGCUUUGAAUGUACUGGUAUACUAAGUGAGGUAGGCUGACAUACAUGGGUUCAUAUGCAUAAACAGUAACUAACCGAAUGAUAUGACUAUGACUGAAUAAGAGUACAUGGAUAACUGAAGCUACUGUAAACACUAAUUAUACCAUACUGUGCUUACACAUAUAUACUGUAUCUGAGAUUUAUAUUGAAAUUGAGUACUGAGUUUGGAUAACUGAGUAACGGAUAUCUAAGAUUACUGGUAACUAAAGUAUAAAUAACUAGGUAAAUAUAUUUGACAGUACUGAUUCUAUGGAACUUAAUAGAUUUCUAUACAGAGACUGAAACUGAAAUUAUAGGAGGUAAUCAUCUAACCGAUAUGCCCCUCUCUAAACUGAUUAGGGUCUAACCUAUAACCCCAGUUGGAAGGGUGUCAGUACUGUGUCACGGGUAUAAACACUGGCAGUGUAUAUCUACAAAAAUGUUAUCCCAAAGGACUAAGGGUCACCCUCUACUGGCAGGUUCCCUAAUAAGAGAGGUAUUACCCUCAAUUGGUAGGUAAACACCUUAUCAACCCUCAAAUGGUAGGUUGAUAUCUCAACCUAUGCUGGCUACGUAGUUCUGAAAUACAAGGAUUGCUACUAAGGACCACACCCUCAAAUAACAGGUGUCCCCUCACUGGGUUCGCUCGGUACUGAAUCCUACUCCCAACUGAAUGACACUGAUUAUUAAAUUAAACUGAACUGGACUAAUUUUCAUUGGGUUCUAUAACUGACUGAGUACUACUUUUCUUGACAAUACUGAGACUAUUUUGUAGCUACUGUAUAUCUAGGUAAACAGAUACAUUUCGGGUAUUAAAAACCCCAAGGACUCGAUAGUAUGGAUAGUAAACAUGGCACAAUCAUGAAAGCAGAACAUUAGUUACUUGUUCACAAUGCAUUCAAUUAGACAUUAUGUCAAAUACUUGAGAGACGUGAACUUGUACAUAAAUGGGAACACAUGUUAUCAUGUCAUUAUUGAACUAUUCAAUUCACAUAAACAUUCUAACAAACUCUCUAGGGGAAUGAUUAUUUCACAUAAAGAUAAACAUAUAUAAAUAUCAUGGCUACAACAUUCAACUUGUAAAUUCAUGAAUUCAAUAUGAGAAUCACAUAACUCAUCACACAUGCUAUUUUAUUAUCAUAAAAUUUGUAAUUAAUCAUGGAUUGAAACCCAAACAACAUCACGAACAUGAAUACAAUCAAAUUCAACAUGUAAAUCAUGAAUCUUAAAACUUGUAAUUUGAAAAGGGGUUCUUGGACUCCAUGGGUGGUAAGGGACCCAUGGAUGAACACCUAACAUACCUUAAGGCUUGAUCUUGAAAGAGAAUUGACUUUUCUUAAACGUUCUUGGACUGGGAAUUAUAAUUUCUUGAUUUUCUUGAAGAUCUUGAAUCUUGUUCUUGGGAGAUGAUUUUGAAAGGAAACCCUAAUUCAUGUGUUCUUGGGAGUGGAGAGGAUUAAGAGUAGUUUUAAAACUUAUUUAGGAUGACCAAGUACGUGUUUUUGAUGAUUUAAGUCAUAGGAGGUGAGGGCAAAGGCCAAAAUACCCCUCCAAAUCCAAAUGGGAAUUGCUGAAUUUUAAGGGUGAUGACCUUGGUUGAUAAGUCAUCAUCAACCAAGUGAUGGCCUAUCACACCAAGUCAUCACUCAGAUGCUGAUUUUACUAGUUACUGGUCUUGGGUGAUGACUUGGGAUGAUAGGUCAUCACUUAGGUGAUGGCCUAUCAACUCAGGUCGUCACUUGGAAACUGAUUUUAUGAGUUGUUGGUCUUGGGUGAUGACUAGGGCUGAUAGGUCAUCACUUAGGUGAUUGCCCAUCAACUCAGGUCAUCACUUGAAAGCUAAAAAUAAGGGGUCACUAGUUUGGGGUGACGACUUGGAUGAAAGGACAUCACUUAGGUGAUGGCCUAUCAACUCAGGUCGUCACUUUGUUGACAGACAAACAUGCUAAAGUAAAAUGAGUAUAACUUUUCGCUCCAAUAUUGGAUUAAGGUGAACCAAAAGGCGUUGGAAAGAAAAUUCAAAGACCUUUUAUUUAAUAUGUAGUAGGAUACAUAAUUCAUUUUGUAUAAGGAGUAAUGGUCAUCUAAGUUUGACCCAAACUAAAAUGUUCACUAAAACUUAAUUGAUAGGAGCGUUCUCAACUCGUCUUUGAGUUAGGAGAUUUUGAUGACCUCGACUGAUAUAAAAGGACAUUUUAAUGCUAUAGAAUUAAUCAUCAGACAUAUAUAGAUAGAGAAUCAUUGGGUUUUGAUCUGUAUACCUAAUAAUAAUGGUUUGAAUCCUAGUCCGAAAAUGGGGGUUGUUACAUUAUCUCCCCCUUGGGAACUUUCAUCCUCGAAUAAGGUUGGCUAAGCUGAGAACACUGAGGAAUAAAGGUUUCAUUCUGAAUAUGCAUGCUGAAAACAUGAUUACAUAAUUGAGUCUGAAACAUGACACAUGCCUGAACUGGUUCGUGAAUGCAUGCAAUGGCAUAAAGACAAUAUAGCUGGAACUGAGAAUGGAAAAGAAAGUUGUUACUCUAAUUCCUCGAUGUAUAUUUGAAUUCAUGUGUCAUUAUAUUUAUCCUAGUGUGUGAAGUGCUUAUAAGGUGAAAAAAUAUUCGUAGGAAUCACUUAGAGCAAAGUUGAGAUAAAAGCCUUUGAUUCGACCAAAUUUUAAUAUUCAACUCUACAAAUUUUUUAUCUGAGGAAUUUUUUAUCUCAAGACCAACCAAAUUAUAAAUAAUUGAGUUAGCUUUCCAACAAUACCAAUUUUGGCUUAAUUCGAUAUCCGAGCAAAAAUUUAUGGCCUUUUUUGUGAGAGGCAAUAAGGGUAGGCGAUAAGCCCGCGCUGUGGGGUUAUUCACCCUAGAUAAGGCGGAAGGCGUAGGGUCUACUCCCCCAGACUAAGGGGUGCGACGUGGGGUCUAUUCCUUUACUGUUUUACCUUCUUAAGGAUCAAGGGCUACUUUGGUCCUUUCCCCUCAACCCCAAACAUUUAAGGCACGAAUUAUAACACCCAAAAGGGCAUUAUUUACCCAUCAUCUUCAAAUCAACUCACAUAAAAACCCUCUCCUUUCCCAAUAACAAUAAUUCAAGAUUUUUCUCUAAAGAACACAAGGAUUCAAACUUCAAUUCCAAUAUUAUUCCAAUAUUUCUUCAAGAAUUCAUCUAAUUAAGGUAUGUGGGUGUUCAUCUAUAGGUCCCUUUUCACCCUUGGAGCCCAAACACCUUCUUUUCAACUAAAGAAUGGAUUUUUCUCUUAUUAUGGAUUUUUGUAUGUUCAAGAUGGAUUAAAUUCAUGUGUUUCCAUAGUAGUUUGACUCUAUUCAUAUCCAAGAAUAAUUCCAUGAGAAGUUAGGUUAUAUUAUGCUUUAAUCUUCCAUCUCCCAUGUUAUAUUCAAGUGAAUUUUAUGUUAUAUUAUCAAGCAAUGAUCUUAGCCAAGUAACCAUGUCAUUUUUUCAUGUUUUAAGACAUUCUAAUGUUUAUGUUCAUGAUUUUCACAUGUUUGAUGAAAUGUCUGUCUUUUGGGACUUUGAACCAUGAUCCCAUACUAUAGUUUUAAAGCUUUGUUAUCUUAUUUUAUGGUCAUUCAGUGCUGACGGGUUAUGAACACCCGAUACCUAUGUGUUUUACAUGAUUUCUAUUUUUUAAGUGAUAAGUCAGUCAGACCAUGGUUUUAAUAUCAUAUUCAGAACACCAUGAUCAUGUUGAGCAUUGUCAGUUUAUAUGUUUAUAAUUACCUCAGAAUCUAUAUGCACUGUUAUUUUUAGAAUAAUAUGACCUAAGCUUAUCAGUUAUUAGUUAUAAGUGCAUGCACCAGUUAGUAUUCAGUGUCUUUCAGUUAGGAGUGGGAUUUAGGACUGAGGAAAUGAAGGGAUGGCGUAUUUCCCAUCUUUUAAGCAGAGUCAUUAGUAGUAGUCCUUGUAUUCCAGAACUACAUAGAUAGUGCCGGAUAUGAGGAUCACCGUUAGUUUAGGCUUGAAUUUCUCUCAGGGGUCACCCAUUAGUUUAGGCUUGACACCUUGGUCCUUCAAGACACCAGUUUAGUGGAUCCACAUAGAUAAUGUUAGUACCCGUGGCAUGGUAUUGACACCCUUACAACUGGGGUUACAGGUUGGACCCCGAUUAGCUCAGGUUGGGGCAUGUGGUUUAUAUGAUACCUCCCAUAAUUUCAAUUAGUAUUCAAUAUGUUUAGUUCAGCUUUGCUUGACCAAAGCACACAAAUUUUUAGAUAUUUAGUUAUGCAGAUUUCAGUCUUUCAUAUUACAAAUAAUCUCAGAAACAUGUUUAUGCGUGGUCUUGCAUUCUCAGUUUUACAUGUUCACAUGUUCAUGCUUAGUAUCCAUACAUGAUCCUUAGUUUAGUUUUACAAAAUGUUCUACUUCACAUGAGAUUUACAUACAGUAUUUAUGAUUUACCGCUUCCCAGCUUCAAUUCUGAACAUUCUUCAAAAGUAAAGAAUAAAGAAACUGAGUGUAGUGAUUCACCAGUUUAUAAGAUUAUGUUUGUACUCAUGUUUUAAGAUACUUCAACUUACAAUUGAUUUCAGUCUCUUGAUGAGUCUUCUUGCACUUGGCAUGCAUGUUUUUAGAUUGUGUAUGUAAUCAGUAUUACUUAUUGACUAGGGGGUAGCCUCGGGUCGUGAUACACACGACUGUCAAUUUAACUUUAAGCUCAAGAAAAUCACCCCCUCAUAUUUUAAAUUCACAAAACCAAUUAUGUCUAUCAAUGUAGAACAAUAAUUUGACACAAGCGAAUCGAUACAUGGCAAUACAUUAGAAAUAAACAAUCACGUAUAUGUACAAGUUACACCACCCGAACAAAUAAACAAUUAACAACACAACCCAUGUACCCUCACAAUAAAUAAGUCCCACUCACUCAAUAGAAACAUACAUGUUAAUAUAGGAAUAAUCACGAGACACUCACCAUCAUAAACAAGUUCUAACAAUAUGUAUAGAAUACCAUAGGUUUUCCCUUAUUUUCUUUACCUCAGUUUUUAGACAGCUGGGUUAGGAUCACUAUAGGACUUUACUCCACUUGUAAUGUAGGCUUGGAGGCUGGUAUGGUAUAUUCUGUGGGUUAGUACCUAAGCCUCCUUAGUACUACAAUUACUUUUUGGGGUCCACUUAUCAACCAACUUUUUUCUUUUAUUCCAUCCUUAUUUCUCUUUUUUAUUCUUUUAUUGCACAUUCAGGUUGGGUGUGGUUCCAUUUAUUCCUUUCUUUUUCUUUUUUAAUUUUUUUCUUUUCUUUUUUCUUCUCUUUUCUUGUUUUUUUUUGCUUUUUCUACCACACCCAACCAUACUUUUUUCACUUAUUUUUGUCUUUCUUCAUACCCCACUUCUCAUCACUCACUCCUAUGAUAGUCACCAUCAAGAGUUGAGGUGGACAAAGUACAAGGAGGACCAGGUCCAAAAUAGGUUCAUUUUAAUAAAAAUAGAAAGGUGAAAGGUAAAACAAGAGAAAUAGUCUAGACAGGAUCAAAGUAGGGAUCAAGGAAUAUUUAUUCACAUUUGUAAGGUCAUUUAGGCUACAAGUGGACUAAUUCAAGAAUGGCUCAUGAUCCUUUCCUAACCGCUAUCCUACAACCUAGGAAAGACUAACCGGGCAAGUUCUGAAUUAAACACACAAAUGGAACUAAGUAAGCAUCUCACACACACAUGUCAUAGGGUUGCAUAACAAACUACUACCCAUCCAGUUCAUGCAAAUGUUAGCUAUGAUUAUUAUGUCCCUAAUCCUUAUGCUAUAAAGAGAUUCACAAUGGUCACAUAUAUAUUCACAUCACAUAGUUUAGAAACAAAUUUUUGAAGGUAUGUCAUUUUUCUCAAAAAUCAAAACAAAAUACAUGAACUGCCUUAGAUACUCAUUUUUCUCCUAGUUUAACAAAAACACAACACAAUACAAAACAAAAACACAAUACAACAUGAUAUUUCCUAGACAUGUCAGUUCUACAUUCAUACCAUGGUCAAUAGAAAAAGAAGCACAACAAUAAAAACCCACAUCCAUUGAGGUAUACCCCACCUCUAAAAAGACUAUACAUUGUCCCUAGUGCAUAAAAACAAAAUAAAUCAAGGAAAUAAAGACUUACCUAGAUACACUAGGCAUCUAUAUCAUUUUCAUCCCUAUCUAGGGGUAUCUCAACUAGAG